rnacentral:lncRNA from 1 species
GAGUUCCACUCGCUAUAAGGACGAUAGGUGGGAUGUUGCGCACCAAACAUCACGAAAGAGAAUGGUUGAAUUUCAAAGAAAAGAAACUUUCAAAAAUAAGCCAGAAAGAAAAUGAAAUUUUACCAACACUUAAAUUGAGUUAUGAUGUGCUCCCAUCACAUUUGAAGCAUUGUUUUGCUUAUUGUAGCUUGUUCCCACCUGAUUAUGAGAUCUACGUACAGAGAUUGAUUAAACUUUGGGUGGCGCAAGGGUUCAUUAAGUCAUCUGACGAAAACGAGUGUUUGGAGGAUGUUGCGUUUGAAUAUUACAAGGAAUUGUUGCGCAGAUCAUUUUUUCAAGAAGAAAAAACACAUGAGUCUGGUAUAAUAAUAACUUGUAAAAUGCACGAUCUCAUGAAUGAACUUGCAAUCUUAGUGUCAGGGGUCGGAAGCGCCGUAGUUGAUAUGAACCAAAAGAAUUUUCAUGAAAAACUUUGUCACGUAUCUUUCAAUUUUAAUAUUCAUUUGUUGGAAUGGGAAGUGCCAACUUUGUUGCUAAAAGCAAAUAAGAUGCGAACUUUUCUUUUUCCUUGCCAAAAGUAUUGGAUUGAUAGAGAUGGGUCAUUAUGUAAUUCGUUUUGUGCUACAAUUGUUUCAAAUUUUAAGUCAUUACGUAUGUUGAGUCUUAAUACAUUAGGAAUUACAACAUUACCUAAUUGUCUUAAAAAAGUGAAACAUUUGAGAUAUCUUGAUCUUAGUGAUAAUCCCAUCGAAAGACUUCCAAAUUGGAUAGUUGGACUUUCGAAUUUGGAAACACUAGAUCUCACAAGAUGUCGGAAGCUUGUGGAAUUGCCUAGAGACAUUAAAAAAAUGAUCAACUUAAAGCAUCUCAUCUUGGAAGGCUGUUCUCAUUUGACUCGAAUGCCACGUGGACUUGGUGAGUUGAAUGGUCUUUGCACAUUGGAUAGAUUUGUUUUAAGCAAAAGCAAUUCCUUGUUGAGGGACAGUGCUGGUCUUGGUGAACUGGGGAGGCUUAAGGAAUUAAGGAGAAAGUUAGUUAUUAGAAAUUUGGGCCACAAGAAAGAUGUGAAGUCAGAAUCAAAUGGUGGUGCACUUCUGAAGGAAAAGCAACAUCUCUGUUCGUUGGGUUUGUAUUGGAAAAAAAGAGAAGAUGUAAACGCAGUUGAUGAGGAGGAUAUUAUAAUGUCAAUGGAAGUAUUGCAACCCCAUUCUAAUCUAAAGGGGUUGACCGUGCGGUAUUAUGGUGGUGUGAGGUUUGCGAGUUGGUUUUCUUCUCUCAUUAAUAUUGUUAAUCUCACGUUGGCUUCCUGUGAGAGAUGCCAACAUCUUCCACCCUUGGAUCAUUUCCCAUUCCUUAAGUCUCUUAAACUUGAAAGGUUGACGAAGUUGGAGUACAUAUCAGACAAUGAGAGCAGUAAUAGUAUGAGUGAUGAGAUGGUGAGGACGUCAUUCUUUCCCUCCCUGGAGAAACUCCGCAUAGAAAAUUGCCCUGUUCUGAAUGGAUGGUGGAGGGCGCACACUCAUAACUGUGCUUCUUCUUCAUCAACGGAAAAUUUGCCGUUCCCGUUGCCUUCAUUUCCCUGUCUUUCUACAUUGAGCAUCUUUUAUUGUCCUAAUCUAACUUCCAUGCCUCUGUAUUCGAAUGUGCAUACAUUAUAUCUCAGUAGACCCAGCUCGAGGGUUGUUCAUUCCUUGUUUGUUAGAGGAGCAUCUGAUAUUACACAUGAUGUUAGUGUUGAUGUUGAUGUUUCUGCCUCUUCUUCUUCCCCUCAUCUCUCCAAAUUAACGCAUUUGUCACUUGAUGGAAUUGAAGAUUUAGAAUGUAUAACGUCGGAAUAGAUGGGCAACCUCACAUCACUUCAAUCGUUUUCCAUUGGAAAGUGCCCGAACUUGGCAUCACUACCAAAAGAAAUAAGCAAUCUCACGUCACUGCAACAACUUCGAAUUAGUAAUUGCUAUAAUUUGGCAUCGCUGCCAGAAGGGAUUUGUGGAUUCCCUUGUUUAAAUACAUUGCAAAUUUGGGAUUGCCCGAAAGAUGCUAGAAAGAAACAGGUGAGGACUGGCCUAAGAUUGCUCACAUCCCAAACAUUCAAAUUAUUGAAGGUGCGUUUUCUAACUUGUUUGAAUUUACAGUUGCCUAAUUCAGUAUAAACUAUGAAAUAUUCAAAAUGCGAAUCUCGUUUCUAAAUUUUAUUCUUCAUUCAUCAUCACCAACAUUUUAUUUUUCUUUUUAGAUGACAUACAAUAUGGAGCAAAGAUUUCGUCGUCCACACUUUUGCUUUCUCACCCACUAACUUCAUUUUUUUUUUGUUGAUGUAAUUUCCUUCUUUUCAAUUAUAUAGUCUCAUAUGCAGUGCAUGGGGCGCCAUCCUUUUUGGUUCAAUAUGUGAUGCCCAUGUUGAUUGCUUUGAGUGGUUGUAUAUGAUUUUGCUUUUGAUCAUCUAGAAUUUGGUACUAUGUUCUCCCAUUGUAUGUUUCUUUUUCUUCAAGUAAUAUAAUAUGGGUGUGAGGGCCUAGCCCCCCAGCUUCGACUGGGUUCCAGCCUUCUUUAAAUAUUUAUUUUUAAUAUAUAUUGAUAUAUUGGAUGCGAAACAACUUUUGUCACGUUAUAACGUAUAAGUGACACAAUUAUACACAAAGAACAGUAAAAAGAUUACGAUAUGAAAGCAAAAAUAUAUAUAUAUAUAUAUAUAUAUAUAUAUAUAUAUAUGUUGUAGGCCUAUUUGAUUGAGCGAUGUAGGGUUAGAGAGAGAGAGGGGUGUGGCAAGCUUUAGGGAGAAGAGAGAUUGAUUUAAUUGUGAGGUGUGUUUGAUUCACUCUAUUGUGCCUUUAUUUAUAGUAGUAGAAAGGGUAAGACCUUUCCCUUUAGGAUUACAACAUUUAAUAGGUAAUCUAGUCCUAAUAGGAAUAUAAGAUACAUUCCCAGAUUCCCAAGGAUUUACACAAUCACAUUCCUAUUCUAAAUAUGACUACAACAAUAUAUAUAUUAUAAACACAUUUUUGCCUAAAACACUGUUAAACAAUAUGCUUCCUAUUUUGCCUCCACAUCAACGUCUAAAAUAUCGAUAAUAUCGGCGAAAUAUCGCCAAUAUUAUCAUUUUUGUGAGAGUCCGAUAUUUCUACACCUAUCCACUUGAUUAUCGUCAAAAUAUCGAGAUAAUAUCGAUAUUUCGCGAUAUUAUUGCGUCCUUCUUGAAGGCGACGCCAAUGGAGUAGACGGCGACGGGCAUGAGGGCCUUGAGUAUCUGGAUGAAGGAGACGGAUAAGAAGAUGUAGGCGGAAUUGGAGAACCAAAGGGAAAAGGCGUAGAGGGCGCUGAUGGGGAUGACUGUCUUGAGGUAGAGCAGAGGUUACGGGAGAUGGAGACGGCGCCGACGAGGCGGAAGACACGGACGAGGAGGAAGACGAGGGAGGAGCAGAAGGAAAGGGCGUAGAAGGCGCCGAUGGGGAUGACCGUCUUGAGGUAGAGCCAAGGUAUAAAAUAUUGAUGAUAUCAGAAAUAUCGGUAGUCCAAAAACACUGAAAUUUUGACGAAAAUAUCGGGAUAUUAUCAAUAUCGAUAAAAAUUGAAUAAAAACCACGGAAAUUGUAAGAAAAACUUGGAAAUUUUUAUUGAAACUUUGCAGGAUGUUUAUUUAGUCAAUUAUCUAUUAGUUUAUCACAAAAAAUGGAAGGAAAUGCAUUGCAUGAUGGAUUUAACUGAUUUAAGUUGAUUAUAUAGCGAGCUGGCAAACAUUGUGAGUGUAGAAAAUAUGUAGUAAUUAAUGAAAGAAGUUUAAACACGCCAUAAUAAUUUAUAUAUAAUGAAUUAGUACAAUAUUUUACACUUUAUACAUUGCAUGGUAAGAUACAUGAGUCACUUAGUACCACAUAGAGUUCCUAUGAGGUUCAAAUUUUUCACUAUCUUCAUCAUCUCUAUGUGUAGAGUAAGUGUAUUGUGAAGAGUAGUCAUCAAAUGAUAAAUCCCCAAAAUAGUUUUGCAUGUAAUUGUUAACAUGCCGCCCAUAUGGAUCCGAGAUUGGUUGACGUUGUCCAUAAGCAAAAUCAUUUGAAGAUUGAGUCUCGGAUUCUUUCCAUGAGUCGCUCGAUUCCAUCCCAACAAGAAUGGGAUAUGAAGGGUAGGGAAAUGGUUGGUUAUGAGUAUAACCAUAGUUACUACUUCCCACUCCAACAGAGUCCGAAGUUAUAGAUAACAAGUUCUCUUCUUGACUUGACAAAAUCCCCUUGCCUCUUUCUCUACGAGUAUAGUCAUUCCCUAUGGCACCAAUUCCUGGUCCUGCCCGCCUACUGCCAUGGUCCUCAUCCUGUGUUGCAUGCGUGAAGUUUGCCUCACCAGUGAAGGGGCUCAUAAAUCCGGGAGGUGGUCUAACAUAGUUUCCAUAUCCACCACUACUUCCAGCUCCACUAUAUCCUUCAUUAUUCCCACCUCCGGUGGUAGGUGAGUCUCCUGAUCUUGUACUAGAGCUAUCAUUAUUAUCAGCAUAAUCUUGUGGUUGUGUAGGAUUGGAAAAAGGUGGAAUUCCAGUGUUUCUUGGUCUUGAGUGCAAAAGUUCUUCCAAAAAGUCAGCGCUGCUAGAUCCCACCUCCUCCUCUAAUACUCUUUCUACAUUUAUCCCUUCAUUAUGUGCUUCUUUAAUAACUCUAGGAGCUGGGUUGCCUUCAUCAUCAUCUAAAUGAAGAGGUUUAAUCCAUUGAUAAAGUUGGUUACCCUCUGUAUCAUCAUCUUCAACAACAAUAUCAAACACAUCUAGUGGGUCACCACGGUCGACAUGAUCUAUUUCUGCUUCCUUAUCUCGAAUUUGAAGCUUCACGUUGUAGUAGCAAUAAACUAAUUUUUCCAACCUACUAUGAGCCAACCUAUUUCUUUGCUUUGUGUGUAUGAGUGCAAAUGUAUUCCAAUUUCUUUCACAAGCAAAUGAGGAAGCUGUUUGUGAUAAUACUUUGAUUGCUAACUUUCUCAUAGUUGGUGCAUCAGUCCCAUACAUGAUCCACCAUUCAGCUAUAAUGAAAAACAAUGUUGAUAAGCCUAAUAACUCCAACAAAUUCUAUUAUAAACUGAUAGUGAAAUAUGUUUACACUCACUAGGAGACAUUUUUGUUUGAGCAGCAACUGAUGUUGGUUCUCCAAAAGUUCUUCUUGCAUCUUUAAACCAUGUGAGCUGAAUUUAAUAAAUCGUGUUAGUUUAAUCCAAUAAUGUAAUUAUUAUAAUUUAAGUAAUUGUGUACCUCAUUUCCAAAUUGGCCAUUUGCUGGUGAUGCAGGGUCUAAUUUAGAGUAUACAUUAUGUACAGCACGUAUAAGGGUACCAUCAUCUCCAACACCGGGUCUGUAUUGGUAUCGAGGAUUCAAAUAAUAUGCUGUUCAAAGAAACACAUACUCUAAUAAGAGAAAUAAUACUUAUGCAACUAAAGAAAUGAAUUGCAAAUUAUCACAUAAUUUAUACCUGCUGCAUGCAAAUCGUGGUAUAAUGUUUUAUGCCAUUGGUCAUCAAUUAUCUUUAUGACCCACCUUGCACCAUGUUUUCUUUCCAAGUCAUCAUUCACUACACGCAUCAACUCAUAUAUUACCCCCAUAGUAGGAUACACUUAUGUGUCAACGAUCCGUAAAACUUUGUAAAGAGGUUCAAACACUUGGCACACAUGUUCUGAUUGAGUCCAAAAAGCAUGAUCAAGCACUAUACUUUCCACCAUACGACCUGCAUUUGAGUGGCUGAAAUUGUGGUUGGCCCAAUCGUCACUAGUGAAUAGUUGAUUCAACCCUGCUUUCUUCUUAAGUAGGCUGUCUAAUGCAAAUAGUUGGUGGCGAAUCGAGUGGUAACUGGACGAAUAAUUUCUCCUUUGCAAAAUUCACGCAUCUUUGCCAACAACCGACCGUGAUUGUAAAUAUAAUUUGUGAUCGUUCUAGCUCUUUUUACGACAGUAGCAAUAUUCUCUCUCUUCCUCAUUGCCUCAAACAUGAGAUCAAUACAAUGUGCUGCACAUAUGUCCAAAACACAUUAUGAUGCUUCAUUAACAUUUUUCCAGCUUUGACAAAUGCAGACCGUUGUCGGUCACGACUUGGACAACAUUAUGCUCUCCCACCUCCAUGAUUACAUCCCUCAAUAAUUUGUAAAUAUACUUGUAGUUCUUUAUAUGGUCUGAAGCAUCAACAGACUUCAAAAAAAUUGUCUUUCCCUUGGAGUAUACCAUGAAGUUUAUGAUAGUAUACCAUGAAGUUUAUGAUAGACAAUCUGGUCGGGCCAGUCCAUCCGUCAUACAUGAUUGUGCAACCACUAGUUUCCCACUUUGACCUCAACUUGUUAACAUACUCGCCAAUGUCUUUAUACUCCAUUUCCAAAUAUUUGUUUCUUACGUCAUAGGGAGUGUGAGGUUGUACUCCAACACCGGUCUGUUGACAUCCCAAUACCAUAUUUUUGAAAUGAUGUGAUGAUACCUUCUCAGCAGGGACAUUUUCAAAGAUAAAGAACUUGCUAAUUAGACGCCUCAUUCUCUCAUUCACAUUACCUCCAGUGAAAUAACUCCAAACACUCUUUUGACGUGCUUUGGAUGACUUAUAUAAACUUGGGGCUAUUGGUGGUGUUGGUUAUGAUUCUCUAACACUUGCUCCCCAUCUCAUUUGUGCACCACCACUUGUCCCAGAACCUUGUGCUCUAUUAGGAAUUUUAUGAAGGUGUUCUCUUUCCCAUGUUGACUGUUUGGAGGCACGUAAUGCUUGUUUGAAACUGCGUCGUUCUUCAGGUCCCAUGUCAUCAUCACAUUCGUCCUCAUCGUCAUCAUCAUCACUGUCAACCGCUUGGCCAAUGACUUCUCCUCGUAGCCCAGCUCAAAUAUUUUCCAUUCCAUGUAUUUUCUUUUCCUUCUGGUGUUUUUUCUGUUUUAAUAAUGUGGUGAUGAAUGCCUUCACUUAUAGGGGGAACAUUAUUGCAUUGUUGGACAUUAUCGCAUUGUUGGACAUUAUUUCCUGGAUCUAAUCCACUAAGAUGGUACUUAAGUCGUGUCACUCCACCACUCUUCAUUACCCGACCACAAUAUUUGCAAAUUGUGUCAUGUUUGUUUCCGUCUAUUGGGUUUCCAUGUUCCCAAGCUUAAUCACGUUUAGUAACUCCACUGGACAUCUUAAACGUACCUAUAUUUAUUUUUCAUGGAAAUUAGGCAAUUAUUUUUUGGCCAAAAAAUAUAGUAGUGACGGAAACAUAUUAAAUAGGAAGUAAAGAAAAUAGGAAGUAAAGUUAUUCUACAAAAGAAUUAAAUAGGAAGUAUUAAAUAGGAAGUAAAGAAAAUGAUUGUAAGAAUUUAAGUAAUUAUAAAAAUAAUAUGGAAUAAUAAAACCUAAUAUUAAUGAAUAAUAAUCCAAUUUGAUAAUAAAAUAAUAAAUAACAUUAAACAUAUUAAAAUUAUUCUAGGGAAUAAUUAUACAACAUUACUUAAUUACUUCAAAAAAUUAACAUGCAAGUAUUAUUUGGUUCUUAGAUCACAUGCACGGGUCCACACAAAUUUUUUUGUUGUUGUAUAAAUUACAAUAAUAAAAAUAUAGGUUUGUAAACUUACCUUAAAUAUGGAACCCUUUGUGUAAAGGCUAAAUAGAAUUUGCAUGGAGCAACAAUAAAAUAAUAAUUACACAAAUGUAACAAAUAUGGAACUUUCGAUGUCGUACGUAGUAGGAAAACCUCGACGAUCCUCUGCAGCUUGCCGUCUGUGAAUAAAUGAGAGAGAAAGAAGGUAUUUAACAUUUAAUUUGGAGUGGCGCGAGCUGCAGAUCCAUUUAUUCAGUUUGAAGCUCUGAAAUGGCUCUGGAAUGGCUCUGGAAUGGCUCUGAAAGGGCUAAUUGAAGAAGAAGAAACGAAAAGGUGUAAUAGAGGUUUUUCAAUUUUCGAAGGGUCAAAAAAUGUGUGAUGAUCUGAUACUCCACCUCUGAGAAUGUGAAAGAAUAUCACGCAUGGCACACGGUUUUGAAUCUUGAUGAAACCACCAUUACUUUUUAUCUUGUUAAAAGUUGUAAAAGUUGUCAAGUCAGAGACACGGUUUUAAAUUAUUUGGAUGCUUUUUUUCUCUACACGCCACCACACACAAUUAUUUGGAUGCUUUUUUUUUUCUACACGCCACCACACACACACACACACAGAGUCAGAGACUCUCACACGCCACCACACACGCACACAGAGAUCAAGAUUUGAGAGCCCACACACGCACACAGAGUCCUCAGUCUCUCAAUCCUUCUCUCUUCUCUCUUCUCCCUUAUCCCCCCCACACACACACAGAUCUCUUGAUCAUUCUCUCUUCUCUAUUCUCCCACACACAAGCACAGAUACCUCAAUCUCUCGAUCAUUCUCCCACAAGGCCUUCUGCUUCUCCCUCGCCUUCCUCAUCGUCCGCGUCUUCCACCUUGUCGGCACUGUCUCCAUCUUUCGUGACCUCUACUCUACCUCAAGUCGGUCAUCCCCAUCCGUGCCCUCUACACCCUUUCCUUCUGCUCCUCCCUUGCCUUCCUUCUCGUCCGCAUCUUCCGCAUCGUCGGCGCCGUCUUCAUCUCCCGUGACCUCUGCUCUACCUCAAGACGGUCAUCCCCUUCGGCGCCCUCUACGCCAAUACUUUGGAGUAGAUUCGACGUGCUUAUACCUUUACGAACAUAAUUACCGUGACCGAAUCCGGCAUCAACGAUUUGUGAACUUCACAGAACUAGCAGUCUUGUCUUCAGGUUCUAGAACCCAAAGGCCGAGAAUUGUUCCUUCCUCAGCCGCAAUCGCAAGAUUCAGGAGUCAAUAGCGCACUCAACGCCACAUCAGCAAAUUUUACUCACCGGCCAAGCUCGACCGUCGAGUUGGCACGCCCCGCAUAUAACUGAAUGACGUAGUUAGCUCAUUAAUUACUCGGUCUGCGCGUCACAUAGACUCAGUAGUUUUUAGGGUCAACACCAUCGAAUUAAAAAAAAAAAAUUAAUCCACCCACAUAUGCCUCUUUGAAAUUUCUAAGAAUUAUGUUAGAGCAUCACUUAAUAGUUAAUACUAGAUUUAAUAGAUCAUGGUCUUAAGUUUGAAUUUUGUAAAUGGCUGAAUCAUUUACCGCCGAUCUUGACUAUUGUUUUUAAUUAUCCUUUCACAUUUGGGAUUUUUCUCUAAUCACUUUUGUUUUUUAGAAAAAAUAAUGAAAAGUCCAAAAAAACCUUUCAUUUUAAAGAAAAGCCCUUUUUAAAGGUAUAGUGAAUAGUACCAAGUAAAGGUAAAAAUGUGGGUUUUCGUUAAAAAUGAACAGUACAGGGAGUGUUUCGUUAAAACUCCAUUGUUUUUUUUUUCCAAAAAGGGGGCAACUGGAGGCGAACCAUGGUUAAGAAUUGCAUCCUACCCAUGACCACGACCAAACAAAUUCACAACUUACAAAGUAUUGCCAUGCUACUUCUCAGAUGCUUCCACAUUUCAACCUAAAACAAUGAUAGGUGAAUAGCUGUAAUCGCCUCCAAUAAGUUAUUGUUAUAAUCUAUUGAAUAGUCUUUAUCCUUUCGUGUUUGCUUCUUUCUUCUUUUCCUCUCUCUUUCAUUGCACCUUCUUGGCCUGUGGUAUGUCAUUUCUCAAGUCCAUAUGCGAAGAUUAUUAUAUUAUAAAUUUUUAUUUUUGUGGACUGAAGGAGCUUGACUUGAAUUUAGGUAUUUCAGUAUCAUUUGUUCAGCAACACAAACACAACCACUGCCAUUUUUUCAUACAUAUAUCUUCUCUAAACACUUUUGUUUAUUGUGUGGUUGUUGCCAUGCUACUUCUCAUAUGCUUCCACAUUUCAAUAAAAAAUAACGCAUUAUUGAUAGUUGAAUAGUCAUUGUUAUAAUCUAUUGGAUAAUCUUUGUCAUUUGUGUUCGUUUCUUUCCUCUUUUCCUCUCUUUCACUGCACCUUCCUGGUUGGCGGUGUGUCGUUUCUCAAGUCCAUAUGUCAACAUUAUUAUAUUAUAAAUAUUUGUUUUUAUGGACUGAAGGAGCUUGAAUUGGAUUAAGUAUUUCAGUAUCAUCCGGCAACACAACCAUUGCCAUUUUUUCAUACAUAUAUCAUCUCUAUAUAUGCUUUUUGUUAUACUGAGUGUAUCUUAUAUUGAAGUCACCAUUUACAGCAGGGAUAUUGCUAUUAUAGACAAGAACCACUAGGACUUGAGUUGACUGAAGUAGUGGUGAAGUCAGAAAUUAUAUGGGAAAGGGCGAAAUUUAAAAAGGUAAAGGUUCCAAGAAAAUGUAGUGUAAGAUCCCACAUCGCCCGGGGAAGAGGAUGUGAUGUGCUUUAUAUGCACAUGCCCACCUCCCCUAGUAAGACGCGUUUUGGGUGGAAGCCCAAGAACAAAUCCGUAAGGGUGUGACCCAAAGCGAACAAUAUCUUACUUUGCGGACUGGGUUGGGAUGUGACAAUUUGGUAUUAGAGCCACUUCCCAGUAGGAAGUGUGCUGACGAGGGCGUCGGUCCCCUAAGGGGGUGGAUUGUAAGAUCCCACAUCGUCCGAGAGAGAGGAGGUGAUGUGCCUUAUAUAGGUACAUGCCCACCUCCCUUAGUAAGAUGCGUUUUGGGUGGAAGCCCAAGAACAAAUCCGUAAGGGCGUGACUCAAAACGGACAAUAUCUUACUUUGCGGACUGGGUUGGGAUGUGACAUGUAGACAACAAAAUCCUUUUAGAGAAUAUUAAUGUCAUUCAUUAUUUAUCAAUACAAACAGUUACAAUUGUUGCCAACGAGAUUUCAUGCCAUGAAAACGUCACAUAAUAAGCUCAUUAACAAUAAAAGCAAGAACAUCUCUCUCAAUGUAAACAAUCAAGCCAUCACUUGAUCAUUGAGCUCCUAUUUUGUUACGCAUUGGUGUUUUGACAAUAUUCAUAGUAGAAAACGCUAUUUCAACUGAAGUGGUUGCAACUGGUAACAUAAAAGCCAAUGUAAGAACGUAUAGGGUGAAAAGGCCUACUGUUGUAGUCUGACUGCCACCACUGUAAAUCCUUCACUGUAUUACUUUUUUUUGGCGUGAAGUAAUUUCAAUAUUUGUUUUAUUAAUGCUUUGGAAUAAACACAUUUUUCUGUAAUAGUUUAGCCUCCUCUACUUGUUGCUGCGAUGUUCAAAUCCAGUUUCAACCUUAGAACACGAGCGAAACAAUGACGUGUAGUGGAAACGUAGAUUAUGCAAGUUCAAAUCUAGUCAAUUAUUUUUUUUAUUUCAUAAGCGAUUUGUGAAGUUCUAGAAGUUUUGUAGCCAAAAGCAUAUAUACAUCAAAGUUUUCAGAGAAAUACCCUUACUACCACUACAUCAAAUUAGAAGCCAAACAACUAUUAAUCUCUUAUUAUUUCCAGGCACUCUAGGAAGGUUGGGAUAUAUUUCCGGUUUACUAAGAAGUUGUUGGGUAGGCAACUGUAGAUUCAACAUACUACUUUGACCCUUCACAUUUUUUUAGGUCAAAACCAAAGCAGAUUCCUUUUUUUUUUUUUUUUUUUGAGAAAGCUGGAUAGAUUAACCAAGAAGAAAUGAAAACCAAAAAAAGACGGCAAAUACAACGCUAAAAUAUGAGAACAAGGCAUACAAGGACACCGCCAAGCAUGGCACCAACGUCUACCCUCCCCCAUGAAUCCAUAAAAACAACCUACGGAGGACAAGGCAAACCAUCUUUAUUCAAGAUUCUAACAAAUGAAGAUGGGGGUCUUUAAACUCAAACAGAGUCACUCAUCUCCAUAUGUGAAAUCCCGUCCCCGGAUUUCACUACUUAAAUUACGUAUUUUCGUAUUAUUGAUUUCAAGAUUUAUUUUUUUAGAAUUUUAUAUAUAGUUGGCAACCAUGCAUAAAUAUAUAAUAUCCUUUUUUUUUAUAUGGGAGUGGAGAAAUUAUUUAGGAAGAAAGAAAAAGAGAAAGAAAAAAAAAGGAUGGGGGGAGGAUGGCUACCUAAUGGCAGCGAAGGAGAGGGGGAGAAAAAAAAAAGAAAGAAGAAGAAGGGCUACUGCCCAAUCAGAAAGAGGAGGGAAGUGAGGGACCAACCAGAGAAGAGAGCAAGGAGGGAAUGGAGGGAGGAAGAGAGGAAGGGGAUCGGCCGGAUCCCACUUGACCCGUGCUAACCAGGUUCGAAACCGGUGAAAUUCCGGCGGUUGUGAGCCAUUUUUCAUGCAAAUUUCAUUCCAUUUCCACUAGCAAUCAUCACUAUACCUCUUCCCCUCCAUUUUCCUAUUAAUAUUCAAUGGAAAUUGGGUUAAAUCCGUGACAUUUGGCAAUGGUGACACCGGCGGGUCUUGUGUCAAUUCUCCCAUUUCUGAAGCAAUUCCUUCUAAUUGCCACCAUCAAUACACUCUCCUAGAACCCAGGAACAAAGCCCAAGCAGUGGUGGAGUCGUCAGAGCAAGUUUGGAGGUCGAAUCGAAUCACACCCAAUUUUAGGGUUCGUGCGGUUUUAGCAAAAUUGGAGCCUUUCUAGGAAAAAUUGGACUUGGCCACAGGUAUAAAAAUUUCUCUACUCAUUGAGAUCUUCAUUUCUGUAAAUUUUGGUAAUUUUUAAAAAUGGUUGAAUUUUUCCUGCAAGUCGGGGCGGCCGACCGCCACCCGCAGCGGCGCGUUUGGCCGCGGCUUGGCCAGUGGGCCGACAGUAUCCUUUUAAGUUCAAUUAGAUACCCUGUUUUCAUAAUUGAUAUCCUUAUGAUAUGGUUUGAUUGUGUGAACCUAAUUUCAUUAUGAUAUGUGGUUAGGUCAAAAUAUGAUUCGACGAUCCGACCGUUGGAUCGUCACCAAACCUUAAUACGUGAUAAAACAUAAUAUUUUUGGAUCAUAGAAACUUACGGAUCAGGAAUCCGACGUAUGGAUCUUUCCGAAUUAGAUUUGUAACUUCGUAAAAUAAAAUGUCCACCACCACUUGAAUUUUGAAAUUGGCAUAGAUCCGACCAUCAUAUCGCGUUGAGAUUUUAGUAUGUUGUUAUUUGAGCAUAAUGUGGACUUUGGAAAGUUACGGAUUGGAAAUCCGAGGUGCGGAUCUUUCGAAUCAAAUUACGUAAGUUUGUGGACCCUACUGUUGAUCGAGAGUUGACUUUUAGGCAACAUGUCAUGAAACGUCCUAAUUAAUAAAAUUAGUACUACGGAAUAUUAAGUGAAGUCUAGUGAGGCUACAUUGGUUAGAGCAUGACUUGUGUAUAUGUGAUAUAGCUAUUACCUUGAUUCUUAUAUUAGUAUCAUAUGUGAUUAUGUCUUGGUCUUAUAAAGGUAAUUUCUAGUGAAAUGUGAUUUUUAUAUAUUUAGCCGUAGACAUAUGUUUAUUUACAUGAUUUGGCUUGGUACUGAUGAUGGUUGUGACAUAUGUGAGUGACUUUAAUAUAGGUGAUAUUGGUGAUUACCUAUGUUUUCAUAAUUAUGAUCCUGUGUGGAUAUGAAUUGGUUUUAUGAAUAUGUUUUCUAUUGAAUUGUUAUUUCCAAUACUUAGACAUCGAUUUAUGUUUAUGAAAUGGGGUUUGGCAUGUAUAUUUGAAAUAUGGUUUGACUUGUAUGAUUGGCAUGUUGUGAUGAAAGGUAAGGACUAGUAAUGGACCGUUAACCAUUGUGAUGGAGAUUUGUUGCUUCGAUAUUGUUUCAUUUCCUGCUUUGUUGAUUAGUUCUAAAUUUAGUAUUUGUGCUUAAUUUCCCUUUGUUGAGCUUUUGUGAAUUAAGUAAUUUGUGCUUGUCUUAUUUCUUUGAGCCGUCGUACAUUAUGGUUGUUGGCCUUUCGCGAUUCUGUUGAGUGAUGGUCCCGGAUCGUAUUCACCUUGUGUUUUAUUGAGUUUGGAUUAAGAUAGCUUCAGAGAUGUAGGCUUCGGCCGAACUGUGUCGCUCUAGCUCGGCAUUCCAAUGAAUUGUAUGUGUUAUUGAUGAUAUGGUGAUUGGCAUUAUUGAUUGAUGUGAUAAUUGGAUGGUGUUGGAAUGCAUAUGUGAGGAUGAAUGACGUUAUGACUAGAGAUUAUUAUUGUGCUUAUUUAAAUGUUCCUUGAGGUGCCGCAUAAUUGAAUUGUGGUGUUAUGUUGAGACCUAGUGGUCUAUGUGAUGAAUGUUCGAGAAUAGUGAAAUGUUGAACUACGAAUGGCUUGAUCCCUAAUGAGGGUACGUAGGCAGUCUAACGAAGAGGUUAGAUGCAGCCAUAAAGUAUACGAAAAAUUAUUGUACAUCUGGAUCUUGAAUGAUACUUUGUAUAUAUUCAGGAGGCGGAGUAUGUUAGAUAUACGGGUUUGGUGUCGUCACGUGUCGAUCCUGGACGUAUGUCUGGAUCGGGGCGUGACACCGUAGACCAAAACGACGCAACAAAAUCCACUGCCUGAUUCCCUGAUCUUGGAACCCAAGACCAGUUGCAAAGGGGUAAUGAAUAACUGAUAUCCAUUAUCCGAGACAAAGCAGAUUCCUUUACACCAAAUUUUCUUGGAAGAAUAUGUGAAAACACAUAAAACAUAAUUUUCUUAUCCCUAUUGUUGUAGUGUGGCUACCUCCACCGUGAAUCAUGCACUGGAGUCUUUUUUGUCUUUUUGGCGUGAAUUAAUUUCAAUGUGUGUUUUAUUAAUGUUUUUGGAUAAAUAAAUUUUAAAUGUAAAGUAAUGCAUUUGAUAUUUUAGACAUUGGAUGCUAUUAGAUAAUUUUUGAAUUUACUAUGAUAUGAUACGGUGAUACUAAAAAUUAGGCAUAAAAAUUAUGUAUCGAAGGAGAGAGGAUACUCGAUGGAUCCUCUUUGUCAUGACCCGAGGAUUUUCCAAUUACAUCUGUUCAUCAGGCUUUGUGCGGUCAGUUUUUGUUUGGUACUGUUUAUAUUCAAUUUUAAUUAAAAAAUUUAUAAUAAUUUCUGAUCGCAUGAUAUACGAUGAACCAAUGUAAUUUGAAGAUCCCCAUAAUUCUCACAAAGAGGAUACGGCGAGGAUCCUCACUCGUAUCAAAAAGUUAUUUUAAAUAUGUUGCAACUGAAAUUAUCAAGAGAAGACGAGGGAAUUACGGUCGGACACGCUCGUGGGCCUUAGGCCUAUACAUUCCCAACUAACACCAGUUUCAUUGUCCAUUUUAGCCUACUCCACUAAGUUAUAAUCUGAACAUCUCUUUGACCGAGUAUGCAAGUGUUGUUAGGUAGGCAAGUGUACACUUAGCCGGGUACUUUGACCCAGUGCCCAACAUUUCUUAGGCCUUGUUUGGCAGAUAUUAUAAAGGAUCGGAUAGGACUAGUUAUACAAAUGCAGGUGUUUGGCGUUCACUCGUACUAAAUAAGCGGCAGAUUAAAUUAACCGAUCUGCUUAUUUAAUACGGUAUACGCUGGACUAAUAAAACCAAUCAAAAGGCUCGGAUUAUUAGUCAGCCCUCUCUCUCUCUUGCCUUCUCUCGACGUCGUUGUACUCCCUGUCACAUUCUCUCACCAUCGCCAUCCUCCCCAUCGCUUUCUAUCGCCGUCGCUUUCUCUCGCCAUCUCUACUCUCCUAGUCCUUGUUGCCUUCCUCGUCGUCCUCUCCUUGUGGCCUUCCUCAUCGCCUACUUGCCGUCCUCCCCUGCAACUGGGUCUUGCAAAGAAGCAUGGUGCGGCGGAGAGAUGAUUUCAAUUUGAGAUUCUUCUACAGUCGGGGAAGAAGAAGAAGGGGGAGAGAGGGAGGGAGUUUGAGGGGUGCGGCGGAGAGAACUGGGAACAAAAGUGAUGGAUUCAUUUUUUUUUUUUUAGUUUAAUUUUUUUUUUAAGUUUGAUUCCUCUUAUCCGGUAUAAAACCAAACAUAGUAUAAAUAAUACAGUUAUUAGUUCGAUACUGCACUAAACGUCCAACUAAUUUAAUCAGUUCUAUCAGGUGACUAUUAAUCAUAUUCGACAAAAAUAAUCAGUACAGUCUGAACUGCCAAAUGAGACCUUAGCGUUUCCUUCGGUAAAUAAAACCAAAGUACGAAGAUUCUUUUUACUCCGAAAUUUCUUGGAAGAAUAUGUGAAAGCACCUAAAGCAUAAUUUUCUUUUGUCUUUUUGCGUAAUGAUAUAUUUGAAAACGAGUGUAGGUGCGCGUUUUAGCACGCUCACUAAGAAACUUCACGUGAUUAAGAUCAGAAACUUUUGGUAAAGGCUCCACACAUUCCAUUUUACUUCUCACACACUCUCUGUUAAUUUAUAUCUAUUGAUUUUCUUCACAUUUUCUUCGAUCCAACGGUCAAAAAUUAAAAGACGUAUGAAAAGUAAAAUGGAAUGUGACUUUUCGGUAAAUUAUCAACAAUUCAGUGUGCAUUUUGGCACACUCCACUAAGGUUGGGUUUGGGAGUGAGGUGCUUAAAAAAAAAACAUCCAUGAAAAAAAGCUGUGAGGAUUUUAGGUGUUUGGUAAACUGAAAAAAAAAUGGCUUAUUUUGGAAGCUGCUGUGAGAAUAAACUGAAAUCGAAGGAAAAAGCUGAAGCUGCUAUUUGCAGCUUUGGAAAACUGAUUUUUUUUCAAAGCACACGGAGCUACAGUGCUCCUUUAAUGAAAAAACUCACUAUCAGACUGCUUUUUUUUCCAAAAUCACUUUUACAAAAAAGUUUACCAAACACUCUGCUGAUUUAUUUCACAGCUGCUUAUUCUCAUAGCAUAGUCGCUUAUUCUCACAACAGUUUUUUUUCAAAGCACAGUAAUACCAAACCAGCCUAAGUCCAAUCUGAGUAUCUCUUUGACCGAGACAGCUCUUUCUUGGAAGAAGAUGUGAAAAUAUAUAACUUUCUUUUGUUCUUUUUGCGCAAUCAUAAAUUUAAAAAAUGAGUGAACUAAUUUGCUUUGACUCAUUGACUUGGUAUAGAUCAGGUCAUUUUCUAGUGAUCCAGUUUGUAGAUCAAUUGAGUAUUUCUGCUCUUGCAUUCCUCUUAAUCUUAGCUGCUCGAUCAUCGCUGAUCAGGUGCGAACGAUUAAUGGCUGCUUCUUCUUCUUCUGACGUUCGUUGGAAAUACGAUGUGUUCAUCAAUUUCAGAGGGGAAGACACUCACAACGGCUUCAUCAGCCAUCUCUACAGAUGGAACGUAUCAUUCAUUUUGUUGUAUUGAUGUCUUGAAGUCUGAUUGUUGUGGUCGUAUUAUGUUGGGUGCAGGUCAGGAAAAUGCAGCUAAUGUGAGCAUAACGGUGUUGAAAUCACUGCCUGAUUUACAAGAAAAAGAAUCAAGGAAUACAAGAUUUGGCGGUGGUGGAAGGUUAGGCGGUGGUCGUGGAGGAGGUUUUCGAAAUGAUAGGUAUUCCAACAACCGAUCUGCUGGUGGUAGUGGUGGUGGGAGAGGUCGCGCCAACAGAUGGUGACGCGCGAUAUAAACCGGCUCCUUUCAAGUAAGCUGUUGUGGGCAACAAAUAAUAUCAAAAGGUUGCAUUCACAGUGGUUUCAACUGGUGUAGUGUAGGUACUAAACGCCAGUUGAUCUUAGUGUAGGUACUAAAAGCUAUUGUGGGCCCCGUUUGGCUCGUUAUAACGAUAUCAUUUUUUAUGCGUAUAGCGUAUUCCGCCGACCCUUUUCUCUACUUUAUUGUUCAAUUUUGUUCAGUUUUGUUUUUCUGUUUUCUUUAUGCCCUUAAUAGUGUAAGAGCACUUAUUUGGAGUGUAAGAACACCAUCUAAUUUUUGUAACUUUUCUAUUUACUAGUGAGAAAGACAAGUGUUCGUUUCUUUUCUUCUAAUGCUAUUUCUGCUGUAAGUUUACUUUAGGGUGCCGAUAUAAUCAUGCAUGCACAAAUGCUAUUAUAAAAUUGUAUUCCUUACGUGUAAUCGCAUACGCUGAAUGUACAACUGUAGAACUACAACCAAUUAUCGGAAGGUUGCCGUAUUGGAGUAUCGACAUACGAUUGUGUACAUGCUAGAUGUUGUCUAAAGAAAAGGUUGAGCUAGUGAAGCGUUUGAUGCUAGCAACUGAUGAAAACGGUGCAAUGUGACAUUGUAUCAUUAAGAAGAGACGUGAUAUUGUAAAUAUUUCAAAACCAUAAUUUAUUAUCAUAUGCGACAAUUUUUACAUUGUCUUACAUGUUUGUAGGUGAUUCAUUUUAUGUUUUUUUUUUACUAGUAUUAAUAACUAUUUGGUCUUACGUUAAAAUUUUGACAAAGUAAUAUUCUAAACUAAAUAUGUUUGAAGUAGAAUACAAAGAAAAUUGGCAAAAACUCAAAUACAAAAGCCGAUUAUAAACCGCCGAAAUCAAAUGGCCUAAGGUACACGUGCAGUGCUACACGAGUAAACUAUAUUAUGAGACGUUAACGUCGUCGUUUUGGCACCCUCUCACCGCAUUUCCUUCUUGUAGCCCUUUGUCGCGGCAACAUGGAGAGUCCUAGCUUCUUCUCAAGUUCCUAGUUCCCGCUCAUCCCAAAGCUUAAACCCACAAAACCCGCCGAUCCAAAACCUAUUUCUCUCCAAGAUUUCAAAUCUUUGUAAAGAAAACCUUCAUCUCUCUCGUUUGUAUGAUACACCCAAUCCGUGAUGGGAUCCUACAGAAGAGCAAAGCUCGCACUCGACGCCUUCCGCGGCUUCACAGCGAGGAUUGCCCCCAAAGCCGCCGGCAGAGAGCCCAUCUCUCGCGUUUUUUCAACUGGUUCUUCUUCUUGCAUCCAGCACAGCUAAGUUUUCUGGGUUUUCCUCCAGUUCUUCAAUUUGACACCAAUCAAUUCCACAACUUGGUAGAAUGACAAGAACAACACAGUACAAAAGCCCCUUUCUUGAUAGCACUAAGAGAUAUUACUAUGUCGACCGGAUCCGGGUUCACCACUUCAAGCCGAGAGGCCCCCGGAAGUGGUUUGAGAAUCCCAGGAACGUUUUCAUUGUGGGUCUUGUAGGUUCUGGGUUUUUUAUCACUGUAUUUUGGGAAUUUGGAGACGAUUCCGUACACGAAGCGAACCCAUUUUAUAAUUUUGUCGAAAGCCUUGGAGAAGAGGUUGGGGGAGACCCAAUUCCAGAAAAUGAAAGAGAGUUUCAAGGGGGACAUUUUGCCCGCCAUACAACCGGAUAGCGUGCGGAUUCGGUUGAUUGCCAAGGAUAUAAUUGAGGUUUUGCAGAGAGGGUUGAGCCAUGAGGUGACCUGGACUGACGUGGACUAUGCGUCCGGUAAAGUGGAGCUAGUGCAUGAAGGUGGUGGGAAGGAUACUUUGAUGGCACUGCAGGACGCUCCGGAGGAGGGGAAUUGGUCCCGUGAGGAUGAGAUUCUUGAUGAUCAAUGGAUUGAGAAGAGUAGGAGGACGAGUACGGAGAGAGGUUUGAAAGCUGCCACUUCACAUUUGGAUCAAUUGAAUUGGGAGGUUUUGGUAGUGGAUCGGCCUGUUAUCAAUGCAUUUUGCUUGCCGGGUGGGAAGAUUGUUGUCUUCACGGGAUUGCUCAAGCAUUUUAGAAGUGAUGCCGAGAUAGCGACGAUCAUUGGUCAUGAGGUGGGGAGAUUUCAUUGUUUGAUGUUGUUUAGUUCUUUAAUGUUGUAAAAGCAGUUUUUGUGUUGAAGUGUAAUUUGAUUUGUUUGGUUAAUAGUUGUAGAAUUGUGUGAAGAUAAGAUUAAAAAGUUGAUCUUUUUUCCUUGUGCAGAUACUAUUACAAAGAACCUGUGGUUUGCAACUCUGCAACUGGUACUUUAUCAAUUCGUUACGCCUGAUGUUUUCAACACAAUGUCCAAUCUUUUCUUGAGGCUUCCUUUCUCCCGAAGGUACAUUACAGUACUUUAUAGUUUAGUUUCUAGUCCAUUUUAGUUAAAACUAGCUAGUAAUGCCCGCGCGUUGCUGCGGGAUUACAAAUUGAUCUUAUAGCAAUGUAUAAAUUUGAGUUAGUAUCAGUGUAACAUUAAUUAAUCUAAACAAAAUUACCAUAGUGAAGGAAAAAAAUUAUUUGCUAUAGAAAAAUUAUAGUUUUGAUACCUUACAAAGGUAAUUUGUUUUAAAAGAUUGAAAGCCAGCGGUUUUCAAUCUUGAAAUUCCACAGCAUCCUUUGAAAAAUAGCGACCAUCAUCGGAUAGAACUAUUGUACCACCUACAGGAAAGAAAAAAAAAUGAGAGUACCUGAGAGAUAUUCUUAUACACAAAAAGAAAACACUUGACACUGAAUGAACAAAUAUUCAAACAACAUGGAAAGCACAUCAUGAGGGAUAAUCUAUCGUUUUUGGCCAAGUGAGGAAUGAUAUGUUGAGUACCGAGAGAGAGAAAAAAGUAGUUCUACAUUAUUUUAUAAUACCUGUUGGGUUAGUCUUGUAUUUCACUUUAUUUAUAAAAUCGACUACUGAUAUGGUUACAACCCUGACAACAUCACCCGUAGUAUUGGAUGUCCAUCUAAUUUAACUUAAAUUUCUUCUUCAAUCUUGGAUAUACAUAAUGUUUCAGUUUAUGUUUUACCACACAAAAAAAUUGUGAGUCUAAAUGGAUUUUAUAAAUAGAUGAUAAAACUGUAACUCAGUAGAAUCUAAGACAAUGAAAAUUGAAUAUUAUUUACCAUAAACUGACAUGCAAAUUUAAAUGCAAGAAUGCAAAUGAAGAGAUUUCAUAAACAGAAUGCAAAUGAAGCAGAUUCAAAUGGAGAAUUCAUUCAAUUCAGCAAAGGGAAAUAAAUAGCAACGAAAAUAGUAUGAUUUGGUGACCCUUACCUUUAACUUAUUCCGACAAUUUUCAAUGGGCAAAACUAAUGGUUUAUUAAUUAAAAUCAUUACAUAAUGAUUGCUCACCUUUUGUCAACCAGUAUACAAUGCAGACUUGUAAUUUUAUUAGUCAUUCAUGAAAUUCUCGGUCUCCACAUUCUACACACGUGGACUUUAAUCUUUGUUGCCUUUUUAUACGGUUGUACCUGAUUGAUAGGUGUUGGAAUUGUGUCUUCCAUUCAAGCUACUGAAAUUAAACACAAAUUUUGUAAAUUUGCAAACAGUCAUUGCAGUAAGUUUAAAAUAAACGCUGGAACAACCUUUCAAUCCCAAGUAGUCAUUGCAUAGAAAUCCCCAUUAAUGAAACCUUUAUACACAAACCCUUCAAUAAAAUUAUGUGCAAAAUAAUAUGAAAAUAUCCUCUAAUGUAGAGGGAAUUGCAUGUAUAGAGAUUAAAAAAAAAUAUUCUCUCUGAACCCAUAUGUGGCCUCUCCCAACCUUUCAAUCCCAAACCCUGUACUUGUCCAAGCAAUCCUUUAUAAACUCAGUCAAAAAACAAAACAUCGAUUCCACAAAAAUUAAAAAAUUCCUACUUCUAAACAGAAGAAUCCUCACCGACAGCUUCAAAGGUGUUUUGUAAACCUCUCAGCAUAUCUUUCCCAAUUGUAUUUCUCACCUCCAUCCUCUCCUACGUAACCUGAGCAAUCCAUGUUACCAUACAAACAAAACCGAAUUUGAUACCUGGGUGAAAGCAAAAGCAAGCACUAAUACAUUCAAGUAAAAUAAGGAAUUUCAAAACAUUAUAGCAGAAAAUCAAUUACAUACAAUUUUUCUUUAAACACUCUUUAAAUGCAGAAAAGAAAACUAACCUCUUGUAGAAGUGAUGAGAAGGAAUGACAAACCAGAACACCACCUGUUCAAAAAUACAAAAAUCAAAAAUCAAAAUGAAAAAAGAAAAGAAAUCAACUUUCAAAACUCUGUGCAAAAUAGUGAAUUUGUGUUAUCAUCAUAGUAUCCCCACCAUUAUCAUUUAUCACUACCCACCUGCAAUUCCUUGCUCUCCGUUUUCAAAUCACUCUAAUUCUCAUCCCAGUUAACGGUUUCAAAUCGCCACUAUCCCAAAUCAUAAAAUUCCAGUAAGGGUAUGCUGAAACACAAAAUUCAAUUUCAUUGUGUAUAGACCAACAUAGAGAUUGAGACAGGCUUUAACUUCUACAAUUCUACACAUUUUCAAGCCCUAAAUUUUCCCAGAAACAAAAGAAAAUGAAAGAAGUCGUACCUGGUUUGAAAGAGCGGACGCAAGUAUGGUGGAGCAGCCUUGGUAGAGAUCUCUAGCGAGAAAGCUAAGAAGAUGGAGCAAACCAUUGAACAAAAUAACCCAGAUUUUUAAAAUUAAAAUCACAUAAAUUUCAACAAAUAUGUCGUAGAACUCACCAGGAAACCAAGCUUUCGAAUUGGCGAUUUCCUGAAAAUCAAGCUUUUCUAGGUUAAAAUUUCUUCCCGAAGGCAACAGAUCCAACAUUCAUUCAAACAAAAUUCGAAUUGAAAAAAAAAAGUGAGAGACAAAUACCUUCUUGCGGAGGCCAGCGAUUCGGAGCUUGAGAGAGAGCUCGAGAAAUCUGUGGAAGCAAAUGGAAGAGCCCGCUUUUCCAUGUUUCUUCCCUUCCACGAUGAGCAACACGUGUAUAACACUAUAGGAGGAAGAAAAUCCAACGAAAAGUUGCACGAUGAGGACGCGGGGAGCAGCAAGGGAAAUCGAUAUAAAACAGAGGGGCAAAACAGUCCGCCCACUGGUCAUCCACAGUACCUCGUGGUUGGGUUUUAGUAUAUAGAGAUGUUAUGAUUUUUCUGAACAUUUCUUGUUAGUGCUCUCUUGUUCUGAUGCUUAAUGAGGAUGCAUCUGUGUUCUGGUUGCAAAUAAGGGGUGUGGGGGUGUGGGGCGCCAUGUUUCACGAGUUUCUAUUGUUGCUGAUUCAUAAUUUCCCCACUCCACGGUAUUAUGUGAAUCAGAAAGCCGUCCUACACCAAAUUUUCUUCCGAGUUGAAAAUUAAAAUGCAAAUUUUGCAAUUAUGUUUGUUAGAACAAAUUGGUUGUUUUAUUAGGACGACAAUAACAACAACAAAAACCAAGCCUUAUCCCACUAAGUGGUCUGGUCCUAUUAAGACAUAUAAGCUCGUGGAAUCUCUUUGAAAUGUUUUAAGAGCCUUGGGAAAUAUUUAAGAGUUUAUCUUAAUGUGAAAAAGCUUCCAUGAUAUUCCCCCCAGUUCAUCGAAAAGAUAAAAGCUUUUAUGAUUAUAAAGUUCCCUGUUUAAUUGUUCCAAACAAUGGAUUGAUGAUCGUCUCGAAAUUUUUCAAUGGGAAUUGUUUACUAUAUAAAUUUAUGACGACGGUUACUUGGUUGGUAAAAUACUUUGGUCUCUUGCUCAAGUGAACCAUUCAUUAACUCUUGGGUUCCAGAAAGGGAAUUGUAUUUAUAUAAAGACACUUGACAGUCCCUAUCACAAAAAAAUUUAGUAUUGUGGUGAUCAUAUUUGAGAGCUUUUUUUCAAUGAUGCUUCCUCGGAAAAGAUGAUGGUGACCUCCAAUGUUAUCUUACUGAAGGCUUCAUCAUAUGAUCUGUGAUACCGUUGGGAUUGGUCUAGUUGAUACUUACUGUUAGAUUACUCGGUAUGUCAGUUGUAGUGAAUCUAGUGAAUCACCUUUUUUUUUUCUCUACCCUUUCAUGUUUCACCUGUAAAGUAGUAGUAGAAGUAAUCUUUGAGAAUGUCGUAAAAUAGUUGGAUAAGUUGAGUGUUUUUGGACUAACAGAAUAGUAAUCAAUUAGCUUUGGACUACUAGGUGAGAAUUCUUUGGAUUAAAGCUUGGAUGUGUAAUUUUGCUUUGCUUUUUAUAUUUUAUAUUUUAUUUUAAUCGCCCACUUGCCGCCCAUGUUCCCUUGCAUUUUCUUGGGACAAAACCAAAGUAUACAGAUUCCUUUCACAGUGAAGUUUCCUAUGUCCAUUCCUGGAAGAAGUGAAAACGAGUGAUCUAAUUUGCAUCGACUCAUUGACUUCAUAUCUACUAGACCAAUUUUCGGUGAUCCAAUUUGUAGAUCAAUUGAGUAUUUCUGUUCUUACAUCACUCUUAGUCUUAGCUGCUCAAUCAUCGCUGACCAGUUGCGAUCGUUUAAUGGCUGCUUCUUCUUCUUCUGACGUUCGUUGGAAAUACGACGUGUUCAUCAAUUUCAGAGGGGAAGACACUCACACCGGCUUCAUCAGCCAUCUCUACAGAGCUCUGCUGCAGAAACCGAUCAACACCUUCAUUGAUGCCGAAGAGCUCAGAAAAGGCGACCGCCUUUGCGAGGUCCGGACAGGGAUUCAAGAGUCAAGGCUUUCGCUUGUAGUUUUCUCUCAAAACUAUGCUCUUUCCACUUGCUGCUUGAAAGAACUCGUGGAAAUCUUGGAACGCAGCUAUACUAAGAACCAGAUUGUGGUCCCCAUUUUCUACCAAGUUGAUCCGGCUACCGUUCGUAAACUCAAGGGAACUUUCGCCAAAGCUUUUGUUCAGCAUGAUCACGAUUCUAACCUCUAUUCUAAAUCCAAAAUGCUAGAGGUUGAGAGCUGGAGAUCCGCUCUUACAACGGCCACCAAUAUUUCCGGCUUGGGGGAUCCGCGAAACUAUAAGUAAAUUCUAAUUUGUUUUAGUUUCCUAUUAAUUUUUGAGAUUUUUGUAAUGUUUAGGCAUAAAUAUUUUGUUUUAAAUUUAUGCAAAACGGUUGUAAAAGUUCAUUAGAUCUCUGUAUGCAAGAUCUAUUGUUGCUUUUUGAGACUAUUAUAUAUCAUGAAGGAAAAAAAUGGAAAACCCAUUUACAAUCUACUUUCUAUGAAACUAAAAAUUAAAAACUAGAGGCCAACAUUUGAAAACUAAAAAUUUAGAUUAAAAAAAAUUAAAAACAAAAUAGUAUCAAAACGACCCAAUAAUUAUUAUUUGGUGUUUUUAUUAUAUUGUUUUUAAUUUUGACAGGAAUGAAGCAGAGCUUAUUGAGAAAAUUGUAGAAGAUGUUUAUACGAAAUUGAUGCAAUUCUCAUCAACAUCAAGCAAAUAUGACGUGUUCAUCAAUUUCAGAGAGGAAGACAUUGACAAAGGCUUCAUCAGCCAUCUCGAAGGAGCCCUGCUGCAGAAACAGAUCAACACCUUCAUUGAUGCUGAGAAGCUCCGAAAAGGCGACCGCCUUCCCGAGCUCCUGACGGUGAUUCGAGAGUCAAGUCUUUCGCUUGUAGUUUUCUCUCGAAACUAUGCUCGUUCCACUUGCUGCUUGAAAGAACUCAUGGAAAUCUUGGAAUGCAGAGAUACUAAGAACCAGAUUGUGGUCCCCAUUUUCUACCAAGUUGAUCAGGCUAACGUUCGUGAAGUCGAGGGAACUUUCGCCAAAGAUUUGUCUCAGCAUAAGCACGAUUCUAACUCCAAAAUGUUAGAGGUUGGGAGAUGGAGGGCUGGUUUGGUAUUGCUGUGCUUUGAAAAAAAGCUGCUGUGAGAAUAAGCGACUGUGAAAUAAAUCAGCAGAGCGUUUGGUAAAUUUUUUUGUAAAAGUGCUUUUGAAAAAAAAAACAGUCUGAUAGUGGGUCUUUUCAUUAAAGGAGCACUGUAGCCCCAUGUGCUUUGAAAAAAAGCCAGUUUUCCAAAGCUGCAAAUAGCAGCUUCAGCUUUUUCCUUUGAUUUCAGUUUAUUCUCACAGCAGCUUCCAAAAUAAGCCUUUUUUUUCAGUUUACCAAACACCUAAAACCCUAACAGUUUUUUUUCAUAGGUGCUUUUUUUUUAAGCACCUCACUCCCAAACUAGGUCGGAGAUCCGCUCUUACAACGGCCACCAAUUUUUCCGGCUGGGACCCGCGAAACUAUAAGUAAAUUCUAAUUUGUUUUAGUUUCCUAUUAAUUUUUGAGAUUUUUGUAAUGUUUAGGCAUAAAUAUUUUGUUUUAAAUUUGUGCAAAACGGAUGAAAAAUUCAUUAGAUCUCCAUAUGCAAGAUCUAUUGUUGGUUUUUCAGACUAUUAUAUAUCAUGAAAGAAAAAAAUGGAAAACCUAUUUAAAAUCUACUCUCAAUGAAACUAAAAAUUUAGAUCCAAAAAAAUUUAAAAACAAAAUAGUUAUCAAAACGCCCCAAUAAUUAUUAUUUGGUGUUGUUAUUAUAUUGAUUUUAAUUUUGACAGGGAUGAUGCAGAGCUUAUUGAGGAAAUUGUAGAAGAUGUUUUUACGAAAUUGAUGCAAUUCUCAUCAACAUUAAGCAAAUACGAUGUGUUCAUCAAUUUCAGAGGGGAAGACACUCGCAGGGGCUUCGUCAGCCAUGUUUACAAAGCUCUGUGUCAGAAAUCAAUCAACACCUACAUUGAUGCCAAAGAGCUCAGAAGAGGCGACCCCCUUACCAAGCUCCUGAUUGCCGUUCAAGAGUCAAAGAUUUCGCUUCUAGUUUUAUCUGAAAACUAUGCUUCUUCCACUUGGAGCUUGAAAGAACUCGUGGAAAUAUGGAAAUCCAAGAACACCAAGAACCAGAUUGUGCUCCCCAUUUUCUACCAAGUUAAUCCAUCUGAUGUUCGUGGACUCAAGAGAAGUUUUGCGGAAGCUUUUGCUCAGCAUGAUCUCGAUUCUAAUGCCGAAGUGGAAAUGGUUCGGAGCUGGAGACACGCUCUUAGAACGACCCCCCAUCUACCCGGCUGGGUUUCGGGAGACUUUGGGUAAAUUCUAAACUGUUUUAAUUUCCUAUUAUUUUUUGAGAUUUUUUAAAGAUCCAUUAGAUUCCUAUAUUGCAAGAUCUAAUUGUUGAUUUUUGGAACUGUAUUAUACCAUGAAAGAAAAAUUGAAAAACUUGUUUGAUAACUAUUUUGAGUGAAACUAAAAAUUGAAAACCCAAAAUUUGAAAACUCAAAAUCUAGAUUUUCUUUUUUUAAAAAAAAUUUAAAACGAGAUAAUUACCAAAAGGACCCAUUAAUUGUUAUUCGGUGUUGUUAUUAUAUUGUUUAUUAAACGUGACAGGGAUGAUGCGAAGCUUAUUGAGGAGAUUGUGGAAGAUGUUUCUAGAAAAUUGAUCCACAUCUCAUCAACAUCAAGCAAAGAUAAUGACUUGGUUGAAAUGGAUUCUCAUAUGCUUGAAAUGCGUGUAUUAUUAAAUCAUCCUGGAUUUAAAACGAAUGAUGUUCGCAUUGUUGGAAUAUGGGGUAUGGGUGGUUUAGGCAAAACAACCAUCGCUAGAGCUGUUUAUGAUGAAAUCUCAUGUCAAUUUGAAGCUAGUUGCUUCCUUGAAAAUAUCAGGGAAGGUUUCAUGAAGCAAGGCACACUACAUAUGCAGGCAGAACUUCUAUCUAGUAUCUCGAACAACAAGGUGGAGAGUUCCGACAUUUCGAAGAAAGGUUUCCAGGUGAUGUUAAAUAGCCUAGGUCAGAGAAAAGUUCUUAUUGUUCUGGAUGAUGUGGACAGAUUAGAUCAAAUUGAAGCUUUACUUGGAGGGCAACAUUCCUUUUAUGGUGGAAGUAGAAUCAUUAUAACAACUAGAGUGGGGCAUUUACUAAGAUUAGCUGAUGCUGUAUAUAGGCCUAAUGUUUUGAGUGAUCUUGGAGCUUUGAAACUCUUUAGGCAGUACGCCUUCAGAACAAACCAACCCACCAGAGAUUAUGACAAUCUUUCGAGUCGUGUCAUACAAUAUGCUCAAGGUCUGCCUUUCGCACUCAAAGUCUUGGGAGCAUUUCUUGAUAACAAAAUUGUACCCGAGUGGGAGAAUGUGUUAGAAAAAAUAAGGAAAAUCCCGCAAAGGGGAAUUCAUGAUGUGCUUAAAACAAGUUUCGAUGGACUAGAUGACACAGAGAAGGACAUCUUUCUAGAUAUUGCAUGUUUCUUUAAAGGGAUGAAGAAAGACUAUGCAACCGAAAUUCUGGACAGUUGUGGUUUCUAUAUCCUCAUACAGGAAUAAGAGUUCUGUUCGAUCGAGCUCUCAUAACUGUCUCAAAGGAGGGGAAAUUGGAGAUUCAUGAUUUACUAGUGGAAAUGGGUAGGGAAAUUGUCCGCCAAGAAUCCAAUGAGCCUGGGAAACAAAGUAGGUUGUGAAGUUAUGAAGAUGUUUAUCAUGUGCUAACUCAAAAUACGGUGAGAAAUAUUUUCUUAUGCAAUUGUUAGUAGAAAGCUGCAACUUUUGAUCAAAAUCUAUUUUUUAGGCCCGUUUGAUAACAAUUUUUGUUUUCAAUUUUUAAUCUUUAGUUUUCAUUUUUUAAUAAUUGAAAAUUGAAGACAAUUACCAAACAAGGUAUGUGCUUUCAAUUUUCAAAUUUCAAAAAAAAAUAAUAAUCAAAACAAAAGUUGAAAAAUGAAAACGAAAUAAUUAUCAAACGGCUCUUUAAUAAUUGAAAAAUGGAAACAUUUACCAAACAAGUUAUGUGUAUUCAAUUUUUCAGAUUUUUGGAAAAUAAUCAAAACAAAAGGUAAAAUCUAAAAACGAAAUUUUAUCAAAUAGCUCCUUAAGAAACAAGCAUUAACUUCCUAUUCUAAACUAUGGUUCUCUGUUCUUUCCUUCAUUUUGAUUUGCGUAGGGUACCGAAGCAGUUGAAAGCAUAACCAUGUCGAUCUCAAAUGAUGAAUACUUAAAUGCUGCAGCUUUUGUUAAAAUGACUCGACUAAGACUUCUUAAGAUCAGUCAGAUGUAUUCCAGACCUCAUUAUGGCAAACAACACCUGAAUGGGCACUUAGAGUUUCUUUCUAGUCAGUUGAGGUGCCUCUCCUGGCAUGGAUUCCCUCGCAAGUCUUUGCCAUCCAGUUGUCAAUUCGAAAAUCUUGUUGACAUUGACAUGCGAUAUAGUCACAUUGAACGACUUUGGGAAGGAAUCCAGGUACGUACAAUCAUCAUUUACAUAUAUAUGUUUCUUUUAAAUGUUUGGGUUAUGAGAUGUCUUAUCAAUUAAUGCAUGUUUUCCUAAAUGUUUUGACAGAAGCUGGAGAAGUUGAAGUUCAUCUAUUUAAGUUAUUGUCUAUACCUUGAGGAAACCCCUAACUUCACAGAGAUGCCCAAUCUUGAGAAGCUAAUUCUUCGAAGUUGUACAAGUUUAGUUAAGGUUCACCCAUCUAUUUCGACCCUUACAAACCUUGUGUUAUUGAAUCUGAAUGGAUGCAAAAAACUUGAGAUUCUAGCCAGCAGCAUACGUAUGCAAUCUCUAGAAACCCUUGAUCUUUCUGGCUGCUCGAAUCUUGAGAUGUUUCCAGAGCCUCUAGAAGUUAUGAAGAAACUAUCGGAGCUUAAUUUAUCCGGGCCAAAAAUUAAAGAACUGCCCUUGUCAAUUAGAAAUCUAACUGGGCUUCGUAUUUUGGGCCUAGAAUACUAAGGGGUCUACCAGUCAGCAUUUGUCAACUUAAAUCCCUGAUUUAUCUCCUUCUGGUUGUACAAAGUUUGAGGUGAUUCUAAGCAUUGUAGAAUUCAUAAGGUGUGUAGAGCUCCUGGCAUGGGUGUUUACACCACCCCCUUACCUGUUGCUCGUGGCCAUUUUUUGAGGUUCAGCUUGGUUUGAUUUUAGAUAAUUGCAGGGGAAUCUGGUUUCAGAUGGGUGGAAAGUGGCGUUCCGGGGUGGAGUUGGUUGAAAGAUACUAGGUUCUUUUAGUUUUUUUUUGUUUUUUUCUGUGUUGGGCUCAACAGUCUGUUUUUUAUUUUUUUUUAUUUUUUUUCUCCCUGGUGGCCGAUAUUUUGGCUGUGUGCAUAUUGUAAUUGGGUUUCGUUUCUUGUAAUUAUGUUGUGUUGGUAUAAGAAAAAAAAUAAGAAAAAAAGAAAAAAAAAAGCAUUGUUGACUGGCACUUUUGGAUGAGUAAGUUUGUGUUCUAUGGACACUUUUGGAUGAGCGGUAUUUCGAGGAAGGUUCAUUUGUUGUCAUAUUAAGCGGUUAUUUUUUGGGAUGACCACAACCUGGAAUACUUCCAGCAGUUGGAUUGGCUACAAUUGCGUUUUUCUUUGGCUAAUACUUUCGUUGUUCCUCACGUUUUGAGUCAAAACAGAUGUUUGUUGCGAUAGCAGAGCUAAUGGAGCUUGCUCACCAUGAACAACAAAAUGGACUUUUACUUUCUUCCAAGGAUUUACAGGACAAUGGCAUUUGUAAGUCUUUCGGAUUCAUUCAGUUAACUAAUCCCCUACUGAUUCUAGCAGUUUUUAGUGCUCUGCAAUUUUUUGGAUAUAUUCAACACACAACAAUUUAUGUUCAUAUAUCGCUUUUUGACAUGCUGCUUGGGGAAAUCUGUUAGCACGAGGAUUUUGAAUGCGUUAGGUUUUAAUUUGGACCAAACGGAUUGGGGAAUCCAUUUUGAUACAAUUGACAGGUUGCAGCAAACUGCACUAGACUUCUAGAUUACUGUUCCAUGAUUUGUUCUACAAUUUGGAACAAUAUUCUAACUUUGAUGGCCAAUGGUGUUUUCUCCGCUUUCAUGAGUGGCUUGACUAAAGCAAUUUCCACUUUUACUUUAUCUAGACAUAUGAUUGAUACUAUGACAUCAGUUUGUCUAGUUGUCUACGAUUGUAUCUCGUACUAUAUAUUUUCAGGCGGGUAGGAGAGAGAGGGUGUCGUCGAGAAGGUUGUCGUUUAGCAGAUGAGGCAAGGAGGGAGAGGGGAAGAAGCGGUGAAGAUGCAGAAGGCGAUGCAUAGUCGAAGCGGAGCAUCCCACGAUGAUCGACGCGUGGGCACCAGGCACAAACGCAGAAAUCAAACCCAAAACACUGUCGCUGGGUAUGCAAUUCCAUCCCUUUCUUUAGAUUAAAGAAAUGAUACGACGUCAAAGACUCAAAAGUAAAGACUCAAAAGUAACAUGAGAAGUCAGACAGGAGAUUGAAAACACAAAGCAGCACAACCAACUGAAUUUUUAUACGACAUGACGUUUGUAGUUACACGUUGAAAGUGAUUCCUGCCCUUUUGAGAUAUUUAAUUGAAUUGAUAAAAAAAGAAUCAACGACAACGAACAUGAAGGAGCACAGAAUGAGGGAAUUGGUUCCAAAAACCAUAAAUAGGUGCACUGCUUUAUAACUUAAUAAAAGAAAUAAGGCAGUCUCUCUGUACAGAUUCUGGUUAGUGGUUUAAUAAACAAAUACAAUAGAAACUACCAUGAAAAAUACUCUAAUUGGAGCUAUAAAACCACUACAUUGCAAGGUACAACAUAAAACUAUCAGCACAUGAGGUUACGGUUACUUGCCACAUCGAAAACUCUUACAGGGCCUCCUCUUCGUUUGCCAAUCACAAAGAAAGGUUCCGCUUCGUCGCUUCCAUUUUUAACAAAAGAUCCUUUAUAUCCGCUUCCAUUCUCAUCUUCAAAUUGGAGUAUUCACGAUGCGCUCGGUCUAAAGCUUGUAGUUCUUCAAGUUUCUUGCUGUGCAUUUCUUCUGCCUCCACUAAGCGCAACUUUGCUAUCCUGCUCCUAAAUUCUUCUUCAAUUUUUUCAUUCUUUGCCAUUGCUCUGCGUUUCAGCCCCUCAGCUUCUCUUCUUACGUCAUCUGCUCGUGUUCGGAACAUUUUUGCCUCGGCCUGCUUGAUCCUCACAAUGCUCUCCAACUCAUCGAAACGAGGUUCUUUUUGGGCACUUGUGUGCAACUCUGUGUCCAUAAUGCGUUUCUCAUGCUGGUCGUAGUUAAAGCUAGGAUGAAUGUUAGCUGCAGUCUCCAACCGAGGGACCUUCUCUGUGUAUAUUGAUUUCAGCCAUGCAGGUUCCUGGCUUGGCCCAGCAAUCCCAUUGCUCACUUUAUUCGGAUACUUCCCCGAUACAAUGGGUGUUUUGCCUAGCUUGGAACUGUCAGCAUCUGAAACAAAAGUGAAGGACUUAUUCAACAAUGGUACAGUUCCCAAAUAACUAAACACAGUAUUACAACACAGAACAAAAGGGCACAACUUUAUGACUCAAUAAAGGCGUCGAAUUUUCUUCUUCAGCAUUUUGUACGCUUGCUACCCGGUAUGCUACACUACCCCCUUAAUAUUCUCAUAUUAUCUAAUAAAUAUUUAUUAAGAGUAUAAAUUAUACAUAAAUAUAGAAAUAUGUAAUCUAUUAGGAAAAAUACAUUGUUAGUUCAUUUAAAUAAAAUUGACAUCCUAAAAUACUAAAUAAAAAAUAAGCAUAAAAAAGCAGAUGUAAAGGCAGUUGAUGAGGAGGAUAUUAUAAUGUCAAUGUAAGUAUUGCAACCCCAUUCAAAUCUAAAGCAGUUGAUCAUGGCAAGUUAUGGUGGUGUAAGGUUUGCGAGUUGGUUUUCUUCUCUCAUAAAUAUUGUUAAUCUCUAAUUGUAUACAUGUGAGAGAUGCCAACAUCUUCCACCCUUGGAUCAUUUGCCCUCCCUUAAGUCUCUUCAUCUUUCACAUUUGUGGAAGUUGGAGUACAUAUCAGGAAUGAGAGCAGUAACAGUAUGAGUGAUGAGAUGAUGAGGAUCUCAUUCUUUCCCUCCCUGAAGUCCCUCUACAUAUAUAAGUGCCCUGUUCUGAAGGGAUGGUGGAAGGCGGACACUCUACACUGCUUCUUCUUCUUCUUCAAUGAAAAAUCUGUCGUUGCCUUCUUUUCCCUGUCUUUCUACAUUGAGGAUCUGGGAUUGUCCUAAUCUAACUUCACAGAAGGGACUCGUGGACUCCCCUGUUUAAAUGCAUUGUACAUUUCUGGUUGCCCCAUGUUAAGCGAAAGGUGCAAGAAAGAAACAGGUGAGGACUGGCCAAAGAUUGCUCACAUCCCAAACAUUGCCAUUGAUUAAGGUUCAUUUUCUAACUUGUUUCAAUUUACACUUGCCUAAUUCAAUAUAAACUAUGAAAUAUUCAAUUUUUUUUUUUCAGUAUAUUCGAGACUUGGGAGCAGCCUCCUCAUAAAUGGGGGGGUCAGGCUAGCCGACAUUCACCUCUCCCAGACCAUGCGUAAAGCGGGAGCCUUGUGCACUGGAUACGACCUUAUAGUCUUAUAUGCAGUGAAUGGGGUGUCAGCCUUUUAGAUUCAAUAUGUGAUGGCCAUGUUGACUACUUAGAGUGGUUGUACAUCUACAUCAUUUUGAUUUUGAUCUUUGGGCUUUAGGUACUAUGCCCACCCCCCCCCCCUCCCCCCGCGCGGUUGUAUGUUUUUUCUUCAAGUAACAUAAUAUGGGCACGAGGGGCUAGCCUCCUAGCUUCUACUGUUUAAAUAUUUCCUUUUAAUAUAUGUUGAUGUAUUGGAAGCAAAACAACCUUUGUUAGCAUAUAAGUCGCAUAAUUAUACACAAACAAUGGUAAAAAGAAUUACGUCUAUUAAUUGUCAAUGCACUGGAGUAACCGAAUAUUCGACCGAAUGAACUCCAAAAUCUACUCUAGAUACGGCUCAGGACACCAAUAUUUGCACCCCAUACCCGAAAUUAAUCGCAAUAAACACUAUUCUCAGUAAAGCAAAUAAACUGAUUAUGUUUUGUUUAGUCCUAAGGAAAUUCAUGACAACCAUUACAAAAAUUAAAAUAUUUGUUGUCUUUUCUAAGUCCUCUCUCUAUAAACAACUCAGACAACUCUUAGUUUCUUUGUUUUCUUUUCCUCGAUUUCCUUAGCAAUCAAAUGGUCUCCAUAACUCAAAACAAAUUCUUAAAACGUACCGAAUGUUUACUAAUAUUUUUCUUCUCUUUCCUUUUUUUUCAGCUACCCAAUUGAACCGGUCUCUUAAAUUUUUUUAAUCUGCAAUCAAAAUCUAUUGCUUUCUUAAGUUUUCUUCAAAAAAUUUACUUAUUUGUAAUCAGAAUCUAUUGGUUUCUUAAGUUUUCUUUUCCAUCUUCUAUCCCGCAUAUCUAAGUUCAUUAUUAACCCACACCAGUUCAUACUUAUAAUAUGUUAUAGGUUUAUUUUUGAAAAGCUGAAGUCUGAAGAUGCUAGUAUUGCCAAGAACUAAAAAGGGAAAAGUACAGACCUUGAUAUUCACACAGAGAUCUUCCAUGUAGUUCUCUGGCAUCUACAAAAACAAACUUAUCAACAGAUCAGUCAAAGAAAAAUUAUUACAAACUCUGCAAAAACAAAAAAACGAUAUGGUUGUCAAGUGGGCCCUUCAGUUAAAAGGCCCUAGUGUUAAAGAAAACUAUUAGCAUCUAUUGUUGAAAACGAUGUGGUUGAGUAAGUCUUUAGCAUAGCCAGGAAUGCCAACUCCAAGGAAGAAUUUUGCCAGACACAAUAUCUUGUCCCCUGGAACCCGCAAACUCUAAGCUAAAGCAUUAAUAUGCAUAUAAUACAAACCUCAUUUUUCCCCAGGAGGAAAUUGCAUUGCAACAGAAGAGCAGGAGCGAAACCGGCAUUUAAUCAAGCAAAAUAGAACCAAAUUUUCCUCUUUAAAUCAGAAAAACGAAAAGAAAUUUAAGCUCAUUUUUCUUUUCUUUGCUUUUCAAUCAUUUUAUCGGGAAACAAACAGAAAGUUAGGAAAAUGAUGAGAUGCGGAGAGAGUGAGGGACAGACGGAUUGGAUAAGAGACUUGUCGGAAGCGGGAUCGUUGGCAACAACACCCAAACCGACGAACCCCAAUUUUCACAUUCUGUCAUACAUGCCCCUACACAUUUUUCAGAUCUGUUACACCAAAAACAACACAGAAAAUCACAAAAAACCCCAAAACAAACCCAAAACAAACAGUCACAUCCUACUUUACAGCACUAUGAACAAAUGAAAGAUGAUCGGCAUGGUACAUAGUUGAUUCUCAUAUCGUCCUUCGACAACUUACCAUCGUUAAGCUCAUCCACUCCUGCACAAUGAUAUAUAGAAGAAGGUCUACUUAAUCUGAUAGAAAUAUUGACAUAAAUAUUACUCCACAGACGCUAAAUCCAUACUUUUAAAAGAACCCAGAAAAAAAAAUAUAACAAAAUUAGAUCCAAAACAACAAAACAACCCAUGUUUAGAGAGAGAGAGAGAGAGAGAGAUGUCAAAGCGAUUUGCUACCUGUUUGGCAGUGCUUGUGCGGGUUGAAAUUCGAAGACUUUGAGAUGUGAUUUUGGGGCGUCGGUGAUUCCACUGAACUGGAAAAUCAGAACUCAUUUCCAAAAGUAAAAAAGUAUACGUAAUAGUAUUGGAAAAUAAAAAACCCGAGCGAUUUUUCAUUUUUUAUGAUGAAAAAUAAAAAAUAAAAUGAAUGGAGUCGAGUGGAAGCAGAGGAAGAGACUGACCUCCAACAACGGCGGCCGUCAAAAGAGCUUCCCAAAAGCGACAUGAUCUUGCUGCCAUGAUAAUCCUUUGUACACAGGCAAUUCUAAAACCAUAAGAUACAUAAAACAAACUUACUGAUUUAAUAGAAUGGUUAAACCCAAAGUUAUUUAAUUCAAACACCUAACUCAAACCCUAAGCACCAUGAUAAUCCUCAAACCCGGGAAAGUGUGUAUAUACAGUAGCAGAAUCGCAAAGCCACACUUGAAUGUCUGAAGUUGAGGCUUGAGCUUAAGUUGUUCCAUGAGUGCAUUAGCUUCUUUCCACCCAUCUCAGCUGUCAAUGUGGCACUUUCAACAGCCCAGAUAGCAUCAUCCACCUACAAAUAUUGCAAAAGAAAAAUAUUUUACGUCCUAAAUCCAAACAGCAAAAGAAAAAACAUAAAAAAUUAAGUAAACAGAAUGCAACUGAACUUGCACAGCUUGCUUCUCAAAUUCAUGAAAUGUUGCUAGAAUGUCGUAGAUGCACGGCAAAUUCAUCAGGUAAUUUCUGUUGCCAAUGAUUUUCUAUCACACGAAUUCAUUUUGUGUUCAAAUUCCAAGUAAUUAAUAAUAAGAAGGAUACCAUGAAUUUUAUUACCCAAAUCUUGUAAUUAAUAAUAAGAAAAAUACCAUGAAUUUCAUUUUGGAAAGCUGCUUUUAGUUAGUAGAUCCAUUUGAGAAUGCAAAUAUGGCAUACCAGUCAAGGGUCCGACCCAAAGGAAGUGAAAGCUUUUUUGACAGUUCAAUACCUUCCUCUGGUGAAAACAUAUCCUACAAUGCAGCAAGAACUAGAGUAGAAGGAAUAAUAGUUGGUUUCCAUUUCGAACCUCAAAACCCUACUUUAGUCUCUCUUACCGGAGAAAACAGCAUCUCCGGUGAAAGUGAAUUCGAACUUGGCAUCCAUUCCUCCAUCAUACUUAGAAGCAACCACAUCCUGAAGUAAGUCCCCUGAUGAACUUCCCAUCCAUCCACUGACUCCGGAGUCUUGAACUUUACAAUUGUAAGUUUGCUCUUGCUACUCUUUCCUGCUCGUAAUUGCGCCAUUUUGUUGUUAUAGUCCUGCAAUGCAAACAGUCAAAAGGUUCACAUAAGCAACUCUUGAAGGGUAAAAUUCAAAUCCAACAUUGAACCAACCCAUGAACUUAAGGACAUCAAAACCGAAACAGAUUACUAAAUGUCAAAAAGGAGUAUUUCAAGGAUAUGGCAAUAAUGAUCACACCUGAAAUGCUUUAGUAAGAUGGUAGACCCCUUUGAUCAACCCUGUAGAAGUCUUGCAGUAGUGCAAUAGAUAUUCUUGUUACAGCCUUGUACUGCGGCGUACAGGACAGGGUAGCAGGAUCACCCACAUCCCCAGUCAAUGGCAAGACAGAUAUGAGAGAGACAGAAAAUGACAACAACCACCGUUUAAAGGAGUAAAAGCAGAGUUAACACAGAGAAAACAACAAAAAAUAUCGGUAAAGCACCCAGACCCUGCGUAAAGCGGGAGCCUUGUGCACUGGGUACGACGACCGUCUUCAAUCUGUGGCACUUCAUUCUUAAUAAAGAACAUUUCACAAAAUUCCAAAUCUGCUACAACAUCAAAGGACGGACCGAAUAGGAAACGACAUCGUUCAUUAUCCAGAUUGAAACAACAAUCCUACUAAAAUUGACUACUCAUAAGUAUCUCAUUCCACUAAACUUUCUUCAGUCUAAGCCUAAAUAACUGCAAGCAAAAAAAUUCCAAGAUACAUACUUUCAUCCAAAUCAUCCACCGCAAUGACAACACCACAACCUGUAUGUUCCUUCGGCUAAGAUUAAAGCAAAAAUUGAAACCCUAAUCGUUCCCAAACAUGCUUUUGGAAUCAGAAGAGAAAGGAAACUUGAAAUUAGAGGAUCAUACAGAAUUGGGCUGGGGAUUGGACUCGUGCACGGAAUCGCCCUCUUCCUCCUCCUCUUCAAAUUGAUCACAUCUGCAUCAAAACCCACUAUCAAAAAUCAUAUAAAAAUCAAGGCAUUCACCGAAAAAUCUCUAAAACCCACAAACCCAACAACAACAACAACAACAACAAAGCCUUUUCCCACUAAGUGGGGUCGGCUAUAUGAAUCCUAGAACGCCAUUGCGCUCGGUUUUGUGUCAUGUCUUCCGUUAGAUCCAAGUACUCAAGUCUUUUCUUAGGGUCUCUUCCAAAGUUUUCCUAGGUCUUCCUCUACCCCUUUGGCCCUGAACCUUUGUCCCGUAGUCACAUUUUCAAACCGGAGCGUCAGUAGGCCUUCUUUGCACAUGUCCAAACCACCGGAACCGAUUUUCUCUCAUAUUUCCUUCAAUUUUGGCUACUCCUACUUUACCUCGGAUAUCCUCAUUCCCAAUCUUAUCCUUUCUCGUGUGCCCAUACAUCCCACGAAGCAUCCUCAUCUCCGCUACACCCAUUUUGUUUACGUGUUGAUGCUUCACCGCCCAACAUUUUGUGCCAUACAACAUCACUGGCCUUAUUGCCGUCCUAUAAAAUUUUCCCUUGAGCUUCAGUGGCCUACGACGGUCACACAACAUGCCGGAUGCACUCUUACACUUCAUCCAUCCAGCUUGUAUUCUAUGGUUGAGAUCUCCAUCUAAUUCUCCGUUCUCUUGCAAGAUAGAUCCUAGGUAGCGAAAACGGUCACUUUUUGUGAUCUUCGCUAGAUUGCUCCGGUCAUUAGUGUGGAUAAGUAUAUAAAUGGAUAGAGAUAGGAAAGCAAACACAAGAUGUACGUGGUUCACCCAGAUUGGCUACGUCCACGGAAUAGAGGAGUUCUCAUUAAUUGUGAAGGGUUUACACAAAUACAUAGGUUCAAGCUCUCCUUUAGUGAGUACAAGUGAAUGAUUUAGUACAAUGACAUUAGGAAAUAUUGUGGGAGAAUGAUCUCGUAACCACGAAACUUCUAAGUACCGGAGUGUGGUAUCGUCUUGACUUGCCUUAUCUGUCUCAUAGGUAGAUGUGGCAUCUUCUCUGGAAGUACUCUUCCUCCAUCCAGGGGUGGUAUCUGUAACUGGUGGAGAUGCACAAGGUAAUGUAUCAAUUUCACUUGAAGCUUACUUGUAGUUUCAGGCUUGGUCAAGCGCGAUACAAACCAUGUAGUAGGAGUCCUCCAAGUCGCCGAGUUAGGGGAUCUGCUGAAAGAGGUGACAGACAAGGUAAGCAAUCAGAGCUCCGGCUGAUUGUUCACAUUCUCCCUAUCUUGCAGGCAACAUGAAGGAUAAAGAGAAGAAAAAUGAGAAGAGAUGAUAUGGGAUACUUUUGCUUUUGAAGAAGUAACUUUCCACAUGCUUAUUCUUGAACUGGACUGGAGGGUUUUCUGGUUUCCUCCAGAGUAUAAGGCCGAUUGAAGAAUUUGAGGGUCAAAACAAGUCCAUCAAAUCUAGAGUACGUUCGACCCUGCUGAUAUGGGAUACUUUUGCUUUUGACAGAGUAGUGGACGUAUCGGCACGUGUGCUGUUACGCUUGUCUCCACAUGCUUCCUUGUAUCCUUCUCACUUGCUCUAUCUGUUCCUCAGACAGAUGCGGUAUCUUCCCUGGAAGCAUAAGAUGUUGAAGAUGAGUACUCGAGAGCAAUGCCAGGUAAGUAAUCAGGUAAGGGGUUCCAGGCAGUCAGUUCCUGGCUGGAAGCUUGAUUCCAAGUGCUGACUGAUUGCUCUCAUUCUCCUUGUCUUGCAAGUAAGAACAAGGUCAAAGAAAAAGACAGGGAAAACGCAUGAUAUGGGAUACUCUUGCUUUUAACCCUGAUGAUAUGAGAUAUUCUUGCUCUAGUAUAUCUUGUUUACAGAGGUAUUAUCGGGGGGAAAUAAAGCUGAAUAUUUCGAAAGGCUUCGUUGGGAGUGCCCUCUCAGAUAAGAUGAAGGGUUGAGCAUUUUUGCAGGUCUGCCUGUCCGUUGGGGAUGGAGGUCGACAUAUAUAGGAGUCUCCCUAACAUCAAGUAAUAAUGCUAUUCCUUUACCCUGUUUGGUCAUAGCACGGUAGUGGGAGCUGCCAGCUUCACAUGUUUUAACUCUGUCAGAGCACUUUGAAAAAGUGGUCUGUGGUAUCUGGAAAGCUGAUGUUGUGUGUGAAGAUUACAGACAAGCUUUAUCCAAGGAGAUCCAGCUCUUGAAGUUGGGAAAGUGGUGCCUCUUCGGUUUUCGAACAAGCAAUCCUGUCGGGGAUCUGGCUCUCAAGAUUCGGAGAACGAUGCCUCUUCGAUUUUUGAGAAAGCAAUCUUACUAGGGGUCUGGCUCUCGAGAUUCGGAGAGCGGUGUCUCUUCGAUUUUUGAGAAAGUAAUCAUGUUGGGAGUCUGGCUCUCGAGAUUCAGAGGGCGGUGCCUCUUCGAUUUUGGAGCAAGCAAUCUUGUUGGGAGUGUUUUCUCGAAUGUGAGUAAAGGUUGGGCAUGUUUGCUAGUCUACCUUGCCACGAAACACAGAGGUUGACACACAGGGACUUUCCAAUUAUCCAGCAGUGGUACUGUUCCUUUACCCUUUCUUCGAUUUUUGAGAAAGUAAUCAUGUUGGGAGUCUGGCUCUCGAGAUUCGGAGGGCGAUGCCUCUUCGAUUUUGGAGCAAGCAAUCUUGUUGGGAGUGUUUUCUCGAAUGUGAGUAAAGGUUGGGCAUGUUUGCUAGUCUACCUUGCCACGAAGCACAGAGGUUGACACACAUGGACUUUCCAAUUAUCCAGCAGUGGUACUGUUCCUUUACCCUCUCUUCGAUUUUUGAGAAAGUAAUCAUGUUGGGAGUCUGGCUCUCGAGAUUCGGAGGGCGGUGCCUCUUCGAUUUUGGGGCAAGCAAUCUUGUUGGGAGUGUUUUCUCAAAUGUGAGUAAAGGUUGGGCAUGUUUGAUAGUCUACCUUGCCACGAAGCACAGAGGUUAACACACCGGGACUUUCCAAUUAUCCAGCAGUGGUACUGUUCCUUUACCCUUGUGGGUAAUAAUAUGGUAGCUAGACCUUCAAAAUUUAUGUGUCUAAACUUUGUUAGUGUUGUUUCUUUGCUAUUCUUUUACCCUUCUUGGUCAGAGCGAUGUAGUGGGAGCUGCAAGCUUCACGUUUCUCAACUUUGUCAGAGAACUUUGGCAAAGUUAUCUGUGGUACCCAUGAGCUACUGUUGCGUGUGGGAAGUGGGUGAUUGAACAGUACGAUUCAUGUGCUUUCUACUUCGCCAGAAAUCUUCGACAGAAUGCCCAUAAAGCUGAGUGUGCGUGUGACAGGUGCUGACAAGGCUGGAAAAGUAGGUGCCUCUUCGAUUUCUAAGAUCGGCCCUCAUGGUCUCUGAGCAGCCCAGCUUUUGAGAAAGCAAGCCUCUUCGAUUUCUGAGAUCGGCCUUCGUGGUCUUUGAGCAGCCCAGCUUUUGAGAGAGCAAACACCUCUUCGAUUUCUGAGAUCGACCCUCGUGGUCUCUGAGCAGCCCAGCUUUUGAGAAAGCAAACGCCUCUUCGAUUUCUGAGCAGGCGCCUCUUCGAUUUCUGAAGCUUCGUCGAGUGCAGAUUUUUAUAGGGGCUGACAUUAAGUUCCAAAGCACACUUGAAUAUCCACCAGUAAAAGCUCCAUUCUUGCACUUCUAAGAUCUUGAUUUGUCCGACCUCUUCUCUCUUCAACACCUUUGAAAAUGUCUGGCCCCUCCGACCGUCGUUUUGACUUGAACCUUGUUGAAGAGGCAGCCUCGCCUUCUCCAGACAACAUAUGGCGUCCAUCCUUCGUCUCCCCUACUGGUCCUCUUACCGUUGGGGAUUCCGUGAUGAAGAAUGAUAUGACCGCUGCGGUAGUGGCCAGGAACCUUCUCACUCCCAAAGAUAACAGACUACUUUCCAAACGGUCUGAUGAGUUGGCUGUUAAGGAUUCUCUGGCUCUCAGUGUUCAGUGUGCAGGUUCUGUGUCUAAUAUGGCCCAACGCCUAUUUGCUCGAACCCGCCAAGUUGAAUCAUUGGUGGCUGAAGUGAUGAGUCUCAAACAGGAAAUUAGAGGGCUCAAGCUUGAGAAUAAACAGUUGCACCGGCUCGCACAUGACUAUGCUACAAACAUGAAGAGGAAGCUUGACCAGAUGAAGGAAUCUGAUGGUCAGGUUUUACUUGAUCAUCAGAGAUUUGUGGGUUUAUUCCAAAGGCAUUUAUUGCCUUCGUCUUCUGGGGCUGUACCGCGUAAUGAAGCUCCAAAUGAUCAACCUCUGAUGCCUCCUCCUUCUAGGGUUCUGUCCAGUACUGAGGCUCCGAAUGAUCCCCCUUCUGUGCCUUCUAUUUCUGGGGCUCUACCGACUGCUGAGACUUCUCCUAAGCAACCUUUGUGAAGGCUCCCUCUUGUUUUUUUAUUUUGACUCAAGUAUAUGUACAUAUUUGUAACUUAUCGGGGAUAUUAAUAAAUAAGCUUUCCUUCAUUUCAACGUAUUGUGUUAAAUACACCAAAGUCUUCUUCGCUAAGUUCUUUGAAUUUUCUUUUGUUGAAGCUUGUAUGUUGAAGCUUUGUGAGUGGAGCAUGUAGGUUGAGGUAGUGUUCCCUUAAUUUCCCGAGUGAGGAAGACUUUUCGGUUGGAGACUUGGAAAAUCCAAGUCACUGAGUGGGAUCGGCUAUAUGAAUCUUAGAACGCCAUUGUGUUUUGUCCUGUGUCAUAUCCUCCGUUAGAUCCAAGUACUCUAAGUCUUUUCUUAGGGUCUCUUCCAAAGUUUUCCUAGGUCUUCCUUUACCCCUUCGGCCCUGAACCUCUGUCCCAUAGUCGCAUCUUCUAAUCGGAGCGUCAGUAGGCCUUCUUUGCACAUGUCCAAACCACCGUAACCGAUUUUCUCUCAUCUUUCCUUCAAUUUCGGCUACUCCUACUUUACCCCGGAUAUCCUCAUUCCUAAUCUUAUCCUUUCUCGUGUGCCCACACAUCCAACGAAGCAUCCUCAUCUCCGCUACACUCAUUUUGUGUACGUGUUGAUGCUUCACCGCCCAACAUUCUGUGCCAUACAGCAUCGCCGGCCUUAUUGCCGUCCUAUAAAAUUUUCCCUUGAGCUUCAGUGGCAUCCGGCGGUCACAUAACACGCCGGAUGCACUCUUCCACUUCAUCCAUAAUUAAGAUUAAGGGGUUUAUAUGAGCAAGAACACAAACAAACUUGGAAAUGUCAUAUAAUCCAAACCCACUUCCAAUAUUUGCCACAACGAAAUGAGGCCGUAUCAGCCCAGCCAGAACCUUCUCGAUAACCUCCUUCACCGCAACCUAUCAAUUCCAACACAAAAAUUGAGAAAAUGUGCGAGAAAAUUUGAGCUUGUUUUUUCUCCGAAACCAAACAGGGGGCACAGAUGAGCCUGCUCCUGCUCCCAAAAACAUCCUCCAUGCCUUCAAACUUGUAUAAUCCAAUGAGUCUUCUCAAAAUUCUGCAAAUACCCAAAUCAAAGACGCAAAAUUUAAUGCAAUUGCAUUCGAAUUCCAAACCAAAAAUUAGGAAGGGUUUCGUUUUCCUUGGAAAUUUUUCUCGGAAAACAAACAGAAGACGGAAAAUAGAAAAAGGGAAAAGCGGGACUUACUUGUAUGAUGAGAUACAGACGAGAAGAAACAUCAGCUUAAUUAAUUAAUUGAUCCUUCGAGUUCAAAUCUGCUGUGCCCAAAAAGCCUUUGCCCACUCUCUUCCUACACUGUCCUUGUGACACCUGUCUUUUUACUUUUUUGAGGGAAACCUGUCUUUUUACGUAACAGAGAAUAUUAGCUGUUUUGAACCCGGGGCUAUUUAUUAUCCUAAAACUAUUGUAUAUUUUUAUAAUUAAAUCGUUUUAUUUUUUAAUUUUUAUUAAAUGAUAAUUUUUAGAAGAAGUUAUUUUGAAUCGUAAAUUGUUUAUGCAUCUUAAUAGAUGAAAUAAAUAAAUGGUGUGAGUAUUAAGGAACAUAUUUAUGAUGACUGUUUAUUCAUUUAACACAUUUCGACAUAAACGAAGGCAUCAUAUGCCCAAUGGGGGAAGCUGCUCCCACUCAAUUUUUUUUUGUCAUGAAAAAUGCUAUAAUUAAUAUGUAUACUCAUAAAUAAAGUCUCAGUCAAAAUAAUAUCUUGUGUUCUAUAAUUUUCUUACCAUCUCACCCUUUGGAUCAUGUAAUUUUUCCAGUAGCUAAUAAUUUACAAUUUUACUGUUCUAACACCCGUUAUCCAACAUCAUGUUGUUUGACAAUAAGUUGUCCCCACUAGAAUAGUAUUUGAUGUGUUAUAAGGUAAGAAAUUUUAUCUAAAGUAGUUUGUGUGUGACAUAAAGUACUGUUAAUUGUGAUGUAGAGAAAAUUCUUCCUUAUCUUAUAUAAGCAACAAAAGAAAACGAUGACUUUUGUCUCUGGAUAGUUUUAGGUGAGGUUCGGGAAAUUUCCUCCUAGGCCUAUAGAUAUGUGUGUAUUCUAUGUAAGAACGCAUACUUGAAUGGAAAUCAGUUCUUUGUAUAAACUUCUCUUGUUGAGUAAAUAUCCUUGCUUGAGUCAUCCUUAAUUUGUAACAAUCCUAAUUAGAGUAAAGCCUUUAGUUUCUCUAGGUUCAAGCACAACACAAGCUUGAGCACCAUCUGAGAACUCAACAAGGGACAUUUGAGAGCGGGGUGUGAACCCAUGUUCUCCCAACAACAAAAACACCACAAUUUCCUCAUGCUCCAACUUCAUCAUUUUUGAACCAAAGGAGAAAGCUAAGGCAGCAAGGAGAUUGCAUAUAUCGGUCUCAAUCCUUUUGACAUAGCGCACCUGGAUUUAGGGUGAAGAAUUCCUACUCCUGUGGCCAUCAGCUGUGGUGGUAGACAAGUAGGAUGCACUGCAGGGUUUAUGGGGUGUAGCAGCAGAACCAAGAAUUGAGGGUGCACCUUGAAAUGGUUCUCUUGGAACUUAAAAGAGAGAGUGUUUAACUUUAUAGCUGUAGUUAAGGCAUCUCCCGGAUCCCAUACAGGCCAAAGGUCAAGGUUACUAGUCAACAACAGUGAGAAAUCAACAUGUAGAUCAAUAGUCAAGGCACCAAAAAAACUGUCGUCUUAUUGCAGUAAUUGGGAUAGCUGCAUCUUCUGAUGCCAGCAUAGUUUCAAAGAUAAUUCCCCAUUUAGCACCAGCUUGGGCAAUCUCAACUAGAUAGGAAUUUCCUUUCAAAGACGUUCUACCUGAAGUCUUGAUCGAUUGGAGAUGACAACAAACAACUAGACUUGAACCCAGGUUCUUAUGCCUCACUAAUGCCCAUACGGUCAUCAUGUCUUCUUCUGCCAUUGUGAAAACCCAGCACGCAUCUAUAACAAAAAUGCCAUCAGACCACAGAGGAGCGUGCUGCAUAUUUCGUCCAUGAAGCAUUUGGCUGCCAAUUGUGUUUGUAAACAGAUGCUCCUAAAAUAUGUAGUAGGAGAUACAAUAAUUGUGUUGCCAAGUAUAAACUUAUAGCACAAGUGUUGCAAUCAUAGACAACUAGACAAACUGAUGUCAUAGUAUCAAUCAUAUGUCUAGAUAAAGUAACAGUGGAAAUUGUUUUAGUUAAGUCAUUCGUGAAAGUGGAGAAAAUACCAUUGGCCAUCAGAGUUAGAAUAUUGUUCCAAAUUGUAGAACAAAUCAUGGAACCUCUAUCAGUAAAUCUAGAAGUCUGUAGUGCAGUUUGCUGCAGCCUGUCAAUUGUAUCAAAAUUAUCAAAAUGGAUUCCCCAGUCCUUACUGUCCAAAGUAAAACGUAACGCAUUCAAAAUCCUCGUGCUGACGGAUUUCCCCAAGCAGUAUGUCAAAAAGCGAUAUAUGAACAUAAAUUGUUGUGUGUUGUAUAUAUCCAAAAAAUUGCAGAGCACUAAAAACUGCUAGAAUCAGUUGGGGAUUAGUGAACUGAAUGAAUCCAAAAGACUUGUGAAUGCCAAUGUCCUGUAAAUCCUUGGAAGAAAGUAAAAGUCCAUUUUGUUGUUCAUGGUGAGCAAGCUCCAUUAGCUCUGCUAUCGCAACAAAUAUCUGUUUUGAGCUCAAAACGUGCUGAAGAAGGGAAGUAUUACCCAAAGAAAAAUGCAAUUGUAGCCAGUCCAACUGCUAGAAGUAUUUCAGGUUGUGGUCAUCCCCAAAAAAUAACUGUUGAAUAUGACAACAAAGGAACCUUCCUUGGAAUACCGCUCUCCGUCCACUUGAGUGAUUUCGCUCCCUUCUAAACAAAAUUCCCACUUCAGUGCUUUCCCAAUCAUCCUUACAUAAGUACCCACAGAACACAAACUUACCCAUCCAAAAGUGCCAGUCAACAAGAAGGUAAUGGGAGAACCCAAAAUGAUCUCAAUAUCACGCUGAACAUAUCGAGUCAGGAAAGAAUUAUUGAUGAACCCAAUCAGGGAAAUGAAGUGAUAUAAGGCAGGGUAAACAUUUUUGUUCACAAUACAAACAGAUUCGAAUACAUAAAUAAACACAUCCCUGGUGCAACGUUCCCCAAUUUCAACAAGCAGAAAGUCAGGAACCGAUUUAGGAAUCUCCAUCCAACGGUGCAGAUUAAGUAAAAGGUCAGGUCUAUAUUUCUAGCCAAAUUCUCUCUGCUGCAUUUUGUCAAACACAUCGGCAAAUAUGUUUCUUCUACUCCCAGAGGAAUUAAACACACAAUCAUUCCCAAGGUCACAAGAUGUCUUAAUCCUUAAGAUAUCCUAAUUUGACUUUAACUAGGAUUUUCAUUUUGGAUACAAGUAAUAUCGUUAUUAGGCCUAAGCCUAUCCUACCAGACUACGCUCCAUGGACUUCGGACAUUCUGAUUAUCCCUUCCACGUGUCAUAGACCAAAAAAAUCAUGGUCUCACAUCACUCUCGAGACUUAAAUGAGUGAACCUUCAGGCCAUCUCCAAUGGAAAUGGUUAUGGGGCCAUACGUCAAGUUUUAGCCCGAAAUGCCACAAAACUCAACUCCAAUGGAGAGUUGGACAAAAAAAAAAAAACCAUGAGGAAAAUCAUGCUUCUCUGUUUAGACAAAAACAUGGCCUGAUUUGGCCAUAUUUUACUUAAUUAGAACACAUGAUUUGGAAAACACGCAAAUUGUAGGUAUUUUAAUUGAAAAAGAUGCGGAGCUCUUAGAAAUACAUUAUGUUUGCUGAUUGUAAAUCAGGACCCAUAUUUAAAAACAUGAAUCUUUAUUAUCUUGACUCAUUUUAAUCAAUUUUCUCACAUUCUAUCCACCUUAAAAAUUAUGUCUCGAUAAUCUUAUUUUCACAUGAUAUAAGUAGUAAAUAAAUUUAAAAAGUAAAAUUAAAGCUAAUAAAUUAAUAAGGAGCUAUAUUUAGGGGAUGUAGUCAAAUUAAGAUUUUAUAGGAUUUUAAUGGACUUUAAAAUCCAAGUAUAGUCAAUUAGAAUUUUAAAAUGGAUUUUAAAGGACUUUGAAAUCAUAGUAUAGUCAAAUUAAGAUUUAAGAUGAUUUUAAAGAAUAUACCAAAAUCCAAGGAUAGUCGAUUAUGAUUUUAAAAAAUACAUCGAAAUUCAUGUGUAGUGAGAAUGCUAAAGAUUUAUUAGGAUUUUAAUGGAAGAGGGAUUUUGAUGGAUUUAAGAGGGAAAGUAUAAAUAGAAAAUGACUUCAACAAUCCAACUUUCACCCCUAGGAUUUCAUUUCAAGGCCAAAGAGUUCUAUCUACAAUAGUCUUCCUCAUUUUUGGCCCUGCCUGAGAUCCAGUGACUAUCUCACCACCUAUACAUACAAGGUUUCCUAAAUCCCCAUUUCCCUAACUUCCUUUCGCCGCCCCUCAUCCCUCCCCGAGACCCACCCACUGUAACCGCAGUUUGCUCAUCCAUUUUCUAAAUUUUUAUGGGUUGAGGAGGUGGUUGCGUGCCAAGCAAGAACAAGCCACCAACGGCGUUUCCGAUCAUAAGCUUCCAAACCUGAAACCAAUGGCCCUGUUUCAUACCAGAAUUAAUUCCAAACCACACCAAAACAAAACCCAAUUGAUAUUAGGCUCCCACAUCAAGAACAACAAACACAAAGGAAGUUGAGGGUUUUCAUAGUGUUUUACUCAAUGUAUGGGCAUGUGGAGAUUUUGGCCUGGAGGAUAAAGAAAGGGGUCGAUUCCAUUGAUGGGGUUGAAGGGUUUCUGUUUCAAAUUGCUUCAAAUAGAGGAAGAUAAGGUUUUCUCAGUGAAAGAGUUAAGGGAUAGUAAAAUUUUUUGGCCAAUACUGGGAUGAAAGCUAGUGGAAAAGUUAUCCCUCUUUGCAUCUUUUGGUGUAUACAUCUCCAUAUACACCAUUGACUAGAGUGCUUUCCAUUAUUUAUUAGUUUUUCAUUACUAUGUGUAAACUGUGAGAACGGAAUUGGUAUUCGUAUGCCUUGUAAUACAAAUAGUGGUCGGUGGUUUUGCAAGUUUAUAGAAUGUAGUACCGACUCGUUUCAGAAAUUCAUUCAUGUUGUUGGAGUCUAAAUCCUAAGAAAUCCAUAAAGAAUUCUAUACAAAUCCAAAGAAAUCUAUAAUAAAAAUCUAUAUAAAUAUGCCAAAAUCCAUAUAGAUUUUAGAGUCUAUUAAAAUCCUUUAAAAUCUAUCACUUAAAAAAAAAUCUAUUAAAAUCCUCUGAAAUCCAAAUCGACUAUACCUCUUAGUCAUUUCGAUCGAAGAUGAUAUAUGAAUAUGGUCUAAUUCUGUUCAUGAAAAAAUAAUUUCUUUAUAACUCUAGACGAAACUAUACGUAUCCCUUUUAGUUGAAGAUGACCUCAAGGUCACAAUUCAUAGUCUUGUUUGUUAGCAAGUUCAAUACACGAAUUUCCUCAUUUAUCAUAGAAUGGGGGUAAGGCUAGCCGACAUUCACCUCUCCCAGACCAUGCGUAAAGUGGGAGCCUUGUGCACUGGGUACGAUUAAUCAUAGAAGACCAAAAAGGAUAAAGAAAAAAAAACUUCAAGAUCUUUGACUUCUCAGCUUUACGCCUUUCGCGCCUGAAGACGUAACUCUCUUGCAAUAGCAUUGUUUUGAGGUGCAAAUUUGCGUGCCUUUAGAAAGUCUUCCCGCGCAGCAUCUGAGCAGCAAAGUAUGUUUACUCAUACUUUUGGCCUUAACUUACACUCACUCAAAUCUUUCAGCUACACUUGGUUUCUGUAAAAGCAAAUAUAUGUCAAAUCUUAGACUCUUAGUAGCUUUUUAGCUUCAAAUAUAUGCCAAAUUAACCUCAUAAGUGGAUUUUCGAGUGAUCGAGUUGGACUGAAUGAAUACAUGAAGAUGUUUUCUUACCCUUUUCUACUUAGUUUCUUCAAGAACAAUUCAUCUUUAGGUCAUUAUCAAGCCGGAAACUUAUUGUUUUUAUUUACGAAUUGAUAAGAUUUUGGAAAUAAUUUGUAUAUCGAGAAGGAAUGCAAUAGUUGGAUAUUAUGACUACCGCUUCUCCGAUUCAUCAUUCCUCCAUGCUUUUAUAUUGAGUAACUCAGAAAUCCUGUGUUCCAAAACUCAUGUAGUAUAAGUGGCGAUGGCAGCUAUAUGGUCCGUGUACAAUGUGCAGGAGAAAGAAGAAGAUUGUCGUUCCCCUCUGCGUACGAGUGAAUUAGAUUUCCAAAUAAUCAAAUAUUAUGGGGCACUAUAAUUCCUAUAGGGUAUUACAAUCCAUGUGAGCCUCAGAAAGGGCCGUCACAUAUAGACUACUGCUCAUUUUUUCAUCUUGUUUGUAGGUCAAGACGGUGAAAAUGAAAUAGUAACUGAAGAUGCUACCUUCGUUCAUGGGGAACCUUCUCAAGAUGCUAAUGGUCCCCCAAAAGUUGAUUCUGCGGUGGAAAUCCUUCACGAGAAUGUGACAAAGCAAAUCAUUAAGGAAGGUCAUGGUCAAAUACCAUCCAAGUAUUCUGUUGUGCUAGGAUAACACCAAACCCGUUGGAACCAACUCAAGCUAACCCACAAGAAAUUUACCAAAUGAAAUGCAAGAACAAAAUAUUAAAGAACACCAAGAUUUUAACGAGGUUCCUCAACAGUCAGUGUAACUGGAGUACGUCCUCGGAGCAGUAGGAGCUCACCCAAUAAUCCACUAUCAACCAAAUGGGAGUUUACAAAGUGUUGGCAAUCUCACAACCCAUAAGCCCAAUACACCCAAUAGCUCUCACACACCAAAGAAACAAAUAGAGAAAGAAAUAUAAUGAAUAAUUUCUUCUCUACACAUAUAGCUCAAAGCUAUUACAACAACUAUUUUUUGUGGAUGAUAACUAACCAAAAUGAAGCAUCAACUUCUUCUUUCUGUUUGGGCUCUCUGCAACUCUCUUGCUCUCGGCAGCUAUUUCUCAUUUUCUUCCGCUCUCUGUUUUCUUCUUAUCACCACACAAGCAGCAAUUGAUGCUAACAAUUCAUUAAGUCACCCCGUGACUUCUCACAUGGACCAAAGAAAAAACACAAAAAACUUUAGACAAGACCCAUGUUUUCCUCCCCAAAACAAGGAAAUAUGUUGUCCACUUUUGGUUUGUUUAUUCUAAAGUAUAUGGCCACUUGGCCACAUAAUCCAACAAUCUCCACCUUGGCCAAGUUCCGAAAAACGCCAUGAUAAGCCAACCAACACAAUUAACACACAACAUCACUCCCAAACACUAGCAAGAGAACAACUCAUGCCGAGCCAAAUGCUCCAAAACUCCUACUGCUCAACGCCUUCUUUAUAUAGGCAUAAUGUGAGCCAAGUUCAAACAGUGAACAAACUUGGCUACACCAACAACCUUAGUCAACAUAUCAGCGGGGUUGUCUUUAGUUGGAAUCUUCUGGAGAAUGAUUUCCCCUUCACCAACAAUUUCACGAACAAAGUGAUAACGCACAUCUAUGUGCUUGGUCCUCGCAUGAUGAACCUGAUACUUAGCCAAAUAAAUGGCACUCUGACUAUCACAAUGUACCUCCACCUGCUUCUGAUCAACCCCCAAAUCUCUAAUCAGCCCAUGUAUCCAAAUGGCAUCCUUUAUAGCUUCAGCAACUGCCAUAUAUUCAGCCUCUGUAGUAGACAAGGCAACAGACGACUGCAAAAUGGACCUCCAACAAAACUGGCCCUUUAGCCAUAGUAAACACAUAGCCUGUAGUAGACUUCCUUCCAUCCAGAUCACCUGCAUAAUCUGAAUCAACAUAACCAACUGCAAAAUGACCAAUACCAGAGUCAUCGCUCUCAAAGCAUAAACCAACAUCUCGAGUACCAUGGAGAUACCUCAAUAUCCACUUAGCUGCUUGCCAAUGCUCUUUACCUGGAUUAUGCAUAUAUCGACUCACCAUGCCAACUGCAUGAGCAAUAUCCGGUCUAGAGCAUACCAUUGCAUACAUCAAACUACCAACCAAAUUUGCAUAUGGUACAUUUUUCAUUUGCAGCUUCUCUUUAUCAUUUUUAGGACAUUGUAGAGAACUCAAUUUAAAAUGAGGAGCCAAAGGGGUACUAACCGGUUUGGUUGAAUCAUGAACUCCAAACUUCCGAAUCAACUUCUCAAGGUAUUGUCUUUGAUUCAAACUGACCAAAACCCUUCUCUCUAUCUAUCUCUAGUGAUCUCCAUGCCAAGGAUCUUCUUUGCUUCACCAAGAUCCUUCAUCUCAAACUCAUUCUUCAUUUGUUUCUUCAAUUUCUCAAUCUCUUCAACAUUCUUUGAGGCAAUCAACAUAUCAUCAACAUAUAUCAAUAAAUAAAUGAAAGACUCAUCUUGCAAAUUCUUGAAGUACACACAAUGAUCAUAUUGACUUCUAGAAUAAUUUUGGCCUCUCAUAAAUUUAUCAAACCUCAAAUACCAUUGUCUUGGAGAUUGCUUCAAGCCAUAUAGUGAUUUCUUCAAUUUGCAAAACAAGUUCUCCUUCCCUUUCACUAUAUACCCAUCCGGUUGACACAUAUAAAUCUCUUCAUUCAAAUCACCAUGUAGGAAAGCCGUCUUCACAUCAAGUUGCACAAGCUCAAGAUCAUAUUGUGCAACAAGAGCUAACAUAAUACGAAUUGAGGAGUGCUUCACAACUGGAGAAAAUAUUUCAUUGUAGUCAAUGCCUUCCUUUUGUGCAUACCCUUUAGCAACUAAUCUUGCUUUGAAUCUCACAUUGCUUUUCUCAUCAGCAUCUUCCUUCUUGGCAUACACACCCAUUUGCAACCGAUAGCUUUCUUGCCCUUAGGCAAUUUAGCUAACUCCCAAGUCUUGUUCUUCAAGAGAGAAUUCAUUUCAUCACCCAUGGCAUUGCACCACCUCUUCUUCUCCUCACUCUCAAUAGCUUCCUCAAAAUUGGAUGGAAUCUCUUCAGUGAUAAUAGGAAGAGCAAAAGCAACAUAGUCACUAUACCGAGCUGGCUUGGUAAUUUGUCUCUUUCCUAUGUUCUUGGCAAUAGACUCUUGAGGUGAAACUUGCUCUUCAACUUGAAUAGAAUCUUCAAGUUCAACUUCUUCAACAUCCUCAUGGUCUCCAACUUCCUCACUUGUAGUGGCUUCGACAUCAGCGGAAAUAGGAUUUGAAGUACCAGAGGCAACUUUCUCAAGCUCCACCUGUUGGACAUUUUUCACAUUCUUCUCAGAGCCUUUGUACAUACUUUCUUCAUCAAAUGUCACAUCUCUACUGAUUACAAGUUUUUUCAUCUCUAGACACCACAACCUGUAACCUUUGACACCACUACUACUAAAACCAAGAAAGAUAGCCUUUUUGGCUCUAGGAUCAAGUUUAUUUUCAGUCACAUGAAAAAUAAGCAGGUGAACCAAAAAUACGGAUAUAGUCAUAAUCAGAAGAAGGUUUUCCAGUCCAUACCUCCAUUGGUGUCUUACCCUGAACAGCAGCUGAGGGUAACUGGUUGAUGAUGUGACAUGCAUAAUUAACUGCUUCUGCCCAAAAUGACUUGCUUAAACCCGACUGAGACAACAUACAUCUAACCUUCUCAAGCAAGGUUCGAUUCAAUCUUUCUGCAACUCCAUUUUGUUGUGGAGUUCCCCGAACACUGAAAUGUCUCACAAUUCCUUCCUCUUUGCAAACUUUAAAGAAAGGGUCGGAUGUGUAUUCACCACCAUUAUCCGAUCUCAAAAUCUUAAUAUUUCUCCCAGUCUGGUUCUCAACCAUUUUCUUCCAACUCAAGAAAAUGCUCAAUACCUCACUAUUGUGCUUCAUAGUGUAAACCCAAGACCUUCUUGAAUAAUCAUCAACAAAGGUCACGAACCAAUGUCUACCACUCAAAGAGGGAGUCUUUGUAGGACCCCAAACAUCCGAAUGCACAUAAUCAAGAAUGUCCUUCGUCUGAUGUACAGCAGUACCAAACUUCACUCUAGUUUGCUUCCCCAAGACACAAUGCUCGCAGAAAUCAAGCUUACAAGUCGUGGCACCUUUUAGAAGACCUUUUUUCACAAGCCCUUGUAGAGCUUUCUCACCGGCAUGGCCUAAUCUCAUAUGCCACAAUCUAGUAGUAUCUGAAUCAGAUGUGCCCAUAUUUUCAGAGACUACAGAUGCUUCACCUAUCACAGUGUUUCCCUGCAAUAAAUACAAAUGGCCACAUCUAGGAGCUUUCAUCACAACAAGUGCACCAUAAGUAACUUUCAAUGUCUGUCCAUCUGAAUGAAACCUGAAGCCCUUGGAUUCCAAAGUACCCAAAGAAAUAAGAUUUUUCUUCAAAUUCGGUACAUACCGAACACCUGUCAACUCUUUAACCAUGCCAUCAUGCAACUUCAAACGAACUGUACCAAUCCCUUUUGUUGUGCAAGGAUUGUCAUCUCCCAUGAACACAACGCCACCAUCAAACUCUUUCAAGCUUGAAAACCAAUCCUUGUGAGGAGUCAUAUGAUGAGUACAACCCGUAUCCAACACCCACUUAGUAGCACAAUCAAAUGAUGAGGAAGUGGUUAAAGCAAAAUCAGAAAAAUCAGUUUCAACCUCAGCAACAUUAGCUUCAGAACUUUCUUUGCCUUUGGUCUUCAAUUUUGGACAAUCUUUCUUCCAAUGGCCCUUAUUACGACAAAAGGCACAUUCAUCCCUUUCCAAAGGUUUUCUACCUUUAGAGUUUCCUCUAGGUCGAGACUGUGAUUUUUUCCUGCUAGAAGAUGACCUCCUCUCCGAUGAUCUACCUCUAACAAAUAAAGCUUCAGAGGUACUAUCAUGAUUUUUAUCUCUAUGCCUCAUUUCAUAAUUCAUCAAGGCAUUUGACACAUCUUCAAAUUUCACAGCUUCUUUACCAUGCAUAAUAAUGGUAACAAAAUGCUCAUAAGAGUCCGGCAAUGAAUUCAACAAUAUUAAGGCCUUAUCUUCAUCCUUAAUAUCCUCAUCUAAAUUUAACAAGUCGGCAAUCAACUUAUUAAAAGCAUCAAGGUGUCUAAUCAUUUUUGUACCUUCUUUGUAUUGGAAGCGGUAGAGCUUUUUCUUCAAGUGUAGCCGGUUCUCUGCACUCUUUGUCAUAUACUUGUCUUCCAAUUUUUGCCACAACACACUUGCCAAUGUCUCCCGCAUCACAAAAUACUUCUGAGUUUUUGCAAGGCACAACCGAAUUGAAGAGCAAGCCCACAAAUUUAAUUUUUCCCAUUCCGGCUUCGACAUAGCUUCCGGCUUCUCUCCCAAAGCGGCAAGUAGAUCUUGUUGAGCCAACACAUCUUUGACCUCACAUUGCCACAUCCCGAAGUUGUUUGUGCCAUCAAACUUUUCCACUUCGAACUUUGCAUUUUGCACCGUAGUUCUUGCAAACCCGGAGCUGCUUCCAAAAGGAUUUUCAUCUUGCCCGUCUGACAUCUUUUGGCAACUAGACAGUACCCAAGAGCAACCAGUGCUCUGAUACCAAUUGUUGUGCUAGGAUAACACCAAACCCGUUGGAACCAACUCAAGCUAACCCACAAGAAAUUUACCAAAUGAAAUGCAAGAACAAAAAAUAUUAAAGAACACCAAGAUUUUAACGAGGUUCCUCAACAAUCAGUGUAACUGGAGUACGUCCUCGGAGCAGUAGGAGCUCACCCAAUAAUCCACUAUCAACCAAAUGGGAGUUUACAAAGUGUUGGCAAUCUCACAACCCAUAAGCCCAAUACACCCAAUAGCUCUCACACACCAAAGAAACAAAUAGAGAAAGAAAUAUAAUAAAUAAUUUCUUCUCUACACAUAUAGCUCAAAGCUAUUACAACAACUAUUUUUUGUGGAUGAAAACUAACCAAAAUGAAGCAUCAACUUCUUCUUUCUGUUUGGGCUCUCUGCAACUCUCUUGCUCUCGGCAGCUAUUUCUCAUUUUCUUCCGCUCUCUGUUUUCUUCUUAUCACCACACAAGCAGCAAUUGCUGCUAACAAUUCAUUAAGUCACCCCGUGACUUCUCACAUGGACCAAAGAAAAAACACAAAAAACUUUAGACAAGACCCAUGUUUUCCUCCCCAAAACAAGGAAAUAUUUUGUCCACUUUUGGUUUGUUUAUUCUAAAGUAUAUGGCCACUUGGCCACAUAAUCCAACAUAUUCAACAUGCUUCUGUAAGUGUCAAGUGGUUUCCUUUUUGGUAGUGCUGUGCUGUGUACAUUAGUUGAAAAUCCAAUAAUUGUUAUGUGUGCAUGUAUUUGUUAGUAUGGGAGUAAGACAUGAAUGAGCUUGUGACAUGCAAACAAACACACAACAUCCACGUUCACAGAGUUGUGUACGCGUAUAGGAGAAUUAAUUCUGCAUGCAUUAAGAUUUAUAAAAGGGAUGCCUAAGAUACAUGUAGAAAGGUUUGGCAGUGAAUUUUUCCUCUGGUUUUUUCAGUCACUGAGUGAUUGGCAUAUGUGUGUUAGUGCACUACAGGGCAUGGACUAAAAGCACAGGACACAAGUUUGAGACACAUGGGAUGAACAACGUGUUAGACAUAUUCUGAAAUCACAACAACAAGACAUUAGGAUCACAAAUAAAUCAAAUCAAUAUAAAAUAGAAAUUAACUAAUUAUAUUAAACUUAUCUGUAGAAUACGGAAGACAUUGCAAAUUUCUAGGUUGUCUUCUACUUCCAGUACUUCAAUAAUAUCUCUCUGCUGUGAAUAGGGUUUAGCGUAUUUUGAGAGAUUAAGCGUAUGGAAGCAGGGACUUAACCAUAGUAUUUAUAUUAUUAGGGUUUAAUCAUAACCAGCCUAUUAUUGGUUGUGAAAGUCGAACCCUAUCACUUAAGUGUUUAAGUCCCACCAUGAUACUGUAUCUUUGUAGUGAAAUCCAUCAUAUUUCUUUUAGGUCAAUUGCAAAGGAUAAGACUCCAUAAUCCUUAUUUCAUUUGGACUAUCAGAUUACUUAAGUUGUUAACAACUCAAUAAACAAGUGGCCUACAACAUAAGUAAUCCAAUACAUCAUUCAUUGUCAUUCACAACCUUACAUUCUCCCACUUGAAUGUCAAUGAUUCAUCCUAACAAAAUAAGAACUCAUGGUGAUCACUGAGUCUUCAUAAGUAUGCAAUAACCUUUCCUAGCAACCUGUCACUUUGAAUCGAAUGCAGAACCAAAGAAAACAAAGAACAACUUGGUCUGUUCCUUGCACUCCAAGAUCACAUACACAUUCAACUUAAAGCACUUUGUUGCUAACAAAGUCAUGGUGUCAAGAGCUAAUACUCAAAACAUUAGCUCAUAAUAGUCGAACUGAAAAUAUGAAAAAUAUAUUUCAGUACAAAAGUAGUUCACAAAAGAACUCAACAGCGUUGGUCACAAAAUCCAACUUUUCUGUCAAUUUAGAAUAUAAUAAGAGAACAAGUAAAAUACAACAUACUGUUUACAAAAUCAGGACCUCUUAUUAAAACUUAUGAACAAAAUUUAAACCAAAUUUACUCUUAAAGUAUCAGCCACUAAGACUUCAAAUUUUCAAUACAAAAGGUAAUCUCUUACUCCCACUGAUUAACAGAGACAAAAUUAUAUAGAUAAAUUAGUAUUACUCCCACUGAUUAAGAGAGUAAAACAAAACUUUGUAAAUGGCUACAAAAUGAAACAGAUACCUUUCAUGUACUCCCAUUGGCAAAACAUUAGUCAUGGGAUUUAGAACAUAAAAUUUGUGAGCUCAACAUCUUUAUUCUAGAUAUCUGUAGGAAGUAACUCUUAUGACUGAAAAACUAUACAAAAUCAUUUGGUUAGUUUUGUUCAUCUAACAUUUGACAGAAAUAGAAAACUUUAACUAAAUGUUUUCUUAUCGCAUCAAAAGCAUAUAAUUCCAGAAUCAUCUUUGGACAGAAACUAAUUAUAUUACGUUUGCAUAGCUAAAACAUAAAAUACAAGGGUAAACUUAUAUAGCUUCAACACUUUUGAGCAGAUGAAGUAUAUACAAUCUUGUCAAUUCCAUGUUUCACUAUACAUUGAUUUAUAGUUGUACUGAAUAAGAAAACACUUUUGAGCAGAUUAAUUAUUCCUUAAUAACAUAUAAAUCACAAGUCCAAUUUCUUGAACAACAAACAAGAAUUAAUAAGCAAAACACUUUUGAGCAGAAUAUACUCAUUAACCCUUCUUGAAUUUCUAGCAAGAUUAGUUGCAUAUAUAAAAUAUAAACAAGUAUGAUAAUGUACGUUUUAUCUACCAAAACUAUGACCAUUAAAAGCAUGCAAAAUUGAUGAGUGUGAAGCCCAUAAUACAUUAUUUCUCCCACUUGGGCAAACACUCAAAAUUGCAAGAUUAAACACUAGAGAAAGUGAUUUUCAUAUAACAAAAUAUAGGCUAGUUGAAUCAAUAAAGAUCAAAUACAUAUAUAUAUAUAUAUAUAUAUAUAUAUAUAUUUUUUAAUAGGUUCGAAUUAAAAGUUCCAUAACUUAUGCAAUUACUACAAAUUUUAUUUUAUUUUAGUGUAAGAGAGAAGACUCACAUAUGUGUUAAUGAUUAGGUCAUAAAUUAAAAUGAAACCUAAUAAGAGAAUCCAAACUCAAAAUUUAUGUUUUAAUUCUAAAACAAAUUCGAUUAAAAUAAACACUUAGAUAUCUCAAUAACAUCAAUUUUUCAACAAUAAUUUUAAUCCAAUUUAGAACUCAGAGAAAAUUAAGACAAAAGAUUGGUAAACUUACCUACUUAUUCUCGAUGCUUCAAGAUUCAUCAUGGAAGUAGUCGAGUUGUGGAGGAUCAAACCAAACGCAAAUUGCAUGAUCGUUACACCUUUGGGCAGAAACUAAUCAUGCAAAUAAAAUACUUGCAUAGCUAGCCAAAACAUAAAAUACACAAAAUACAUAUAGCUUCAACAGCUUUGGCCAGAUGAACAUAUGUUAAAAGUAUUUUAUGAUUUGCUGUAACAGUAAUUUAUAAUUGGUGAGUGAUUUCCUGAAAUUCCCAUUGGGACAAAAGUAUUCACCAUAUAAAUUAGAAUUCUGAUUUUUCAAAAUAAUCUUUUAGAACAAUAUUAAAUAACCAUUUUCUGGAUAUUCAAUGAUUCUCAAAAGAUUCAAUCAGACACAAAAAGUAUGUCAUUGUUUGACAUUGAACAAUAGAGUUCUCGAAAGAGGAAACAUGGUUAUUCAGUUAUUCGAUAGAGACCCAAAUGAUCAAUUAGUAAACUGAUGCCACUUUCCAAUUUUGUCUCAAAAGACAAUUAUCAUCAUAAUUAGAAUUGAUGACCAAACAAAACAUUGGUUUAAACAAAACAAACCAAUACAUCUUUUAAAUCAAAAUUUAAUCAGUGUUGUCUAUAAAAUUCAUUAGUAUUGAGAAUUUGCAUAAAACAAGGACAUAUUGGAACCAUAACCUUGUAUAAUAAUCAGUAGCAAUAGAUGUGCACAAAUCAGUGAAACAAUAUCACAUAAGAAAACUAGUUUUGAAGUACCAAAAUUCAGCAGUACUACUUUAGUUUGCAAAUUUACUAAAAAAUUCAAUUCUCUUUAGAUUGUCUUGAAAAUUUUCUAGUAUGAACUAGACAUAUAUGACUACUAUUUCACAAAAUUUCAUGAUUUUUAAAAUUUUUAAGCGAGCCAAAAAUGAAUUCGAAAAGAGAGGUGCUGCAGAAACUGCAGAAAAUGUUCAGUACAGACCUGAGAUUACAAAUUCACAAAAUAUUCAUUGUUCAUCCGAUAUGCAUGAAAAUUUUCAGACAUAAAGAAAACAUACAAAACUGUUAAUUCCCAAAAUUUCAUAAUUUUUGAGAUUUUACAAGUGUACUAAAAACAAAAUCGAAGUAAGUUGUGCUGCUGAAACAACAGAAAUUCUGCAAAACAUACCCGAGAUUAAAUAAUUCACCAAAACUUCAAUCUUCCUCCAAUGUGCAUGAAAAUUUCUAGAAAUGAGUAGACAUAUAUAUUUACUAUCACUCAAAAUUCCAUAGUUUGUUCGAUUUUACAAGUGAGCUAAACAUAAAAUCUAAAUGGAAUGUGCUGCAGAAACUCCAUAAAUUCUGCAGUACAGCCUCGAGAUUAAAAAUUCACCAAUAAUUCAUUUUCAAACAAAUGCUCGUGAAAAUUUUCUUCUUUAAAAAAGACAUCUCAAUGCAUAUCAUACUAAAAUUCCAUGAAUUUAGGAGUUGCGUAGGUAUAUCAAAAUAAUAUCACAAACAUAUUAUGCUGCAAAAUUCCAGUAACAUAGUAUCACACUUAAAAACAAUUUACCAUAAAUGCAUUUCUUGUACAAAAAAAAAAAAAAAAAAAAAAAGGAACGAAAAUUUUUCUGUAUAUACAAUCCAUUUAAUAUUACGACAUAACCGAAUUUCAAAAUAUUUGGAGUUAUGGAAGUCUAUCAAGCCCAGGUUAUCGACAUGAAUGGGUUUCCUUUUAAUGAGACUUUAAUGGAGUCAUACCCCUAUAAUAUUAUAGUUUGGAAGGACUAUAAUUUAGCAUGAUUAAUUUUGACAAAAUUUUAGCAAGAAAUAAUUCACACCACAAUGAAUCAAUUUAUUAAAAAAUUGAAAACCCCAAUACGAACCGACUGAAAGCAAUUCAUAAUAAUGUAAUUAACCACACAUCAAAAUUAUGACAGCAAGCAAUCCUUCAUAAUACAAUAAUUUGUUUAUGUAUACAUAAGUUGCAAAUAGUUUCACCAGUAUCGGUUCAUCGAAAACAAACAGAUUGGGAAUGCCUUUUAUAACAUGUUAAUUAACAAUUGUAACUCAAAAUUUGCAAGCAUGAAAGCCGAUAAAAUCUUCUAUGAUGGCUCACCUAGGAAACCAGUAUCCAUAAGGUUAAUUUGAUCCAUCAACUCAAAAUAAUAUGAAUACAAGCAAACUUACCAAAUUUAAAAAUUUAAAGGCUAGUUUAUAUGGCAAUAAGCGGAAACAAGAAAAAACACCAGAAUCAUAUCAAUUAGUCGAACCAAUAUAUAUGUAUGUAUGUAUAUAUAUAUAUAUAUAUAUAUAUAUAUAUAUAUAUAUAUAUAUAUAUAUAUAUAUAUAUAUAUAUAAUUUUAGGGUUUAUAGGAGACAAAGAAACCUGAGAAAAAUAGAGCCAAAAACCGCCGGAAAAAUAUUUGAGUCUCAAGCUUAUGUUAAUUAGUUGAACCUCUAACCAAGAACCAUUAAGCAAACACUCACAUGGUUCAUCCAAAAUAAAAUCAAUCAUCGAUUUAUCUGUCAAGUCGUUUAGUGAUAGAUAAAUGAUAUUGAUUCCUAAAGUUUUACUUCAUUUGUUGAAGUCUGAUACUCCUUCUAUUUGAUGCCAUUCUGAUGGAAGCAAUUAGCCAAUAUGCAAAGUACCAGUUUUGAUGCGUGCGAAAUAUGCAGCAAGUUUACAACAAACUCAUUCAAGAUUGCGGAAGCAUUUAACCAAGAUCAUCCAAGUGUUUUCAUUACUCUGAAUGGAUGUAAUUCUCUGCAUAAAUGUAACAAACACAACUCGAAGAAUACCAUGAAAAAUUAAUCAUGCAAUUGAGUGUAAAAGAAAUUGCAGAAGAAUUGGUUAGAGUAUAGCGGAAGCAUUAAUUUAACCAGAAUCAAAUAUAUACCUCAGUUCCUUUAGUAAAAAUAAAGAACCCUAGCCACGUUGGGUGGCUCUGAUGGAGUCGCCAUGGAACAAACAAUUGAAUCAGUCUUCUAUAAACAAAUUUGCUUAUACCUUUAUAUCGGACCCUAAGCUUGUUGUGCGGCUCUGAUACCACAUGUUAGACAUAUUCUGAAAUCACAACAACAAGACAUUAGGAUCACAAAUAAAUCAAAUCAAUAUAAAAUAGAAAUUAACUAAUUAUAUUAAACUUAUCUGUAGAAUACGGAAGACAUUGCAAAUUUCUAGGUUGUCUUCUACUUCCAGUACUUCAAUAAUAUCUCUCUGCUGUGAAUAGGGUUUAGCGUAUUUUGAGAGAUUAAGCGUAUGGAAGCAGGGACUUAACCAUAGUAUUUAUAUUAUUAGGGUUUAAUCAUAACCAGUCUAUUAUUGGUUGUGAAAGUCGAACCCUAUCACUUAAGUGUUUAAGUCCCACCAUGAUACUGUAUCUUUGUAGUGAAAUCCAUCAGAUUUCUUUUAGGUCAAUUGCAAAGGAUAAGACUCCAUAAUCCUUAUUUCAUUUGGACUAUCAGAUUACUUAAGUUGUUAACAACUCAAUAAACAAGUGGCCUACAACAUAAGUAAUCCAAUACAUCAUUCAUUGUCAUUCACAACCUUACACAACGACCACUUGAAAUGAUUUUAGGAAAAGGUAUUAGCCUUGCCGAGGAGUCUGUUUCUUUUGAUAUAUACAAAAUAUAUACAAACGAGUUCUGGCAUGUUCCUUGUUCAGUCUGCAAUUAGUUUAGUGAUUUCUUUAUUGCUUUUAUUCUCAGUAAUUACUUAUCAUUUCAGAUGACUUGGGUCCAUAAGCAUUUAAGCAUUAUGUAGUGGUAUUAAAUGCAAUGGACUUGUUAUUAGUAGUGUAUUUUUGUUACUGCAACAGAGAAAAAAGAAAUGACUGGCUUGGCUCUUGGGGUGUCCAGCAUGAAGUCUGGAGAGCGGGCCCUAUUACAUGUAGGCUGGGAGUUAGGGUAUGGGAAAGAAGAGAGCUUUUCUUUUCCAAAUGUUCCACCAUUGGCAGAUAUAUCAUAUGAAGUUGAGCUUAUUGGAUUUGUUGAAACCAAAGAAGUAAGUUGCUCACUUGCGUUCAAAUGUCUUCCCAAGUAGUUACCAAUGGAAGUUUCAGAAUCUCUUUUCCAGGGAUUUGCUUCAGUAAUAUAGUAACAUGUAUAUUUGUGGGUUCUGCCUUUCAUAGGGGAAAGCUCGUAGUGACAUGACUGUGGAGGAAAGGAUUGGAGCAGCAGCAGAUAGAAGAAAGAUGGAUGGAAAUGCUUUAUUUAAAGAGGAAAAACUAGAGGAGGCAAUGCAACAGUAUGAAAUGGUUACGCACUUGUAAUUCUUACAUAUGUUAUUACUUAUGGCUGAUGAGCUUUUGAGUUGUACAGUCUGUUUUUUAUAUUUCCUAUCUGACAAGAUUCUGGUGGGUUUUCUCAGGCUAUAGCAUAUAUGGGUGACGACUUCAUGUUUUUUAUAAAGCUCAUGCAUUAUGAAGAAGCCAUUGGACAAUGCAGUAUUGUAAGUAUAAUGCUAUCACAAGAAAGUCAUCUAAUUUCAUGUGUUCAGCAAUUGUGCUAUUCAUCAUUAGAUACUAGAAAGUUGGGUUUGUAGGCUUAUUUGGGAGCAUAACUGCAUCCCAAAAAGUUUGAAUGUUCGUUCACUUUAACCUGCCAUUUUGGAUUGCCGUAGAAAAUGAAAAUGCUCUUAUUAUGGACCAGUGAAAUAUUUGUAGGCUCACUGGCACCAUUCUUCAGUCAAUAAUCGAAUUUUAGGUCCCAUGCGACUCUUGUGAUCUCUGUAGUAUGUUACUGUCCAUGCUUAUCCUGUUGUUCAAACUAUAUGGCUGUUAUAACUUUAAAAUUUUCAAUGCAACUAACGUCUAAUAAUUGAUUUUUCUGCAUCGUACGGAGUCGGGUGAUAUUUACCAUUUUCAUGAAUACCCAUAAAUUGUCAAUGCAACUAACCUCUAUUAAUUGAUUUUUCUGCGUCGCUUGGAGUUGGCAGAUAUUUACCUUUCAUGAAUACCCUUAAAUUGUCAAUGCAACUGUGAACUGUAAUUGGACAAGUGAAUGCUCGCAGAUACUGGCAGAGGAUGAAAACAACGUCAAAGCGCUAUUUAGGCGAGGAAAAGCCAGAGCAGAGCUUGGGCAGACAGAUGCGGCGCGGGAAGACUUUCUAAAGGCGCACAAAUUUGCACCUCAAGACAAAGCUAUUGCAAGAGAGUUACGUCUGCUUAUUGAACACGACAAGGCUGUUUAUCAGAAACAAAAAGAAAUCUACAAGGGAAUUUUCGGACCAACCCCAGAACCUAAACCCAAACGGGAUAAUUGGUUGAUCAUCUUUUGGCACUGGCUGUUGUCGUUGAUCUAUCGUCUCUUCAGGCGCGACAGGCAUAAAGCUGAGUAGUCAAAGAACUUAAGCUCUUGAAUUGUAUGAUAAAUGAAGAAAUUUGUGUAUUGAACUUGCUAAUAAACAAGACUAUGAAAUGUGACCCUGAAGGUUCACUCAUUUAGCCGGGGACGAAGAUACGGUGAUCAGAUUAAAGUCUAGGGGUAAUCUAUAAUGGGUAGAAUCUGGGGCUGUAAUGGAAUUUCAUACAAACUAAGUGUUGAUGUUUUUUUUUCAAACUUUACCUACAUGUUAUCAUAGCAUCUCUCAUUUAAAAAAAAUAAAAGAACUCACAUUUUCCCUUUUCCAUUUAUAUUUACAAAUGGCAGACAUUCUUACAAAGGCUCUACCGAUUGACAAGUUCUUGUAUUUCAAAGCAAUGCUCGGAGUAAAAUCAGCUGCAAGCUUAGGAGGGAGUGUUGAUGUCUAAUAAGCUUUGUAGCCAUGUUCAUGAAGAAAAAGGAUGCUUGAUCCAUUUAGGAAGCUUUAUAUUUCAGUUGUAAUGCUUUGUAAAUGAACGACCAAGAUUAGAAAGGGUCAUGAUGAGUAGCAUCUACCGAUCACUCACUUAAUUGACCCAUGUGCAUUGCACAUGUUUAAUUUUGUUUGUCUGGUAGUGGUGGAGGUCCAACGGCUAUAUGCUUAUAGCCUCUCACACCCAUUUGAUGCUUGAAUUCCUUCACCGAGAAUUAAGGAAGUGGAGUAACUACUCCGUCGUCUUCAACGUCUCUCACUCUCCAUUGAUCGCUGCAAUUUCUCAUUUCAAUUCCUUGUUGAAGUUUAUUGCAGCAUAAACCACCCUAAAACACCUAAAAAUACAGAAUCUAACAUUCACAACAUCCACAUGUAAGAGAAGCAGCUUGUUGAUUAGUUUUGGUCAUGAGGCAUUGCUUAGUUAUAGUGAGAUAUCAAUUAGUUCAGGAAUAAGUUGGUGUUGCAAAAAUAAUUUCAUUGUAUCCAGCCAUCAUUUCAAAUACAAACUUAAAAAAAAGAAGGCUUUUUAGCCAAAAUGGUUUCUGAGAUUUGCAUAACCCUUCACUUUGAUCCCUGACAUUUGAAAUCAAUAGAAGUGGUCUCUGAGUUUGUCCACUAUCAAUCAUUUUGGUUAUUCCUUUAAAAAUCUCUAUUAAAUAAAGAUAAAAUGACAAAAAGACCCUCAAUUUUUGUGAAAUCAUUUUGGCCCAUUGUUUAUUAAAUUGAGGGUAUUUUUGUCAUUUGGUCCUUAAUUUUUCAAGGAAUGACUAAAAUGAUUGAUGGUGGACAAACUUAGGGACCACUUCUAUUGAUUUCAAAUCUCAAGAACCAAAAUGAUGAGUUAUGCAAAUAUCAGGGACCAUUUUGGCUAAAAAGCCAAAAAAAGUUAUUUGCUCUAAUGUUGCCUCCCUCUAAUGACAUUACAGGUCCAUCGUCUUACCUUUCAAUUCUUCAUGAUUUAAUAGAAGUCAAGAACGAAAUCAAAAUAAAUAAAAAUUAGUAGGAAUUAAUUUAUCAUUUUAGGGCGUGUUUGUUUGCACUCACUAAGUAUCACUGGAUUGGACUGGCUUACUAAGAAUAUUAAUCCCGUGUUUGGUGCGAGCCAGGAUUGUGUUUAAUGGGACUACGUCGGACUCGUGCCGACUACACUCUUCACUAACCGGUCUUAGCGAGACCGCCCAAAAAGGAUGGGAUUGCUAAGACCAUCGCUUCGCUUCGUCUGCUUAGUCUUCGUCUUCCUCAACUCACUUUGUCUUUGUCUUCCUCAACUUGCUUCUUCUUUUAGAUCCCGCACCAACCGUCGCGCCCUACUCGAGUUUGCCAAGAGCUUCGCCCGGAAGAUGCGCCAGCAAGUUUGUCUCUUUCUUCUGCAAUAUUGAUUGAAGUUGAUUUCGUGAGGUCAAUUGAAAUGAAUUUGCAGAUCCGACGAUCCGACAAAGCCUCUGCAAAUUUAAAAAAAAAUGGGGAUUUUUCUGGGUUUGAUUUGAAGAGAAAGUUAGUAAAUUAAAAGAAGAAAAAUAUAGGUUUGAAUUCAAGAGAGCAAAUGCAAAGAAGAAAAAAUGUGGGUUUUUUUUUUCUGGUUUGAGUUUUACUAGGAGCGAAUCUGGGCGUGAAGAACCAAAGCAAAUGAAUGAAGAAAAGAGAGAGACAGGGAGGAAGACGCAGGGAGACGCAGGGGGGAGGGGGGUGGAGAGAAAGAGAGUCAAAUAAAAAUAGUUGUAUUUUGUUUUGUUUUUUUUUUAAGAUAAAAAAUGUGUAUUAAUAAUAGUAAAAUGAAUUAAUGAAUGACAAAAGAAGUAUUUGAACUCUAAACACUCCACUAUUCUUAUCCAGCUUAGUCUAAGCCAAGUUAGGCUAACUUAGUCUCGAAAGUUAGUCUAAUCCGAGAUAGUCCGGUACAACAAACGUAUCCUGAAUCAUGUAUGUUUCUUUCAUUGGCAAGAAAAUUUGGUUUUUAUUUUUUUAUUGAGUCUCACUCUAAUCCAAUAUUAUUAAUUUUAAUAAUAUCUUUAAUAUAAAAAGUAAUUAAAAUAGAACAAUAAUGUAGUCCUAAUCUAAGCAAACAUCAAACUGGUAAAAGUAUUGUUUUAAUUAUCCUGCUUCUUAGUUCGACACUGCACCAAACGCUUCACUAAGCUAGUCCAACUUAGUCUAGUCUAAGUCAGUCCAGCUUAGUCUCUGCAACUAGUCUAGUUCGGAAUAGUCCGAUAUAACAAACGCACCCUUAGGGUUUACGGGGAGGAUGGCAUAAAGUCCUUUAUGCGAUUACCAUGUUGGAAAAGCUUGGUCUAUUGAGGUUAAGUUCCAUGGAGUGGGCUAUUACCAAUGUUGUAAAAACUUGGUAACACCCUUUUCGGCCACUUGUUAUGCUUCCAUGAGCAAGUUGGGGCGCAAGAUGGAACGAAAAGUUUAAGCGGCCCAACUUGGUCAUCACUCGAACUGUGAAACCAAAAAAAAAAAAAAAAAAAACUUGCAUAAAUUGAUUCAUCCUUAUUGGUAAGAUCCAAAAUUUUUAAAUCACCAUUCAUCCAUCAAAAAGAACUUGAUAAGCGUCUUAGGAUUUUAGCCAAAUAGAUCGUUAGAGAAAAAUUAUGUGAUGGUAAGAUUUAAUUGUUAGCUGUGGGUUUAUUGAUAAAUUUUAGAUGGGUAAAGUACAAAAAACUAUCUCAACUAUUGAUGUCACGACACUUUCAUACCUCAUCUUUUAAAAUUGACAAUGUCAUACCUCAUCUUAGGAAUUUGUGACAAUGUCAGACCCCCGUUAGUUUUUCUGUUAAUUUCUUUGUUAAAUGCUAACGUGGCCCGACACGUGUCCCACUCACUAAUCCAACUGGAUUAAAAAAUAAUAAAAUAUAUUUUUAAUAAUUAAAUAUUCAAAAAUUAAAAAAAUUAAAAAUUAAAAAACUAAAAAAAAAUUUAAAAAAUGGCCUAAGAUCCGGCCUUCCCUUCCACCCGCAGCACCAACCCUUUUUUUUUUUCUCUCUCUCUCUCUCUCUCCUCUUUCUUCCUCCUUCUUUCUGUAGCCAUUUUUUUUUCUUUUUCUUUUUCUUUUUCUUCCUCUUCUUUUUCUUCCUUCUCCUUCUUCUUUCUGGGUUGUUUGUUUGUUUUUUUUUUCUUCUUCUUCCUCCUUCGUUCUGGGUUGCAGUGUUUUUUUUCUUCUUCUUCCUCCUCCUCCUUCUUUCUGGGUUGCAACGUUUUUUUUUUCUUCUUAUUCCUCUUCUCUUCUUCUUCCUCCUCCUUCUUCUUUCUGGGUUGCAGCGUUUUUUUUUCCCUUCUUCCUCUUCUUCUUUUUCCUCCUCCUUCUUCUUUAUGGGUUACAACAUUUUUUUUUCCUUCUUCCUCUUCUUCUUCUUCAUUAUGGGUUGCAGGGGGUGGACCUGGUCGAGCGAGGCGCUAAGGCAGAGCUCCAUAGCGAGAGCUUGGAGAAGUGGGUCUGUGGCUGGUGGCGGUGGCGGUGGCGGGUAGGGGUGGUGGGUUUGGGUGUAGCAACAUGUAUUGUAAGAGCUUUUGCAGCAAAUGGCAGUGGUGGGAGGGGGAGAUGUUGGGGCGGGUGGGAUUUGGGUUUGGGGUGGUUCUGGUUUUGGGUUGGGGUUAGGGGAAGACGGGAAAGGGAAGAAAUGGUGAGGGGAUAAAGGUGCAUAGAGAGGGAGAUGAGAGAGAGAAGAGAGAGAGGAGAGAGAGGGGUCCCAACAUCCCUUUAGGCCAUUUUUUUUUAGUUUUUUAAUUUUUAAUUUUUGAAUAUUUAAUUAUUAAAAAUAUAUUUUAUUAUUUUUUAAUCCAGUUGGAUUAGUGGGUGGGACACGUGUCGGGCCACGUCAGCAUUUAACAGAGAAAUUAACAGAAAAACUGACGGAGGUCUGACAUUGUCACAAAUUCGUAAGAUGAGGUAUGACAUUGUCAAUUUUAAAAGAUGAGGUAUGAAAGUGUCAUGACACCAAUAAUUGAGGUAGUUUUUUGUACUUGAUAGUACUUUACACAUUUUUUUUUUUAGUCAAAGGUAAUUUACACAAUAGGGUAAAAAGACAAUUCACAUUUAAUAUUUAAAUUAGGUGUAAAGUGAGGUUAUAUGAGUUUAAAUAAAUUUUCCCAUAAAUAAUUUGGUAUUGGAGACCGAUGAAAUUGCAAAUGGAUUUAAAAAAGUUAACUUUUUUCAUACAUGUUCGUUUUGUUGUUUAUUAUUAUGGGAACUGUUAUUAGCACUCCAAAAAUUUUCUUUUACACUUUUCACGAGUGUGUUUUUCUUUAUAAUUAUAAAAAAAAUUAAAGUACAAAAUGAAAAUUUUCAAGUGCUAAUAAUAAUUCCCAUCGCAAUCUUAGUUGAUAUUGAUGUAACUUUAAUGCUUUUUGCGGAUAGCUAACUAUAGUUAAGUUGUUUGUGCGAGACAUUCUUUUUCCUUCGACCGGGUUGAAUUCCCCGGCAAGAUUUGUUAUCGAAUCUCUUUUAUGCACACUAUCCUCUUACUUUGUACGUAUUCUCCUCUUUAAUGAAUAUCCUACUUAUUUCAAAAAUUCCCAUUAUUAUUCCAGCUUCUCCUCUUUAUUUUAUGCAUGGAAUGAUGAUGUAUGAGUGGUUGGAUGAAACUAUUAAUUCAUAAUAAAUUGUCGGUGGCGUUGGUUCUGGUCAAAUUAUUUUAAUGUUUCACCCACCAAGCCGGCAUUAAUAAUAUAGUGACAAUUCUUUUGUUUUUAUCCACAGAAUGCUGCAUGAGUGGUUGGAUGAGAGGGGCAUAUAAAGACUAGCAGAAGGAGCCAUCUUUCACUACGCAAAACCAUAUUCUCGGUUACAAGCUUCUACUUUAAUUCACUUCAUUUGUGUUUUACCUUGUCCUGAAUACAAGAAAUGGCGGAAGGAGUUCUUUUCAACAUUGCAGAAGGGAUCAUCGGAAGGCUAGGCUCCCUUGCUUUCCAAGAGAUUGGAUUGAUUUGGGGUGUCCAAGAUGAGUUCCAAAAGCUCAAGGAGACAGUUGCCGGAUUCCAAGCUGUUCUUCUUGACGCUGAGCAAAAGCAAGCCAACAAUGAAGUCAAACUGUGGCUGGAAUGCGUAGAAGAUGCAGUUUAUGAAGCCGAUGACGUGUUGGAUGAGUUUAAUACUGAAGUUCAGCGGAGACGUAAUACUAAGGUGUUAAAAAAGGUACGCAUGUUCUUCUCUUGCUCAAAUCAACUUGCUUUUGGGCUAAAGAUGUGUCAUAAGAUAAAAGAUAUUAACAAGUGGCUUAGUGCAGUUGCAUCUAGUAGAACCUUUUUAUAGUCACAUGAGCCUAUUGAUAUCCACCUAUUAGGAAUACAAUAGGUCUCUCAAUAACUCAUAAUUAACUGCAAUAAAUCCUAUACAUUAUUGUUUAGAAUGUUUCAUAUAACUUACCAUUACAAAACUAUAUUAACUUAAUAAUACAGUUCUAUUGAAAUAAUGAUUGUGUUUACUCAAAUUCUUGCAUGUGCGCAUCUUCUUUUCUAGCUCAAAUCAACUUGUUUUUGGGCUAAAGAUGGAUCAUAAGAUAAAAGAUAUGAAUAAUUAGGAUCCGAUCCCUAAUCACCAAUGUUUAUUAAUUGAAACAUUAUUGGUUUUAAAUUUUUUAUUGAAGUCCUUUGACUUAUGCCCACAUCAAAUUCUUAAAAUUAAUCAAAUUUUAUGUCAAAUUUUCCUUUUUAUUAAAAAAAACUCAUUAUUCAUUUCCUUUUAUGUCAUUUCAGUUUAGGAUAAUUGAUUAUGCACAUAAUUUAAGGGAUUUUAUUGCAACUAGAUAUCCCUAACAUCCUUUUAAUUUGAAAUUUAAAAAUGAAUUUUUAUACGUUCCAAUAGUUUCAUCUCGUUUUUCUUUUGACUGAAUUUAAUCCAUCUUUUAUCAUAAUCAUGGGUACGUACAUUAUAUUUCCUAGAACGCAUAUGGAUACACUUUCUUUUUUUGGGAAUAAUUAGGAUCCGAGUCCAAGUCACCAAUGUUUAAUUGUUUAUUGAUUGAAACAUUAUUGGUUUUAAAUUUUUUAUUGAAGUCCUUUGACUUGUGUCCACAUCAAAUUCUUAAAGUUAAUCAAACUCCAUGAUUUUCCUUUUCUUUAUUUAAAAAAACUCAUGUAUUCAUUUCCUUUUAUGUCAUUUCUGUUGAGGAUAAUUGAUUAUUUACAUAAUUUAAGGGAUUUUAUUGCAGCUAGAUAUCCCUAACAUCCUUUUAAUUUGAUAUUUAAAUGUGAAUUUUUAUACGUUCCAAUAGUUUCAUCUCAUUUUUCUUUUGACUGGAUUUAAUCCAUCUUUUAUCAUAAUCAUGGGUACAUUUUAUUUGCUAGAACGCAUAUGGAAACCCUUUUUUUCAAUCGAAUUGGGUACAUUCUUUUGAAAUUUAUAAUUACGUAUAAUUGUACUCAUCUAAUUAUAUGGGUACAUUCUUUUUAUAAAAAAAUAUUAGGGGUAUACACAUAUCAAAACAAUUUUCUUUUGGGAGGAUGUUGGAAUUGUACCAUAAUUUAUGUUUGCAACUGUAUGGGUACAUUCUUUUAACAAGUAACUACUAUUAUAUCAUCCGUAUCACUGUGAUAGGUACAAUUGCAAUUGUCUCCCAUAUAUAUGAGUUGAUUUUUUAGUCUCAUGUUUUCUAUGAGUUUAGAAUUUACCCACUUGAUUAUUAGUAGAUUAAUGUUGUGGUGGUUUCAAAUUUUACUAUUUUUAUACUUUUUUAUGUGUUUAGAAUGCACCCGCUUGAUUCAUGGUUUUAAUGUGUUUAGAGUGUACCCGCUUGAUUAUCAGUAGAUUAUUGUUUUGUUGGUUUCAUAUAGAAUAAUUAUUAUAAAAUUUGAGGUUCAUAAAUUAAGGAAUUUCAAAAAUAGAUAGUUGACAUGGAAAUACUUUAAUAGCAAUAUGAUGAGAUGUACAAAGUCAAAGGACAUUGAUAAAAAAUAAAAAUAAAACUAAUAAGGUUUCAGUCAAACAAUAUUGGUGAUUAGGGAUCGCAUCCAAAGUCUAUUGACUAAAAAGAUAUUGACGAGAGGCUUCAUGCUGUUGAAUCUCGUAGAACCUUUUUGUAGUCACAUAAGCUUAUUGAUAUCCACCUAUUAGGAAUACAAUAGAUCUCUAAAUAACUCAUAACUAACUGCAAUAAAUCUUCUACAUUAUUGUUUUGAAUGUUUCAUAUAACCUACCGUUACAAAACUCUAAUAACUUAAUUAAUACAAUUCUAUCUAAAUAAUGAUUAUGUCCACUCAAAUUCUUACAGGUGCGUCUUUUCUUUUCUAGCUCAAAUCAACUUGUUUUUGGGCUAAAGAUGGGUCAUAAGAUAAAAGAUAUUAACAAGAGGCUUACUGAGGUUGCAUCUCGUAGAACCUCUCUACCCUUAGAAGUAAAUCGUGAAGAUACACCAUUUAUAAUGAGAGAGAGGGUCACUCACUCAUUUAUCCCUAAGGAAAAUAUUAUUAUAGGGAGAGAUGAAGAUAAAAAGGCAAUAAUCCAACUUUUGUUGGAUCCCAUCUCAACUGAGAAUGUGUCAACCAUUUCCAUAGUUGGAUUUGGAGGAUUGGGGAAAACUGCACUUGCCCAACUGAUAUUCAACGAUGAGGAGAUUCAAAAUCAUUUUGAGUUGAAAAUAUGGACAUGUGUCUCUAACGUAUUUGAGUUGGAUAAAGUUGUAAAGAAAAUCCUUCAAUCCGAACAUAAUGGGAUAGAGCAGUUGCAAAAUGAUCUUAGAAAAAAAGUAGAUGGGAAGAAGUACCUACUUGUGUUGGAUGAUGUGUGGAAUGAGGAUCAGGAGAAAUGGCUUAGCUUGAAGUACUUGUUAAUGUGUGGUGGAAAAGGUAGUAGAAUACUAAUUACCACUCGCAGUGAAACCGUUGCGACAAUAUCAGACACAGCUAAACCAUACACCUUAAGGGGUUUGAAUAAAGAGCAAAGUUGGUAUUUAUUUAAGAAAAUGGCUUUUAAAGAUGGAAAAGAGCCAACAAAUUCAACAAUUAAGACAGUUGGGACGGAGGUUGCAAGAAAAUGUCAGGGAGUUCCACUUGCUAUUCGGACGAUAGGUGGGAUGUUGCACACCAAACUUCACGAAAUAGAAUGGUUGAAUUUCAAAGAAAAGAAACUUUCAAAAAUAAGCCAGAAAGAAAAUGAUAUUUUACCAACACUUAAACUAAGUUAUGAUGUGCUCCCAUCACAUUUGAAACAUUGUUUUGCUUAUUGUAGCUUGUUCCCACCUGAUUAUAAGAUCUCUGUACAGAGAUUGAUUAGACUUUGGGUGGCGCAAGGGUUCAUUAAGUCAUCUGAUGAAAACGAGUGUUUGGAGGAUGUUGCGUUUGGAUAUUACAGGGAAUUGUUGUGUAGAUCGUUUUUUCAAGAAGAAGAAGAAGACGAGUCUGGUAGAAUAGAAAGUUGUAAAAUGCACGAUCUCAUGAAUGAACUUGCAAUCUUAGUGUCGGGGGUUGGAAGCGCCGUAGUUGAUCUUAACCAAAAGAAUUUUCAUGAAAAGCUUCAUCAUGUGUCUUUCAAUUUUAAGGUUGAUCCGUUGGAAUGGGAAGUUCCAACUUCUUUGCUAAAUGCAAAAAGGAUACGAACUUUUCUUCUUCCUUGCCAAGAGUAUUCGAUUGAUAAAGAUGGGUCAUUAUGUAAUUCAUUUUGUGCUACAAUUGUUUCAAAUUUCAAGUCAUUGCGUAUGUUGAGUCUCAACAGAUUAGGAAUUAUAACAUUACCUAAUUGUCUUAAAAAAGUGAAACAUUUGAGGUAUCUUGAUCUUUGUGAUAAUCCCAUGGAGAGACUUCCGGAUUGGAUAGUUGGACUUUCGAAUUUGGAAACACUAGAUCUCACAGGCUGUAGUAAACUUGUGGAAUUGCCUAGAAACAUUAAAAAAAUGAUCAACUUAAGGCAUCUCAUCUUGGAAGGCUGUUGGAAGUUGACUCGAAUGCCACGUGGAUUGGGUGAGCUGACUGGUCUUCGUACAUUGAAUAAUUUUGUUUUGAGCGAAAACAAUUCCAUGUUGAGAGACAGUGCUAGUCUUGGUGAACUGGGGAGGCUUAAGGAAUUAAGGGGACAAUUAUUUAUUUCCAAUUUGAGGCACGAGAAAGAUGUGAUGUCGGAGUCAAAUGGUGGUGCAUUACUGAAGGAGAAACAGCAUCUCCAUUCGUUGGGUUUAUUCUGGAAAAAGGGAGACGAUGUGAACGCGGUUGAUGAGGAGGAUAUUAUAAUGUCAAUGGAAGCAUUGCAACCCCAUUCUAAUCUAAAACAGUUGUUCGUGUCUGAUUAUGGUGGUGUGAGGUUUGCGAGUUGGUUUUCUUCUCUCAUUAAUAUUGUUCAUCUCACAUUGGUUUCCUGUGAGAGAUGCCAACAUCUUCCACCCUUGGAUAAUUUGCCUUCCCUUAAGAUUCUUGUACUUUCAAGGUUGAAGAAGUUGGAGUACAUAUCAGCGAAUGAGAGCAGUAAUAGUAAGAGUGAUGAGAUGAUGAGGAUGUCAUUCUUUCCCUCCCUGGAGUACCUCUGCUUAGAAAGCUGCCCUGUUCUGAAGGGAUGGUGGAGGGCGCACACUCAUGACAGUGCUUCUUCUUUUCCCUGUCUUUCUGAAUUGACUAUCAUGUCUUGUCCUAAUCUAACUUCCAUGCCCCUGUAUCCGAAUGUGGUUGCAAUACUUCUCGAUCAAACCAGCUCGAAGGUUGUUCCCUCCCUUGUUAGAGGAGCAUCUGAUAUUACACAUGAUGUUGGUAUUGAUGUUUCUGUCUCUUCUUCUUCCCCUCAUCUCUCCAAAUUAACACAUCUGACACUUUAUCGAAUUGAGGAUUUGGAAUGUAUAUCGUCGGAAGGGAUGGGGAACCUCAUAUCACUCCAAUCGUUUUCCAUUCAACAUUGCCCAAAUUUGGCAUCACUGCCAGAAGGGAUCGCCAGCCUCACAGCACUCCAAUCGCUUACGAUUGAAGAUUGCCCAAACUUGGCAGCAUUACCAGAAGGGAUCGUCGGCCUCACAGCACUCCAAUCGCUUACGAUUGAAGAUUGCCCAAACUUGGCAGCACUACCAGAAGGGAUCGCCGGCCUCACAUCACUCCAAAGGCUUACGAUUAAAGAUUGCCCAAAUUUGGCAUCACUGCCUGAAGGGAUUCGUUGACUUCGCUGUUUAAAUACAUUGCAAAUUUGGGACUGCCCCAUGUUAAGUUAAACAUGCAAGAAAGAAACAGGUAAGGACUGGCCUAAGAUUGCUCACAUUCCAGACAUUCAAUUGGUUCAGGUGUGUUUUCUAACUUGUUUGAAUUUACACUUGCCUAAUUCAAUAAACUAUGAAAUGUUCAAAUGCCAUUCUCGUUUCUUAAUUUUGUUCUUCUUUCAUCAUCACCAGCAUUUCUUUUCUUUUUUCAGAUGACAUACCAUGUGGAUCGAAAAUUUCGUCGUCCACAGUUUUGCUUUCUCACCCACUAACUUCCAAGUAUUUUUUUUUAAUUUCGUUCUUUUCUAUUAUGUAGUCUUAUAUGCAGUGAAUGGGGCGUCAACCCUUUGAAUUCAAUAUGUGAUGACUAUGUUGACUACUUAGAGUGGUUGUAUACGAUUUUGCUUUUGAUCGUUAGGGUUUAGAUACUAUGCCCCCCUGCUGUAUGUUUUCUUUUUAAAUAAUAUAAUAUGGGCGUGAGGGCCUAGCCCCCCAGCUUCGACUGGGUUCCAGCCCUCUUUAAAUAUUUCUUUUUAAUAUUUGUUGAUGUAUUGGAAGUGGAAUCACCUUUCUCACGUUAUAACAUACAAGUCGCAUAAUUAUACACAAACAAUGAUAAAAGAAAAUGACGUCUAUUAAUUGUCAAUGCACUGAAGUAACCAAAUAUUCUAAGACCGAAGGAACUCCAAAAUCUACUCUGGAUGCGGCUCCUGACACAAAUAUCUGCUCCAAAACCCGAAACUAAUCACAAUAAACGCUACAUUCUCAGUAAAGCAAAUAAACUGAUUAUGUUUUGUUUAGUCAAAAGGAAAUUCAAGACAACCAUUACAAAACAAAAAUAUUUGUUGUGUUUUCUAAGUCCUCUCUCUAUAAACAAAAAUAAAAAAUAAAAUGGAUGGAGUGGAGUGGAGUGGAAGCAGAGGAAGAGACUGACCUCCGACAAGGGCGACCGUCAAAAGAGCUUCCCAGAGCAACAUGAUCUCGCUGCCAUGAUAACCUUUGUACACAGGCAAUUCUAAAACCAUAAGAUACCUAAAACAAACUUACUGAUAUAACAGAAUGGUUACACCCAAAGUUAUUUAAUUCAAACACCUAACUCAAACCAUAAGCACCAUGAUAAUCCUCAAACCCGGUAAAGAGUGUAUUCUCACAGUUGUAGAAUCCCAAAGCCACGCUUGAAAUGUCUGAAGUUGCAAAAGAUAGCAUCAUCCACCUAAACAUAUUGCAAAUGAAAAAUGUUUUAGCUCCUAAAUCCAAACAGCAAAAGAAAAAACACAGAAAAUUAAGUAAACAAAAUGGAACUGAACUUGCACAGCUCGCUUCUCAAAUUCACGAAAUGUUGCUAGAAUGUCGUAGUUGCGCGUCAAAUUCAUCAGGUAAUUUCUGUUGCCAACGAUUUUCUAUCAAAUGAAUUCAUUUUGUAUUCAAAUUCUGAGUAAUUAAUAAUAAGAAGGAUACCAUGAAUUUUAUUUACCUAAAUCUUGUAAUUAAUAAUAAGAAAAAUAUCAUGAAUUUCAUUUUGGGAAGCUGCUUUUAGCUUUAGUAGCUUCAUUUGAGAACGCAAAUAUGGCAUACCAAUUCUAUAUUUCUAAUCAGAAGAUGUUAAAUUUUUUUUUAGUCGUCUUCAAUUUGUGGCACUUCAUUCUCAAUAAAGAACAUUUCACAAAAUUCCAUAUCUAAUACAACAUCAAAGGACCGACUGAACAGGAAAACGACAUCAUUCAUUAUCCAGAUUGAAACAAAAAUCCCACUAAAAUGACUACUCAUAAGAAUCUCAUUCCACAAAACUUCUUCAGUCCAAGCCUAAACAACUGCAACCAAACAAAUCCCCAAGAUAUUUCAUCCACUGCCAUUAACAAAACCACAACCUAUAUCUUCCUUCAGCUAAGAUUAAAGCAAAAAUUGAAACCCUAAUCAUUCCCAAACAUGCUUUUGGAAUCAGAAUAGAAAGGAAACUUGAAAUUAGAGGAUCAUACAGAAUUCGACUGGGGAUUGGACUCGUGCUCGAAAUCGACCUCUUCCUUUUCCUUUUCAGAUUGAUCACCUAAUAGGUUCUGCAUCACCUGGUGCCACUUCUCCUCCCCCAUCGCUACUGCAGUGUGUUGCGGUCGGAGCCCUCAAACUACUGACAUUAAAUCGUUCAUUUGAUUAGAUCAAAGAAAAUAUCACCAUAGCAUCCUGCAAAUUUCAAGAAGUAUGUGUCGAAACAAAUCUGAAAAGAAUGAAAACCCUGUUAACCAAACACAUCAACAAUAACAUAAGCCUCACCACCAAUCCGACAUGGCAAAAUCCAGUCAACAAAACAAAAAAUACUCUGUAAUCCAUCAGCCAAUAUACAGCAAGUAGAAGCAACGCAAUUUUCUUUUUAAAAAAAAAAAAAAAAAACCAAAUCCGUAAUGAUCCGAACAGUUAAAAUUAGGGUUUGAUAACUAAUGCACCUAUUGCUAUUAGACUUUGAUCCCCGGGAAUUACUGGAUACUGUUGCUGAUGCCAUUGUGUUCAAGCCAAUGGAUUUCAACCCUUUUCGGCAAAACAUCACAAACUCCAUCAGAAAAAAUAUUCUCAAAGAUAAUGGGUGAGGGAAUUUCAUUUGAAUUGCCAGAGGAUGCUGUUGAAAAGAUCCUGACUGGAAUAUGGCUAGGCCGGACUGGCUUAGAGGAAUGGGCAGAAAAGGUUCUAGCUCCGAGCAUCCAGCAGCUUAAAUACCCAAAUUAAUAACCAAAUAAUCCAAAAUCAUACAAAAACCAAUGCUUUCAUAGAAAAAUCUCUAAAACCCACAAACCCCAAAAAAAAAACAAAACAAAAUCAUACAAAAAUCUCACCUUGCUCAAAAAUACUAAUUAAGAUUAAGGGAGCAAGAACACAUACAAACUUGGAAAUGUCAUACAAUCCAAACCCGAUUCCAAUAUUAGCCACAACGAAAUGAGGCUGUAUGGCCCAGCCAGAACCUUCUCGAUAACCUCCUUCACCGCAACAUGUCAAGUCCAACACAAAAAUUGAGUAACUGUGCGAGAAAAUUUGAGCUUGUGAUGGACUCUAAACCAAACCUUAGGCGAGGGGUGGAGAGAGAGGGCAGAGGCGAGCUUCGGGCGAGCAAGGAUUCGGCUGCAGAUUUGGUUCCAGGAUUUGCUAACGCACGCCGCUGAUACAAAGGAUAAGGCGGGUAGGUGCGAGAGGAUGUCGUCGAGAAGGUCGUCGUUUAGCAGAUGAUGCGAGGAGGGAGAGGGGAAGAAGCUGUGAAGAAGCAGAAGGCGAUGCGUAGUCGAAGCGGAGCAUCCCACGAUGAUUGACGCGUGGGCAGGCAGAAAGCAGACUUAAAUCAACCAACCUGAUUCUUAUACGACAUGACGUUUGUGUUUUCAAAAGUGAUUUCCGUCAUUCUUAUAAGCAUUUAAUUGAACUGACCAAAAGAGAAUCAAAGAACAAAAAGAAGCUUAGAAUGAGAAAACGGAAGUAAAAAUCAAACCACUUGGUUCCAAAAAUCAUAAAUAGGAGCACUGCUUUAUAACAUAAUAAAAGAGAUGAGGCAGUCUUACUGUACAGAUUCUGGUUAGUGGUUCAAUAAACAAAUACAACAGAAACUACCAUGAAAAAUACCCUAAUUGGAGCUAUAAACCACUACAUUGCAAGGAACAACAUAAAACUAUCAGCAUACGAGGUUACGGUUAGUCGCCACAUCGAAAACUCUUACAGGGACUCCUCUUCGUUUGCCAAUCACAAAGAAAGGUUCCGCUUCGUUGCUUCCAUUUUUAACAAAAGAUCCCUUAUAUCGGCUUCCAUUCUCAGCUUCAUAUUGGAGUAUUCACGAUGCGCUCGGUCUAGAGCUUGCAGUUCUUCAAGUUUCUUGCUGUUCUGCCUCGACUAAGCGCAACUUUGCUAUCCUGUUCCUAAAUUCUUCUUCAAUUUUUUCAUUCUUUGCCAUUGCUAUGCGUUUCAGCCCCUCAGCUUCUCUUCUUGCGUCAUCUGCUCGUGUUUGGAAUAUUUUUGCCUCGGCCUGCUUGAUCCUCACAAUGCUCUCCAGCUCAUCAAAAAGAGGUUCUUUUUGGGCACUUGUGUGCAACUCUGCGUCCAUAAUGCGUUUCUCAUGCUGAUCGUAGUUAAAACUGGGAUGAGUGUUAGCUGCAGUCUCCAACUGAGGGACCUUCUCAGCGUAUAUUGAUUUCAGCCACGCGGGUUCCUGGCUUGGCUCAACAAUUCCAUUGCUCGCUUUAAUUUGAUCCUUCUCCGAUAAGAUGGGUGUUUUGCCUAGCUUGGAACUGUCAGCAUCUGAAACAAAAGUGGAAGACUUAUUUAAAAACAGUACAGUUUCCAGUUAACUAAGCACAGUAUUACAACAGAGAACAAAAAGGCACAACUUUGAGACUCAAUAAGGGCUUGAGUUUUCUGCUUCGGGAUUUUGUACUCCUGCUAUGUCAUAAAUAUUCUCACAUCAGCACAAAAAAGCGGUUCAGAGACAUGGAUACGGAUGUAUUUAGGCCAGGCAUCAAACUGAAUCCCGAAAGCCAUAAUCCUAAGAACACGAAGCUUCAAGCAAGCCAAGCAAAUAAUGUAAGUUCUAUAGAGAGCAAACACUUGUUUAUCGUGUAAAAGUGUUUUGGAAUAAUAAGGAGACUAACAUUAGCUACGUGGAAUGGCUUUACAGAAAUUGUAUAAUAAGGAUAAUAGCCUCAAGCAAUCUCGAUAGAGCUAGGACUCUAUUAUCUGAUAUGUUUAUUAGGGUUUUCACGGUGAUAAAGAUAGUUUGAUAAGGAUUACAUAAUGGGAAGUGUCCUGAUGAACUCCAUCGUUUAUGGUAUAAAACUAGGGUCCCUGCGCUCUCACAAACACACAAGUUUUCAGAUACUCAAGCCCCAUUGAUUGAGCCUUGUAUUCGGUAGUGCAGAGUUGCAGAAGAAUCCUUUUAAUUCAAGCAGCAAUGUCUUCAUCAGGUAAGUGAUGAAGUUGGUAUCGUGAUUUAGUUUCUAUAAGUUAUACACUUACAGUUGGUAUCAGAGCCUUCACAUAUCAUCUUAAUCCUAUGUUGGAGGCAUCGAGAAUUUUUGUUUUCUUAUUGCUGUGCAGGUUACAGAACUGGUAACAUAUUAUCUGGGAAAAACAACACGAGUAUGUGAUGGCUAAGGCCAUUCUUAUUCGUGUGGGUUUUUCAUCUUAAUAUGUAUACCAAAAAUGGCACUUGAACACAAAUCGUGGACGCUGAUCUUCUAAAGAAGUUCAGAUGUUCAUAUUUAGUUUUUUGAGUGGCAUAUCAUUUUGGUAGCCAAUACAUGAAUACAACUAUCAUUGUCAGAUCAUAAAGAUCUAUAAUCAUAGUUAAAGAAAUUCAUGUAUCAGCUACAAAAGUGAUAUGAACAAAGAAAAUAAUCACAGCUUUCAUCAAUCUAAAGAAUGUUGAUUUUUGUGAUAUAUGGUUUGGGGAUAAGGAUUAAUAUUCGAAAGUUUUAUGCUUUGACAGCGUUGAACCCUAGCUCCAUGAACCUCAACACUGUUGAACCACUUACUUGUAUCAACUAUAAGAAAUGGAAACAGGAUCUAGAGAUCGUGCUGGGAGUCAUGGAUUGGGAUUUAGCACUCAGAACUGAAGAACCUCCUAUGCCGACAGAUGGGAGCACAUCCAGCCAACGGUCCAAGUAUGAAAAAUGGCAAAAAUCAAACAGGAUUUCCCCGAUGAUUAUCAAGAGGAGUAUGACCAAAGGCGGAGCCACAGUGGGGUCAAUGGGGUCGCACGACCCCUUGGAAGCCAUGGAAAUAACCUUAGAGGUCCCUUGGAGCUGCUGGUGCGACCCCUUGGAGCUGCUGGUGCGACCUCUUGGAGCUGCACACCACGUGUUCGAUGAAAUGUCUGAAAGAAGAAAAAGACUUCGGUUGCAGGUUGAAGAAGAAGGAACGGAGAACAGCAGCCAUGGCUGCCGAUGCACUGCUCCUUCUAUUGCAGAAUGAGAAAGAAGACGACCUGUUUUAAAAUGACUUGGCCAAACACACCGUUUUGAGCCAAGCCAAUAAAAAAAGUUUUAAAAGCACUCCCGACUGCUUUUCUCAUAUGAUUGGACAUCCUUUAGACUCCAUGUGAUUGGUUUUUGAUCAAUUCCCAAGCAAUUUAGAGAUUUUACUAAAAAUGAGAGAGUAAAUUAUUAAGUGGGUCCCAAUCUCAUUCAAGUAAACAUUUCGUUUUACCUUUGGCAUUUUGCCUUUUGCAAUGCACCUUUGCCAUUUGGUUGCUGAAGAAGAGACAAUUCUGGUCGGAUUUUCUUUGUGAGGAUUCUGAAGAUUUUUUUUAAUCACAUUCGUUUAUUAUAAUUCGUGCAGAUAGAAAUUAUUGUAUUUUUUUAUUUAAAAUUGAAUAUAAAUAACGAUAUGAAUAUAAUUAUUGUAAUUUUUUUUAAUCACAUUCGUUUAAAAUUGAAUAUAAUUCGCACUAUCCUACCAAGACCCGAUGAAAUGACGAUAUGCAUGCCAUUUCUGUUAAAAAAAAAUUUCGCGCUGCGCGCACUAUCCUUAUUGACCCCCCAAACAUUAUUUCCUGGAUCCACCACUGAGUAUGACUGAUGUGGUUCGAGGUGGUUUCAUGCUACUAAUGCCAAGGAAUUUCUUGCAUCCAUCGAAGAAAAGUACAAGGAGUCUCCAAAAUCCAAGACAGGUAAUCUCAUGAACUCACUUACCACCAUGAGAUAUGAUGGUAUUGAAAGCGUGCGUGAAUAUAUCUUGAAGAUGAUGGAUGUUGCUGGAAAGCUUAAGGCUCUCGAGGUACCUAUAUCUGAAACAUUCCUUGUGCAUGUGAUAAUGAACUCACUACCUGAUAGCCACACUCAACUGAAAGCAUCUUAUAAUGCUUUGCGUGAAAAAAUGGGAUGUGAAUGAGUUAAUUGCUAUAUGUGUAAGUGAAGAAGAAAGGAUGAAAAAGGAGAAGUAUGAAAAGGAAAAGGUUGAGUCUGUUAACCUUGUGCAUGGUGCCUAUAAAGCACACAAAUCUCCGGCUGUUGAUGUUACCAGGAAAGAAACUACCAAAAGGGCUCCAUCUCCUACCAAAAGGAACUUUAAACCUAACAAACCAUCGAUUUUCAAAUGCUAUUUUUGCAAGAAAACAGGUCAUAUGAAGAGAAAUUGUCCAAAAUACAAGGCUUGGCUUGCUAAACAAGAGUCAAAGAAAGGUAAAAAUAUUUUUGCUUGUUUUGAGUCAAAUUUGAUUGAUAUACUUAGCACUGCAUGGUGGCUUGACUCAGGCUCUUCUAUUCAUGUUACGAAUUCAUUGCAGGACUUCAUAACAAAGAGAACACCAAAUAAAGAUGAAGUCAAAGUCUCUGUUGGCAAUGGAAGAAGAGUUGAAGUCAAAGCUUUAGGAAGUGUUAGGCUAAAGUUAGAAUUUGGUUUUUGUUUAGAAUUGGAAAAUGUCGUUUAUAUACCUUCUAUGAGAAGGAAGUUGAUUUCGGUUUCAAAACUAGUUAUGUUGGGUUUUUAUUUUACUAUCAAUAAUAUUGGCUUCAACAUUUUUUAUAAGUCAUCUCAAAUUGGUUCUGGUUUUUUGAGUGAUGGGAUGUUCCAAAUAAAGUUAAACCUUGAUGAACACGUUUUUAACAUCCAAAAUGGGAACACCAAAACUCAAUCUUCAAACCUAUGGCAUAAGAGACUUUGCCAUAUUUUGAAACAAAGAAUGGAGUUGCUUGUUAAAAAUGACAUUUUACCAUCUUUGAAUUUUAAUGAUUUUGAUUUUUGUGUGGAUUGCAUCAAAGGUAAAAUGACAAAUAGUAGGAAAGAAGGAUCAACUAGAAGUAAACAAGUCCUAGAAAUUAUUCACACGGACAUUUGUGGUCCUUUUCCAACACCUACAAUAGAAGGAAACAAAUACUUUAUAACCUUCAUUGAUGAUUUUUCAAGGUUUUGUUUCAUUUAUUUGAUCAAUGAGAAAUCUAAAGCUUUUGAAGUUUUCAAAAUUUAUAAGAAUGAAGUUGAAAAUCAGUUGGAAAGAAAAAUAAAGAUUGUUAGGUCUGAUAGGGGUGGAGAAUAUUAUGGUAGAUAUACUCAAACUGGUAGACAUCCUGGACCUUUUGCACUAUUCUUCCAAGAACAUGGGAUUGUAGCUCAAUACACUACACCUGGAACCCCCGAGCAAAAUGGGGUUGCAGAAAGAAGAAACAGGACCUUAAUGGACAUGGUAAGAAGCAUGAUAUGUAGAGCUAAUUUGCCGAGUUCUUUGUGGGGAGAAGCAAUGAAGACUGCAAAUUAUAUUUUGAAUAGGGUGCCAUCAAAAUCUGUUGAGGGUACUCCUUUUGAGCUGUGGACAGGGAGAAAACACAGCUUGAAUCAUCUUCAUGUUUGGGGUUGUAGAGCAGAAGCAAAAGUGUAUAGUCCUAACAACAAAAAGCUCGAUCCCAAGACCAUCAGUUGUUUUUUCGUAGGGUAUGCAGAAAGGUCGAAGGGCUUUAGAUUUUAUUGUCCUAAUUACACUUCCAAAAUAGUUGAAACUGGCAAGGCAAUCUUCUUAGAGCAUGAAAUCGAUACUGGUUCUGGGACUGAGGUUGACACUUUUGAAUUUGAAGAAGAAGAAAAAGAAAUCAUAGUCCAACCAAUGGAAACUGAGAUAAGUGUGGCAGCUCCACUUCUUAAAAUUGUUGGGCACAUGGAGGACAGUGAAACUAAUGCAUGUGAUGAAGAUCACGAAGUUGAUGCAACAGUUUAAGAAGUGAUAAAUGAUGAUCGAGGUACCAUAACAAUUGAGGCAUCAGUACCCACCAUGGGUCAGCAACAUCAAAUACAAGAGGGCAGCAUCGACACCAUCACUAAUUUCAGAAGAUCAACUAGGGUCAGGAAACCUACGACACUAGAAGAUUUUGUAUACUUGGCUGAGAGUGACACUGAUUUAUCAGAAUUUAAUGACCCUAUAAGUUUUAAAGAAGCAAUCUCAAGACCAAAUGCUGACAAGUGGAUAGAAGCUAUGAAUAGUGAGCUGACCUCAAUGGAAAACAAUCGUGUAUGGGAAUUAGUUGAACAGACAGAAGGAAUGAAACUCAUAGGAAGCAAGUGGGUUUUCAAAACUAAAAAGGAUUCGAAUGGAAAUAUUGAAAGGCACAAAGCUAGAUUGGUCGCGAAAGGAUUUACACAAAGAGAGGGUGUUGAUUACAAAGAGACCUUUAGUCCAGUUUCAACCAAAGAUGCUUUUAGGGUUAUAAUGGCUAUGGUAGCACACUUUGAUCUUACUUUGCAUCAAAUGGACGUCAAAACGGCCUUCUUAAAUGGAGAUUUGGAGGAGUGUAUCUACAUGAGACAACCAGAUGGGUUCAAAGAAGAAGGGAAAGAUAACUUGGUCUGCAAGUUAAAGAAAUCUAUUUACGGACUCAAGCAGGCAUUGAGGCAAUGGUACCUCAAGUUUCAUCAAGUGGUAAGAGAAUAUGGUUUCACUGAAAAUCUCUCUGACAACUGCAUUUACAUGAAGGUUAGUGGGAGCAGUUUUAUUAUUUUAAUUCUUUAUGUUGAUGAUAUACUGCUAGCCACUAAUAGUCAGAGUUUAUUAAGUGAAACAAAGUCUUUCUUGCAAAGAAAUUUUGAAAUGAAAGACUUGGGAGAGGCAACGUAUGUCUUAGGGAUUGAGAUCAAAAGGGACAGAAUGAGAGGUUUGUUGGGACUAUCGCAAAGAGGGUACAUAGAGAAGGUUUUAAAAAGAUUCAACAUGUCCAGUUGUGGAACUACUGAAGUGCCGAUUUCAAAGGGAGAAAAGUUGAGUAAGUUGCAGUGCCCUAAAAAUGAUUUGGAAAAAAAGAUCAUGGAAGAUAAGCCAUAUGCUUCCUUGGUAGGAAGCCUAAUGUACGCUCAGGUCUGCACAAGACCUGAUCUUGCAUUCACAAUAAGUGUACUUGGAAGGUUCCAAUCGAAUGCUGGUGAAGCUCACUGGAAUGCAGCAAAGAGAGUGUUGCGAUAUCUUCAAAGAACUAAAGCACAUAUGUUGGUUUUCAGAAGGACGGAUGAGUUGGUGUUAGAAGGGUAUAGUGACUCCGAUUUUGCUGGAUGUUUGGAUGAUCUUAAAUUUACAUCAGGUUAUGUUUUCUUGAUGGCAUGUGGAGCUGUUUCUUGGAAAAGUGUAAAGCAAGACACAGUGGCUGCAUCUACAAUGGUAGCUGAAUAUUUAUCUUGUUGUGAGACUGUUAACCAAGCUGUUUGGUUAAAGAAUUUCAUAAUGGGACUUAAAGUUAUUGAUUCAAUUGCAAGGCCGAUCCAAAUCUACUGUGACAAUAAUGCUGCAAUAUUCUUCUCCAAGAACAAUAAGAGAUCAGCUGCAACCAGGAACUUGGACAUUAAAUACCUUAUUGCAAGAGAGAAAGUUGUGGCUAGGUUAGUUAAAAUUGAUUAUUUGGAGACAGGUUCAAUGAUUGCAGAUCCUAUGAACAAAGCAGUGACCAAUGCGGUGUUCAAGAAGCAUGUGAUGAGUAUGGGAGUGCUGGAUGAUUUUGAUACAGUGAAUUAGUGGGAGCCAAGUAUUAAUUUCUUUCUCUGCGAGUUAUCUAGUUCUGAAUGUUUUGAAUAUUGAUAAUAAAGAACACUUAGCUAAUAAAGUGAAAUGCUGAAUGGUUGUUAAAGUUUUCCUAUCAAGCUCAGCAAUUAGUUAUGAAAGUGCAUGUAUUUCUUUAUAAUGUAGGAUGGAUAAUGAUUCUCAGAAUUGUUAUAAGGCAUAAACAACUUGAAGACUUCACUAUGAAGUAUUUGGAAUUGAUUGUUUUAUCAAUCUUGUGGAGGACCAAGUGUAAGAUGUGUUACUCGAAUAUACAUGCGAACAUGUGUUACAUUAAAUUACAUAUCUUGUUGGAGUUCCAUGUGUUAUAUAGCUUCAUUACAGUGACUAUGGGGACAGUACUUCUUCAGUGAGAGUGUGAUGCCCUUUGGUUCUUUAUGAAUGCUUAUUAAUGACAGGAACUUGUAAUCGAGUUUAGCUGAUAUUAGUCUCUUGGCCAAUCAAGUAUUAUUCCACUUCUGUAAGUGUACAUGAUAAACAAAUAUUAGCUCUAGUGGGAGAAUGUAAGUUCUAUAGAGAGCAAACACUUGUUUAUCGUGUAAAAGUGUUUUGGAAUAAUAAGGAGACUAACAUUAGCUACGUGGAAUGGCUUUACAGAAAUUGUAUAAUAAGGAUAAUAGCCUCAAGCAAUCUCGAUAGAGCUAGGACUCUAUUAUCUGAUAUGUUUAUUAGGGUUUUCACGGUGAUAAAGAUAGUUUGAUAAGGAUUACAUAAUGGGAAGUGUCCUGAUUGAACUCCAUCGUUUAUGGUAUAAAACUAGGGUCCCUGCGCUCUCACAAACACACAAGUUUUCAGAUACUCAAGCCCCAUUGAUUGAGCCUUGUAUUCGGUAGUGCAGAGUUGCAGAAGAAUCCUUUUAAUUCAAGCAGCAAUGUCUUCAUCAGGUAAGUGAUGAAGUUGGUAUCGUGAUUUAGUUUCUAUAAGUUAUACACUUACAAAUAAUGUAUGUACUAUAGAAACCAUCAGUUGUAAUGGUUGAAGCAGAAAGAAGAAUACUUCCUCUGAAAGAUUAGUAUUUCCAUCUUCAAUAUCAAAACAAAAGGCUUCAAGUAGCUUCAAUAUAUCAAAGGGCUUCCAUACAUGUCAAAACAAAGAACACGACUGAUAAAACUUUUAUUUGCAGCAAUUCACAAGUAUCAAAAUCUCUAAGUAACAUCAAUAUCUUGUAAACCAUGGAGAAAGGAAGCAUCUGUAAAUUUCACAAGAGAUGUAGUAUAUAUACCAAAGCCAUUUUCCCGAUAAAAAAUCCAACAAAAGCAAGUGUAAGUCAUAUAAGAAAAGCUACGAAGUGUCAAAUGACUCUUCUUUUAUAACUCAAUAUCAUUAAACACUCUCUUUACUGCAAACAAAUAUAUGGCAAAUUGAAAAUAUAAUUUUAGAUCAUUUUUUUUUUUAAGAAAAAGGCAUGAUCCUAAACAAUGAUAUUAUGCCGAUGCAAGCAGAUUAUGACCCCGAAUAGUAUUGUAAGAACGAAACAAUAAACUAUUUCUGAUAAAACAAAUAACUUACCCAAAAGAAAAGCCAUGACAUAAUUGUACACCUCCGGAAGGUCAGACUUGUUUACCAAUCUUGCCAGUGAUUGAUCAGCAAUUUCAUAAAGUCGUCUCCCUCUCAUGUCCUUGCUGACAACAAAUAUUUUCUUAACGUAUUCAAGUUCCCUAGCAAGAUUUUCAAUUGUCCAAUCCUUUGCGAAAUUCUGAAAUGUUGUACUUUUAUGCGCAAACGGAAGCGAAUUAUAACAAAGUACCAAAUAUCGUCGCAGGAGAAAGCUAAAACAAACAAUCUCAAACUAACACGAGAUUUACGUGGUUCGGCGUAAAGCCUACUCCACAGGCGAAGCACGGCAAGGAAUUUCACUAAAUAAACGGAGAUUACAAAAGAGUGUUUAAACUCUCACAACCCAAAUCCCACAAAUUACAAACCCUAAACCAAACGAGUAGAGAACUCAAACAAACAGAGAAGAUUCUCCCAAAUUGCUCUCUAACAAACUCACAAAUUGACUCUCACCAAAUUGCCACACGAAUGAGCCACACAAUAUACAUUAACCCUAAGGUCCUAUUUAUAGUGCAUAGGACUUAGGUUACAAUAGGAAUCCUAAUAGGAAAUAAAUCCAAAUCCUAAUCAAAUAGGUAAUUAACAAAAUCUCUCCACCAAGGAAAGUAACUAAGAAGUCAAAACCAAACCCAAAUAUGACACCAAAAUCAAAUAGGUAACACAAACCUAAUUUAUUGCAUCAUCCUAAUUUUGAGCCAAAAACCCAACAAUCUCCACCUCGGCGAGAAAUUAGCAAACUUCCAAAUUUGGGAUACCAGAAUACAAAUGCAAACGUGCACCAAAUUCUUUCGAAACUGAUCUCCACCUAGACUCAAAAAAUCCAAAAGUCUUCAUACUUGAAAUUUCCUCCAACGCCUUCUCCAACAAAUUCCAUUAUGGAAACUAACAAAUACGAAACAAAAUACAAGCAAAAGCUUGAACAUAUGAACAAAAAGUGCGAAUUGCACUCCACCUAAAGAGCUUGAGUACCAAGCUCCACCUCUUCACAUAACCUUUAGAGGAGUUCAGAACAACGAUCUUCUGCAAUGUUUGCAUCAACACUAGCAAAAGACUUAUCAAACAACUUUUUUUUCGCCCUUGAGUUUAGGGCAAUCUACUUUCCAAUGACCAUCCUUAUAACAAUAGCUACAAGUGUUCUUUCCAAGUUUGCUCAUUUCCUUAUUCCUUCCUUGAACUACCAAAGCUCCAUCUUGUGUGUCAGACACUUUAUUCUUCAGCUCUUUAGAAUUCAAAGUGACUUUAACAUCUUCCAAACUAAGACUUUCUCUACCAAAUAGCAUGGUAUCGACAAAGUGUUCAUACGAAGGAGAUAAAGAACACAACAAAGUUAUCGCAUAAUCCUCAUCACUAAUUUGGUUGUCCACACUUUUCAAAUCCAUCAUAAGUUUAUUGAAUUCAUCAACAUGCUUAUGAAUUGACGUACCUUCAUCCAUACGAAGAGUAUGCAAACUUUUCUUCAAAUACAACCGUUUAGCAAGGGAUUUGGUCAUAUACAAGCUCUCCAAUUUUAUCCACAACUCUGGUGCAGAUUUGAUGCUACCAACUUCACGCAAGACUUCAUUUGAUAAAGUCAGCAGGAUUGCUCUAAGUGCCCGUUCCAUAACGUCUUCUUUUUCUUCAUCAGUCCACGAAUCCGGCAAAGUCUUCACACCCUUUAGCGUUUUCAAAAGCCCUUGUUGAACUAACAAAGCACGCAUCUUCAAUUGCCAAAUACCAAAGUCAUUGCCGUCGAACUUUUCAAUAUCAACUUUCACCGAUGACACAGAAGGCUUCAUAGUGACUGUGAAAACGGAGCUAAUGGAGAUUGCUCACCAUGAACAACAAAAUGGACAUUUACUUUCUUCCAAGGAUUUACAGGACAAUGGCAUCCGUAACUCAUUCGGAUUCAUUCAGUCCACUAAUUCCCAACUGAUUCUAGCAGUUUUUAGUGCUUCGCAAUUUUUUGGAUAUAUACAACACACAACAAUUUCUAUUUAUAUAUCGCUUUUUGACAUACUGCUUGGGGAAAUCUGUCAGCACAUACAUAUUUUGAAUGCGUUAGGUUUUAAUUUGGACAGUAAGGACUAGGGAAUCCAUUUGGAUAAUUUUGACACAAUUGACAAGCUGCAAUAGACUGCACUAUAGACUUCUAGAUUUACUGAUAGAGGUUCCAUGAUUUGUUCUAGAAUUUGGAACAAUAUUCUAAUUCUGAUGGCCAAUGGUAAUUUCUCCACUUUCAUGAGUGGCUUAACUAAAGCAAUUUCCACUUUUACUUUAUCUAGACAUAUGAUUGAUACUAUGACAUCGGUUUGUCUAGUUGUCUACGAUUGCAACACUUGUGCGAUAUAGUUUAUACUCGGCAGCACAAUUAUUGUAUCUCCUCGUAUAUUCUCUGGAGUACCUGUUUACAAACACAAUUGGCAGCCAAAUGCUUCAUGGACGAAAAAUGCAGCACGCCUCUCCGUGGUCUGAUGGCUUUUUUGUUAUUAUAUGGGAGGUCUUCUUGAUAGCUGCGUGCUGGGUUUUGACAAUGGCAGAAGAAGACAUGAUCAUAUGGGCAUUAAUGAGGCAUAAGAAUCUGGGUUCAAGUCUAGUUGUUUGUUGUCAUCUUCAAUCGAUCAAGACUUCAGUUAGAACAUCUUUGAAGGGAAAUUCCUAUCUAAUUGAGAUUGUCUAAGGUGGUGCUAAAUGGGGAGUUAGCUUUGAAACUAUGCUGGCAGAACAAGAUGCAACUAUCCUAACGGCUGCAAUAAGACGACAGUAUUUUAGUGCCUUGACAAUUGAUCUACAUGUUGAUUUCUCACUGCUGUUCACUAGUAACCUUAACCUUUGGCCUGUAUGGGAUCCGGGAGAUGCUUUAACUACAGCUAUAAAGUUGAUGAUUUGUUUUAAGUUCCAAGAGAACCAUUUCAAGGUGCACCCUCAAUUCUUGGUUCUGCAGCUACACCCCAUAAAUCCUGCAGUGCAUCCUACUUGUCUACCACCACAGUUGUUGGCCACAAGAUUAGGAAUUCUUCACCCUAAAUCCAGGCUUCACCCUUAUCAGGUGCUCUCUGUCAAAAGGAUUGAGGCCGGUAUAUGCAAUCUCCUUGCUGCCCUUAGCUUUCUCCUUUGGUUCAAAAAUGAUGAAGUUGGAGCAUGACGAAAUUGUGGUAUUUUUGUUGUUUGGAGAACAUGGGUUCACACCCCACUCUCAAGUGUCCCUUGUUGAGUUCUCAGAUGGUGCUCAGGCUCGUGUUGUGCUUGAACCUAGAGAAACCAAAGGCUUUACUUUAAUUAGGAUCGUUACAAAUUAAGGAUGACUCAAGCAAGGAUAUUUACUCAACGAGAGAAGUUCAUACAAAGAACUAAUUUUUCAUUUAAGUUGGCGUUCUUACAUAGAAUACACACGUAUCUAAAGGCCUAGGAGGAACUUUUCCGAACCUCACCUAAAACUAUCUGGAGACAAGAGGCAUCGUUCUCUUUUGUCCGUUACAUAAUAUAAGGAUGAAUCUCCUCUACAUCACAAUCAACAAUAUUUUACGUCACGCUCAAACUAUUAUAGAUAAGAUUCUUUACUUUACAACACAUCGAAUAUUAUUCUAGUGGUAACAACUUAUUGUCUAACAACAUGAUGUUGGAUAAUUGGUGUUAGAACAUUAAAAUUGUAAAUUAUUAGCUAAUGGAAAAAUUACAUUAUUAGAAGGGUGGAAGGGUAAGAAAAAUAUAGAACGCGAGAGAGAGUAUUUUGAGUUGAGUGUUUAGACGAAGAUUUUGUUUCUAAGUAUACAUAUUAGUUAGAGCAUUUUUCAUGGCAAAAAGAGUUAAGUAAGGGCAGCUGCCCCCAUUAGGCAUAUAAUGCCUCCGUUUAUGUAGAAAUGUGUUAAAUGAAUAGACAAUCAUCAUAAAUUGUUCCUUAAUACUCACACCAUUUAUUUAUUCCAUCUAUUUAGAGGCAUAAACAAUUUACAAUUCGAAAUAACUUCUUAUAAAACUUCUUUUAAUAAAAAUUAAAUAAUUAAAUAAUUUUAAUUAUAAAAAUAUACAAUUAUACAUUAAGUGGUUUUAGGAUAAUUAAACAGCUAAUCUGUAAAAAGACAGGUGUCACAAGGAUAGUGUAGGAAGAGCGUGCCGCCGGGCACAGAUAAUCUUCUCUUCCUGUCUGUAUUUCAUCAUACAAGUCACUUCCGCUUUUUCCUUUUUCUAUUUUCCGUGUUCCCGGGAAAAGUCCAAGGAAAACGAAACCCUUCCUAAUUUUUGGUUUGGAAUUCGAAUGCAAUUGCGUUAAAUUUUGCGCCUUUGAUUUGGGUAUUUGCAGAAUUUUGAGAAGACUCAUUGGAUUAUACAAGUUAGAAGUAAUGGAGGAUGUUUCUGGGACCUGGAGCAGGCUGAGCAGCAAAGUCCACCACUUGGUAUGUUUACUCAUACUUUUGGCCCUAACUUACACUCAUUCAAUCUUUCAGCUACACUUGGUUUCUGUAAAAGCAAAUAUAUGUCAAAUCUUAGACUCUUAGUAGCUUUUUAGCUUCAAAUAUAUGCCAAAUUAACCUCAUAAGUGGGUUUUCGAGCGAUCGAGUUGGACUGAAUGAAUACAUGAUGAUGUUUUCUUACCCUUUUCUGCUUAGUUUCUUCAAGAACAAUUCAUCUUUAGGUCAAGCCGGAAACUUAUUGUUCAUCUUGUUUGUAGGUCAAGAUGGUGAAAGAAAAUGAAACAGUAACUGAAUAUGCUACCUUAGUUCAUGGAGAACCUUCUCAAGAUGCUAAUGACCCCCCAAAAGUUGAUUCCAAGGCGGAAAUCCUUCACGAGAAAGUCACAAAGCAAAUCAUUAAGGAAGGUCAUGGUCAAAUACCAUCCAAGUAUUCAACAUGCUUCUGUAAGUGUCCGGUGGUUUCCUUUUUGGUAGUGCUGUGCUUUGUACAUUAGUUGAAAAUCCAAUAAUUGUUAUGUGUGUAUGUAUUUGUUAGUACGGGAGUACGACAUGAAUGAGCUUGUGACUUGCAAACAGACACACACAACAUUCAUGUUCACAGAGUUGUGUAUGCGUAUAGGAGAAUUAUUUGUGCGUGCAUUAAAUUUUAUAAAAGGGAUGCCUAAGAUACAUGUAGAAAGGUCUUGCAGUGAAGUUUUACUCUGAUUUUUUCAAUCACUGAGUGAUUGGCAUAUGUGUGAUAGUGCACUACAGGGCAUGGACUGAAAGCACAAGACACGAGUUUGAGGACACAUGGGAUGAACAACGACAACUUGAAAUGAUUUUAGGAAAAGGUAUUAUAGCCCUUGCCGAGUUGUCUGGUACUUUUGAUAUAUACAAAAUAUAUGCAGAAUAAUUCUGGCAUGUUCCUUGUUCAGUCUGCAAUUAGUUCUGUGAGUUCUUUAUUGCUUUUAUUCUCUGUAGUUAACUUGUCAUUUGAUAUGAUUUGGGUCCAUAAGCAUUUAAUCAUUAUGUGGUGGUAUUAAAUGCAAUGAACUUCUUAUUAGUAGUAUAUUUUUGUUACCGCAACAGAGAAAAAAGAAAUGACUGGCUGGGCUAUUGGGGUGUCCAGCAUGAAGUCGGGAGGGCGUGCCCUAUUACAUGUAGGCUGGGAGUUAGGGUUUGGGAAAGAAGGGAGCUUUUCUUUUCCGAAUGUUCCACCAGUGGCAGAUAUAUCAUAUGAAGUUGAGCUUAUUGGAUUUGAUGAAACCAAAGAAGUAAGUUGGUCACUUGCUUUCAAAUGUCUUCCCAAGUAGAUGCCAAUAGUUUUAGCCGGGAACGAAGACACAGUAUCAAAUUUAGUGAUCUAAACUGUUAGCAGUGGAGGAGUUAAGAAUUUACGAUGAUGGGGUCAAAAAAUCGAUCAUACUUUCAUUACGAUUACCCACUACAUGUUCUCAUAUUUUGGAAACGUUGUAUCACAACAAAAUUAUAAAUCAAAUCAAACACAUCAUUCUCAAUGUAUACAAUCAAACUAUCAUUCAAUCAUUCAUCACAUGUCUAUUACGAUGUGGAUGAUUCACAAUAUUCAUCAUCGAAAAAGCUCUUUCAACAGAAGCAGUCGCUACGGUAAAAUUUUUGUUAAUUUUGUGGAUGCAAAUUUCUUCCUCUUUGAUCUUGGACAAAAUUGCACCUACAAAACAAUUAACACCUUAGGUCAAGGCUAAGAGCCUCACGCGCCCACGAUAAAUGGGGGGGCUUUGGCCGAUGAACAUCCGAUGCCAAAGUUAGAAUUUAGAGAGAAAAAGUGUUUGACAAUUCUAGAGAAUUUUAGCAAGAGUUGCAACUAGGUUUUGGUGAGAAAUGUGGGGCUUUUUAUAGAGGAGUGGCUGGCCUCUUAGGGUGAGAGAGGACCGGCCACAUAGUCUUGUUUGUGGGUUUUGUUCAUGAUUUAAGAUGAUUUUGGGAGUUAUAUGAUUAAUUGACUAAUUAAUUUGGCAAAAUAAAAUUAUUACCAAAUGAAUUAGCUAAUUAAUGGGAUGAAAUGGGCAAAUAUCAAGAGAUAAACAAAACAUGGCCAAUUCCUUUUCUAACAAUAGGUGGCCGGCCCUUCACUUGUUUUUGGGGUUGAAAGGAUCACUUAAUUGACAAUUUAAGGGAUUAAAUAGGCAAUUAACCUCUUAAUUGGCCAUUUAUCAUGAUUUUUAGAAGGAAGGCUUUAGAAGUUAUGGAAAGAAUAAAAUAAAUAGCUAAUUGAUUAGCUAAAAGAGGGAAAAAGAGGUAAGAAAUAUAUGGAAUGAAAUAGGUUUUAAGUUGAUACCUAUUUUGGGCACUUUUGACUUGGUUUAGGGAUGAUUACUCGCGCGUAGGAAUCCCAGUAUGUCUCAAGGGUAUUUUUGUUCUCUUUUACCCAAGAAUCCACGUGUCGUCUUGUGAUUAUUUUUUGCUCCACAAAUUUCAUUAGCAAGUACACUAAGGGAUACUGCCUAUCCCUCUUUAUCUCCACUAACUUUUGUGCAAAACUACUAAUUUCUUUCAACACAAAAAUUUCAUUAUGCAAACGUAUGUCAAAGAUAUAAUUUUUAAGUUCGUCAUCAAGAAGUGAGAGCUCCGUAUUUGGAUAAAAUUGGGUAAGGCGAACUAACUAAACCACAUAAUAUAAGUUGGGGUGUGCUAUUCACAAUCCUUAUUUUAUUUUUCACACACUAAUUUUUUUUCGUUGAUCUUUUGAUAGGACUCGCUCGGAUUAAUGACUUCGCUAGGAGUUCUUAGACAAGAACCCCAAAUUCGGCCGGACUCGUAAGACCUUCUGCGAGAGAGAACCUCGGUCAUCCUGCGAGAGAGAGUCGUCGCCAUCGCUCCCUGCUUGCCCUGCUCCCUCAUCCUCGUCCUCCUCACCCUCAUCUCUGCGUCCUGCUUGCCCUCAUCUGCAUCCUGCUUGCCCUCAUCUGCUCCUCUUGCCUCUUGCCUGGUAAACUUCGAAUCUUCGAUUUAUUUCUCCGAUUUGUUUUUCAGAUCGUGAUAUUACUGAGCUUUAUUUGAUUUAGUUGUUUGAGAAAUUUUCAAAGAUUUAUCGCUUUGUCAUUGAAAAUGCAAAUGCAAUGCUCAGUCAGUGCGAGUCUGAGUCCGAGCAGAAGAGGCAGAGGCACCGCUGUCGAUUCACUUCCAAUGGCAGCCGUCGGUGGUCCUAAGUGGGCACAGAAGACCAUAACUCUGCCUCCCCUCAAGAGGGGUUGUCAUCUCGUCACCCCUAAGGUACCUACUCUUUUGAAUUUUGAUUCUUGAGUUGAUCCAUCCGUCAAACCCUAACCCUUGAUUUGAAAUCAAUUGAGUUGGAUUCACGGUGAAACAUGUGUUUAGGUCUCUUAGAAAUUUAAUUUCUAUUUGAAAUUUCAGAUAGUGAAGGAAAUUGGGGAGGACUUGUCAGAAUUCAAGUGUGGCCUUGCCCACCUCUUCUGUAAGUUUGCCUGCCUAAUACUGUUUUCUUUCAAUACUUGUUUUUGCUUGUUUUGAAUGAACAUAUAACAUCUGUGUAUAUUUAUUUGUGGGUAAUAUUUCAGUGCAGCACACAAGUGCUUCUCUUACUAUCAAUGAGAAUUAUGACUCUGAUGUUCGUCACGAUGCAGAGACAUUCCUCAAUACCAUUGUUCCUGAGGUUACUUACUUUCGUUUUGUUUCCUUUCCUGUGUAUUAUGAUCACAUGAUUCACAUCUUAUGUACCAGUAGCACUAGCAAGCAUUAUAUGAUGUUCUCGUCUUCAUUUAUUUUCAGGGGACCUCUGCACCAUGGAAGCAUACCCUUGAAGGUUAGUAUUCGAUUCCAUUUCAUUGUUUCAUUCAUGGCCUUCGUCUCUUCUUUCGAAGAAUACUUUGCUUUUCUCUGUUUUAACCCAAUUUCUAUAACUUGGUUGGCUACGUCUUUGAGUUUGCAUUAUAUGCACUGUCAUUUGACUGCUAGCUACUGUGGUGCCUGGUAGCUCAGAAUUUAAGUUAUCUGAGUUUUACAGGCCCAGAUGACAUGCCAGCACAUAUUAAAUCAUCAAUGUUUGGCUGCACUCUGACGUAAGGAUACCUUACUAGCUUGUUUGAUACUGUUUACAUGUGCUGUGAGGAAUUUACGGCCUCGUUGGCAUUUACAUUUUCCUUGUUCUCAUGCAGGGUUCCAAUUACAAAUGGAAAACUCAACAUGGGAACUUGGCAGGUAUGUAAAAGUGAAAACCAUUAUUCAACUUUUCUAAGUUUUCUACUUGUAAAGGGCUUGAAUCUCUCAAUCUUGAAAUUAGGGUUUAUGCUUGGAAAGAUUUUCACCUAUGCUCUGCUUAAUAAAUUUCUUGGAUGAUGCCUAAUUAUUCUCUGUAGGAAUAGAACUUAAAGUAAAUUCUGGAGAAAAAAAUGCAUCAUGUUAAGGGAAGGUAAACCGCAUAGCAGUACUUAAGAAAUUACUAGCUGCAAAAGAAGUUUUUACGAGAACACUUACAUUCUGAACCUUCUUCCCUACUACUGUUGAAGUGUCAGUAAAGGCUAGAAGUAUUCUUUUAUGUAGGCAGAACAUGUAAGUUAAAAGACACAUGUUUUGAAUGCCGGUGCUCAAUGGCGUUAGUGCAUGAUGGAAUGUUUUACAGACCUUACUGUAAGCAUCUUGACUAGGCGUAAAUUUCUUGUAUUUGAGUAUGUAAGCUGAGCAUGGAGUAUGAACUCAUGAGAACAGAAUGAUAGAUAAGAUAUGCAUAGGCUUUUUUUUAAGAUUUCAUCAACCCUUUCAAUUUCUAAGGGGCAUGUGAGUGAGGCAAUGAAUGGCGCUAUGGAAUUACACUCUUCGGCUAACAAUUACUCUGUUUUUUCCUUUUUUAUAAACAUCACAUUCUGUUUCCAUUGCAUCAUUGUUUGGCUCUCUAAUAAAUCAAAAUUUCUGGUGUGUUAUAGCUUAUGGAAUAUUGUUUAUUUUUUUCCUUGUAUUGAUUCUGCUUCAGGGAAUAUGGUUGUGUGAGCAUCGUGACUAUUCUACAGCACGGAAAGUUGUGGUUACCCUGAAUGGAAUAUGAGAUUCUAAGAUUUGGAUAUUUUUCAUCCAAGUCUGUAGAUAAGUCGUACGUAGACAUCUGGUUUGUUCAUGGGAACCUCCUGGAGAGAUGUUAACGUCCUAGCUGUUUUCUGCAUCUUUCUGGCUGAAUGAACAUCUGGUACCUUGUUACUUGUAAAGGAUUUACUACUUUCUGGCUUAUACAUACAAUAGCAAUUUCAAGUAAUUAUUUUAAAAUUGAGUAAAAAAUUGAACUUGUCAGACAUCAAUUUUCGUUCUACUCAAAUGCAAGUAUAAACCAAUACCUUUAACUUUAAUCUACGACUUUAAACCCAAGGUGAAUAAUUAAGAAAAUCAUCCUGAACCCUGUCAAUUGUUGGGAGAACACUUUGUUAUAUUCAUGUUUGGAACAAUGCUACUCUUGAAUCAUGUAUGUUUCUUUCGUUGGUAAGAAAAUUUGGUUUUUGUAUUUUUAUUGAGUCUCACUCUCAUCCAAUAUUGUUAAUUUUAAUAAUAUCUUUAAUAAAAAAAACAAUUAAAAUAUAACAAUAAUGUAGUCCUAGUCUAAGCAAACAUCAAACUGGUGACAAUACUGUUUUCAUUAUCCUGCUUUUUAGUCCAAUACUGCACCAAAUGCUUCACUAAGCUAGUCCAACUAAGUUUAGUCUAAGUCAGUCCAUCUUAGUCCUUGCAACUAGUCUAGUCCGAGAUAGUCUGGUGCCACAUACGCACAAUGGAAAAUUAUGUUCAAUGCCCUUGGAAUUAACUAAUGAAAAAUUAUGGAUUUUCUAUAAUUUCAUCUGUUGCUAUUGAUAUAUAAAAUUCCAAUGCUCAAUAUUUCAUCAGCUGUUGUUAUGCAGUUAUAAGGGUCGGAAAAUUUUUCAAAAGGAUAAAUUUACAAACUUAUUGGGGUCAAGGGAUGCCAAUGCCUCCUUCACUUCACUUGGGUUUUCGCUUUGUUUACUGAGUUUUCAGUUGUGAAUUUUUUGUCACCACCAUAAUAUGUUAGUGUGUAAAACGAGUCAAUUUGUUUCUUUGAAGUACUUCUUGUUUCUUUUGUUUAUGUGGACAUUUUUCAGUAAAGGCAUGAAACUCAAGAAUCAGAAAGAUUCUAGUUCCUAUUCUAUAUAACUAAGCAUGUCAUAUUAUAUGAAAUCAUAAAAAUAUUGGAUUGAUGAGCCAUUUAAUAUUACAAUCUUGUUAUUUUCUUCUAGACUUGUAAGUGAUAGUUUUUAGGCUCAAUUAUCGCCAAAAACAAAUUUGAACUACAUUAUUGAUAAUCUAUUAUGAGGCUUAAUCUACUUCUCCACACUCUUAAUGUAAAUGAUAUCGUUUUUUCUAAUAAUAAUAAUAAUGGAUUGAGGUUUGAAAUUUCAUCAUUACAAAUGGACCCCAAUUUAUGACUUUCUUUAGUCUAUUAGCAUUAUAUUAAUAGACAUUUAUGCUGGGUGUGGAGACGUCCAGCGGUGGGUGUACAAAUGAUGACGGGUUAUAAUGAUAAAUCAAAUCAUUAGCCAAUUAAGGAAGACGCAUAGAGGCCACAGGGGUAUUUGCCCAAAUAUUCCUGUGGCCUCUUUGUGCCUUUGCUUUUUGAAUUAAACAUAAUUAAUGUUAACUUGAUAAUAAUUAAAAUAAUAAAUAAUAAAUCAAAUCAUCAGCCAAUUAAGGAAGACACAGAGAGGUCACAGGAGUAUUUGGGUUCAGAAGAUCUCAUCUCGGUUAUAAUAGCGCGUGGGCCCAGGGAGUGGUGGGAGAGAGAACAUGUGUUGGAAAUCAAAUGAAAGACACAACACAAGCUUUAGUAUAGCACUAGCUACUAGGGCACAAAAGUAGAGGAAAAGAGAAGGUCAGGAACCUAUAAUUUGUGAAGGACCUAGCUAGCAUUAAAAAUCAACUUUCAAUUAUUAAGGCCAGCUGUAACAUAUUGACCAUUAUUGGGUCUUUGUUUUUAUUUCCUCAUUCCAAAUUAACCCCAAUUUAUAACUUUUUUAGUCUAUUAGCAUUAUAUCAUCAACAUAAAUGGACAUUAUGAUAUCUCAUCGUCCACUUUACUUUUAGGUCCUAUUGGUAACUAGAACUGUAUUAACUAUGUCACUCGAAUAAGAUAAUUUGUACAUUAAAUAAUAUUGAUUAAAUUAAUCGGAUGUUUGAUGUAGAAUCUAAUUAAAAACCCAGUUAUGCAUUAUAUUUUAUGAAAGAUAAUGUCAAAAAUUGUAAAUAAAAUGAAAAGAAAGGAAGAAAAAAAAUCGAUAGAAUAAUCCAAAAAGGGGCACUUCCCUUUCUUUGUGGUUAAUCUUCUGCAAACAAUCCGUUGUCAUUGAUCUUCUGGAAAAGGGAUAUUCUCCGGAUCAUUGCCUCUUAAUCCAUUAAAUUCAUUAAUCUGGACUUUUGAAAUUUGAUACAACGGCUAAAAUUAUAAUUUUUAAUAGGGUCUCCUGUUUUUAGCCGUUAUAUCAAAUUUUAAAUGCCCGAAUUGAUUGAUUUAGUGGAUUAGGAGGAAGACAUCCGGAGAUGAUCCAUUUUCAAUAUUCUGCACACAACCCAGAAAAGUUAUGGGUGUGGAUUCGUGGCAAAUCGAGGCACCAUGAAGGUGCGGAAUAAAGCGCAAAUUGUGAGAUUCCGCUCCAGAUUCCAGCAAAAAGGCGACUUGCAGGUCGUCGGGUUUCAGAUCCUCUCAAGAAAAUCGAUUAAUUGAAUUUACAUCGUGGUGGAUGGUCGCAACCACAUAAAUUGAGCCAAGAAGCUUCAUAUUCCAACCCAAAUUAAUUUCACAGAAUUUAAAUUCUAGGGUUCAAAACCUUAAUUUUGAAAGGAAUUGUAACUUCACCAAAAAUUUAAAGUGGAACAUAAAGAAGAAGAAGAAAUCUUGACGAAGAUGACAGCUGAACGACGGCAAUGGGAAUUAGUCUUGUGCACGAUGCGAGAGAAAGGGACGCAACAUGAGAGAACGGGAGAACACAAUGUGAUUUUCCUACUAAUUAAGUACCGGUUUGGUACUUAUGUGCUUUUAUGAAAAGUGGAUAUACAAAAAAAGUUGAGCUCAAAAAGGUAUUUGGUAAACACUUAAAAAUAGCUUAUUUUCACAAUUUUGGAUGGAAAAAAAGCUGCAAACGUGAAGCAGCAUAAAUGUUGAAUUAUAUGUUGAAUGUUGAAUUAUGAUUUCUUGUUAAACGGUGGAUUAUAUGUUUAAGAUAAAGUUUAUAAAAAAUUAUUUUUAAAAUAAAGUAUAUUUAGUAAUUCACCUUUAUUUGUUAAGAAAAUUAAAUUAAUGACACAUCUAGUAUUAUACAAUUUUUUGUCAUUUCACACAGUCACAGCUGUUUUACAUAAAAGUUUACCAAACAUUAUAAUACCGUUUUUUUUCUUUUCCAAAAACACUUUUACAAAAAAGUUUACCAAACAUUCUACUGCUUUAUUUCACAGCUACUUAUUCUCACAGCACCGUAAAAACAGUUUUUUUUUUCAAAACACAGCAAUACCUAACCAUCCCUUAUAAUACAAAGGUUUUGGGUUGGAUAAUUUAGUAGGUGCACCAUAUAAGGAUGUGGGUCCAGUUUAAUUAAUUCGGGUACUAUUUAGUGUAAAAUUACACUAAACACUUGGGUUCAUACUAUUUAUCCUAUCUGGUUGGUUAUACGGUUUGUCAAACGAGACCUUAGUGUAUAAUGUUGCUUCACUGAUAAUCUUCUAACGGUUACAUAGUUUUAACAAUAUUCAAACUUACAUCAAAUCAAUCUUAACCUUUCAUCUUACAUCUUAUGAGAUGAAGACAUUUAACAAAAUAGUCGCACUUGGUGCGAUGGCAAGUGCCUUCGCCCAUGAGCGGUAGGUCUCGGGUUCGAGACUUGGGAGCAGCCUCUCCAUAAAUGGGGGUAAGGCUAGCCGACAUUCACCUCUCCCAGACCCUGCGUAAAGCGGGAGCCUUGUGCACUAGGUACGACCUUUUUUUAUUAUUAUUUGUUUUUUUCCUCAACCCUCAAUUUUUGAAACUAGAAAUUAAAGGAAAUCUAAUUUUCUCAGCUGAAAGAAGGUGUCAGAAACGUGCAGUGCUGGGUGUAUAAAUUCGCACUGAAGAUACAAAUAAAAUUAGACUGAUUGCUUCUAUUUGGAAGUGCUGGGUGUAGAAAGGUAGAGCGGUGGGUGUACAAAUGAUGACCGGUUAUAAUAGCGGGCCCAAGGGGUGUGGAAGAGAGAACAUGUAUUGGAAAUCAAAUGAAAAACGACACAACACAAGCAGAGCACUAGCUAUUUGUGAAGGACCCGGCUGGCAUUAAAAAUCAACUUUCAAUUAUUAAGGCCAGCUGUACAUAUUGACCAUUCUUAGGUCUUUGUUUUUAUUUUAUACAUUGAAUGAUGUGUGAGUGGUUGGAUGAGAGAUGGGCAUGUAAAGACUAGCAGGAGGAGCCAUCUUUCAUUACGCAAAAUCAAUUUCUUAGUUACAACUUUAUAUUUUAAUUUACUUCACUUGGGUUUUUGCUUGUUCUGAAUACAAGAAAUGGCAGAAGGAGUUCUCUUUAAUAUUGUAGAACGGAUCAUUGUAAGGCUUGGCAACCGUGCUUUCCAAGAGAUUGGGUCGAUUUGGGGUGUCCAAGAUGAGCUCAACAAGCUCAAGGAGACAGUUGUCGGAUUCCAAGCUGUUCUUCUAGACGCUGAGCAAAAGCAAGCCAACAACAGUGAAGUCAAACUAUGGCUCGAAAGCGUAGAAGAUGCAGUUUAUGAAGCCGAUGAUGUGCUGGAUGAGUUUAAUACUGAAGUUCAGCGGAGACUAGUGAUGCAUGGCAAUACUAAGCUGUCAAAGAAGGUAUGCCUCUUUUUUCUUUAGCUCAAAUGAAUUUGCUUUCUGACGAAAGAUGAAUCAUUAAAUAAAAUAUAUUAACAAGAUGAUUCGAGAGGUUGCACCUUGUAGAACAUUUUCGUAGUCACGUAAGCUUAUCGAUAUUAACCUAUUAGGAGCACAAUAGGUCUCUCAAUAACUUAUAUUUAACUGCAAUAAAUCUUCUACAUUAUUGUUUUGAAUGUUUCGUAUAACUUACCGUUACAAAACUCUAUUAACUUAUUAACACAGUUCUAUCGAAAAAAUGAUUGUGUCUACUCAAACUCUUACAGGUGCGUCUUUUCUUUUUCUAGCUCAAAUCAACUUGUUUUGGGUUAAAGAUGAGUCAUAAGAUAAAAGAUAUCAACAAGAGGCUUAGUGAGAUUGAAUCCCGUAGACCCAAGGACUUAAACAAUAAUCGUGAAGAUACAAGAUUAAUAUUGAGAGAGAGGGUUACUCACUCAUUUGUCCCUAAGGAAAAUAUUAUAGGGAGAGAUGAAGAUAAAAAGGCACUUAUCCAACUUUUGUUGGAUCCCAUCUCAACUGAGAAUGUUUCAACCGUUUCCAUAGUUGGAAUUGGAGGAUUGGGGAAAAGUGCCCUUGCCCAACUCAUAUUCAAUGAUGAGGUGAUUCAAAAGCAUUUUGAGUUGAAAAUAUGGAUAUGUGUCUCUAAUAUAUUUGAGUUGGAUAUAUUGGCAAAGAAAAUCCUAAAAGCUGACAAGCUUGAUAAAAAGGAGCGUGAUAAGGUGGACCAGCUUGAUAUGGAUCAGCUGCAAAAUGAUCUUAGAAAAAAAGUAAAUGGGAAGAAAUACCUACUUGUGUUGGAUGAUGUGUGGAAUGAGGAUCCACAUAAGUGGCUUAGCUUGAUGGACUUGUUAAGGGGUGGUGGAGAAGGUAGUAGAAUAUUAAUAACCACACGUACUGAAAUCGUUGCGAUGACAUCACACACAACUAAACAGUACGCCUUAAGGGGUUUGAAUGAAGAGCAAAGCUAGUCUUUAUUUAAGAAAAUGGCUUUUAAAGAUGGAGAAGAACCAGAGAAUUCAACAAUUAAGGCAGUUGGGAUGGAGGUUGUAAGAAAAUGUCAGGGAGUUCCACUCGCUCUAAGGACGAUAGGUGGGAUGUUGCGCACCAAACAUCAUGAAAUAGAAUGGCUUAAUUUCAAAGAAAGGAAACUUUCAAAAAUAAGUCAAAAAGAAGAUGAUAUUUUACCAACACUUAAACUAAGUUAUGAUGUGCUCCCAUCACAUUUGAAGCAUUGUUUUGCUUAUUGUAGCUUGUUCCCACCUGAUUAUGAUAUCUCUGUACCAAGAUUGAUUAGACUUUGGGUGGCCCAAGGGUUCGUUAAGUCAUCCGACGAAAUCGAGUGUUUGGAGGAUGUUGCGUUUGAAUAUUAUAGGGAAUUGUUGUGCAGAUCGUUUUUUCAAGAAGAAAAAACAAAUGAGUUUGGUAUAAUAGAAAGUUGUAAAAUGCACGAUCUCAUGAAUGAACUUGCAAUCUUAGUGUCGGGUGUCAGGAGCGUCGUAGUUGAUCUGAACCGAAAGAACUUUCAUGAAAAGCUUCGUCACGUAUCUUUCGUCACGUAUCUUUCAAUUUUGAUAUUGAUUUGUUGAAAUGGGAAGUGCCAACUUCCUUGGUAAAAGCAUGCAAGAUACGAACUUAUCUUUUUCUUUGCCAAGAGGUUUUGAAAGAUUACGAUGAGUCAUUAUGUGAUUCAUUUUGUACCACAAUUGUUUCAAAUUUUAAGUCAUUACGGAUGUUGAGUCUCAAUACAAUAUAUAUUAUAAGAUUGCCUAAUUGUUUUAAAAAAAUGAAACAUUUGAGAUAUCUUGAUCUUAGUGGGAAUCUCAUGAUGGAGAGACUUCCAGAUUGGAUAGUUGGACUUUCGAAUUUGGAAACACUAGAUCUCAGUCAGUGUCUUAGUCUUGUGGAAUUGCCUAGAGACAUUAAAAAAAUGAUCAACUUAAGGCAUCUCAUCUUGGAAGAUUGUAUUGGGUUGAGUGGAAUGCCACGUGGAAUUGGUGAAUUGAAAGGUGUUCGUACAUUGAAUAGAUUUGUUUUGAGUGAAAGCAAUUGUUUGGGGAGGGGCGGUAGUGCUGGUCUUGCUGAGCUGGCCACCCUUAACGAAUUAAGGGGAGACUUGGUUAUUUUUGAUAAUUUGAGGCACGAGAAAGAUGUGGUGUCAGAAUCAAAUGUUGGUACACCUCUCAAGGACAAACAGCAUCUCCAUUCGUUGGAAUUGUGGUGGAAAUUUGGAGAAGAUGUAAAGGCAGUUGAUGAGGUGGAUAUUAUAAAGUCAAUGGAAGUAUUGCAACCCCAUUCUAAUCUAAAGCAGUUGUCCGUGUGGUAUUAUGGUGGUGUGAGGUUUGCGAGUUGGUUUUCUUCUCUCAUUAAUAUUGUUAAUCUCGCAUUCUGGAAUUGUAAGAGAUGCCAACAUCUUCCACCCUUGGAUCAUUUGCCUUCCCUUAAGAAACUUCAACUUGGAUAUUUGGAGAAGUUGGAGUACAUAUCAGAGAAAGAGAGCAGUAAUAGUAUGAGUGAUGAGAUGAUGAGGAUCUCAUUCUUUCCCUCCCUGGAGACACUCUGCCUAGUAGGUUGCCCUGUUCUGAAGGGAUGGUGGAGGGCGCACACUCCUAAUCUAACUUCCAUCCCUCUUUGUCCAAAUGUGGAGAGAAUACAAGUCUGUAAGAGCAGCUGGAAGGUUGUUGAUUCCUUGUUUUUUAGAGGAGCAUCUGAUAUUACACAUGAUGUUGGUGUUGAUGUUUCUGCCUCUUCUUCUUCCCCUCCUCUCUCCAAAUUAACACAUCUGUCACUUGAGGAAAUUGAGGAUUUGGCUUCACUGCCAGAAUGGAUUCGUGGACUCCCCUGUUUAAAUACAUUGCAAAUUUCUGGUUGCCCCAAGUUAUGGGAAAGAUGCGGCAAAGAAACAGGUGAGGACUGGCCUAAGAUUGCUCACAUCCCACACAUUACUAUUUGGGAUUAAGGUGCGUUUUCUAACUUGUUUCAAUUCACACUAGCCUAAUUCAAUAUAAACUAUGAAAUAUUCAAAUGCCAAUCUCAUUUCUUAAUUUUAUUCUUCAUUCAUCAUCACCGUAAUUUUUAUUUUCUUUUCAAAUGACAAACCAUAUGAACCAGAGAUUUUGGAUUCAGUGAAUGGAGGAGCAUCAACCUUUUGGAUUCAAUAUGUGAUGACCAUGUUAACUACUUGGAGUGGUUGUAUAUGAUUUUGUUUUUGAUCCUCGGGGUUUAGGUACUAUGUCCCUCCCGUUGUAUGUUUUUUCUUCAAGUAAUAUAAUAUGGGCGUGAGAGCCUAGCCCCCCAGCUUCGACUGGGUUCCAGCCCUCUUUAUAUAUUUCUUUUUAAUAUACGUUGAUGCUUUGGAAGCGAAACAACUUUUGUCACGUUAUAACAUAUAAGUCAGCAUAAUUAUACACAACAAUGGUAAAAAGAAUUACAUCUAUUAAUUGUCAAUGCACUGGAGUAACCAAAUAUUCUAAGACCAAAGGAACUCCAAAAUCUACUCUAGAUACGGCUCGGGACACAAAUAUCUCCUUCAAAACCCGAAAUUAAUCACAAUAAACGCUACAUUCUCAGUAAAGCAAACAAACUGAUUAUGUUUUGUUUAGUCAAAAGGAAAUUCAUGAGAACCAUUACAAAAAUAUGUGUUGUUUUUUCCAAGUCCUCUCUCUAGAAACAACUCAGACAACUCUUAGUUUCUUUGUUUUCUUUUCCUCGAUUUCCUUAGCAAUCAAAUGGUCUCCAUAAGUAAAAACAAAUUCUUCUAACGUACCGAAUGUUUACUAAUAUUUUUCUUUUCUUUCCAUUUUUUCAGCUACCCAAUUGAACUGGUCUCUUAAGUUUUCUUAAUUUGCAAUCAAAAUCUAUUUGUUUCUUAAGUUUUCUUCAAAAAUUGUACUUAUAUGUAAUCAGAAUACUUUGAUUUCUUUAGUUUUCAUUUCCAUCUUCUAUCCCGCAUAUCUAAGUUCCUUAUUAACCCACACCAGUUCAUACUUAUAAUAUGUUAUACGUUUAUUUUUAAAAAGUUGAAGAUGCUCGUAUUGCCAACUAAAAAGGAAAAGUACGGACCUUGAUAUUCACACAGAGAUCUUCCAUGUAGUCUUUGGUAUCUACGAAAACAAACUUAUCAACAUAUCAGUCAAAGGAAAAUUAUUACAACCUCUGCAAAAUCAAAAGAUGAUACGGAUGUCAAGCGACCCCUUAAGUUAAAGGCCCUAGUGUUAAAGAAAACUGUUAGCAUCUAUUAUUGUAAAUACCUGCCAAGAAAAGAUGAAAAUAAAAUAUUAGGCAUAUGAGUGUAAGCUUACAGAACCUUAGUUUUUGUACACUUUCUUCUCCCUUCAAUGACAGUUUGUUUCUUAUCCGGAAAAAUAAAGUGAGCAGGUUAAUGAUACUCACAUGUGCAAAAUGCUAAUCCUAUGGUCUAAAGCUAACUGACUUUUUAAGUGUAAAAUCCCUAAUUUCACUGCAUUUGGAUUGAUCACAGUUCAUGACUUGUUAAACUUGAUCUCCUUGGGCAUUUUGGGAACUUGACAGCUUAUAUUUUCUUUAGUCACAGAUGUGCCCAUAAAAGCAAAUUACAGCGACCCAAUGUCUACUAAAAACUUGGAGAAGGAACUCAAUUAGUCAACGAACAAGUGCCUCACACUUUCAUAUUAAAGACCAAAGAGAGAAAACCAAGCCGAACUCUUUGAAAUUCGUUGGCACACAUGCGUCAUUGGCUUAAUUGAAUGUAUAAUGCAUACUUAGAUACAAUGAUUCGAACAAUUGUCAUAGAUUGACAUAAGCCUCCAAACUUCAAAAAUUGAUACCUUAAGAAAGCAGAACCUGUUUUCCUUCAUAUUUGUGCUCUUUUGAUUAGCCUAUCUCGCGAUCACUUGAUUCAUUCUAAUCACUAUGAAAACAGCUUAAGAACAGUUGAUAAUCUCUAAAACAAAGAGGGAAAACAUAGAAAUACUAUCUGUACUCAAAUGAGUUCAUUUUGUGUUCAAAUUCUAAGUAAUUAAUAAUAAGAAGGAUACCAAGAAUAUUAUUUACCCAAAUCUUGUAAUUAAUACUAAGAAAAAUACCAUGAAUUCCAUUUUGGGAAGCUGCUUUUAGCUUAGUAGCUCCAUUUGAGAAUGCAAAUAUGGCAUACCAGUCGAGGGUCCAACCCAAAGGAAGUGAAAGCCUUUUUUACAGUUCAACAUACGCUCCUCUGGUGAAAACAUGUCCCACAAUGCAGCAAAAAAUAGAGUCAAAGGAAUAAUAGUUGGUUUCCAUUUAGAACCUCAAAACCCCACUUCAGUCCUUCUCUUAGUGGAGAAAACAGCAUCUCUGGUGAAAGUGAAUUCGAACUCGGCAUCCAUUCCUCCAUCAUACAUAGAAGCAACCACAUCCUGAAAGUAAGUCCCCUGACGAACUUCCCAUCCAUCCACUGACUCCGGAGUCUUGAACUUUACAAUUGUAAGUUUGCUCUUGCAACUCUUUCCUGCUCGUAAUUGCACCAUUUUGUUGUUAUAGUCCUGCAAUGCAAACAGUCAAAAGCUUCACAUAUGCAACUCUCAACAACAACAACAACAACAACAAAGCCUUUUCCCACUAAGUGGGGUCGGCUAUAUGAAUCCUAGAACGCAAUUGCGCUCGGUUUUGUGUCAUGUCCUCCGUUAGAUCCAAGUACUCUAAGUCUUUUCUUAGAGUCUCUUCCAAAGUUUUCCUAGGUCUUCCUCUACCCCUUCGGCCCUGAACCUCUGUCCCGUAGUCACAUCUUCGAACCGGAGCGUCAGUCGGCCUUCUUUGCACAUGUCCAAAUCACCGGAGCCGAUUUUCUCUCAUCUUUCCUACAAUUUCGUCUACUCCGACUUUACCUCGGAUAUCCUCAUUCCCAAUCUUAUCCUUUCUCGUGUGCCCACACAUCCCACGAAGCAUCCUCAUCUCCGCUACACCCAUUUUGUGUACGUGUUGAUGCUUCACCGCCCAACAUUCUGUGCCAUACAACAUCGCUGGCCUUAUUGCCGUCCUAUAAAAUUUUCCCUUGAGCUUCAGUGGCCUACGACGGUCACACAACACGCCGGAUGCACUCUUACACUUCAUCCAUCCAGCUCGUAUUCUAUGGUUGAGAUCUCCAUCUAAUUCUCCGUUCUCUUGCAAGAUAGAUCCUAGGUAGCGAAAACGGUCGCUUUUUGUGAUCUUCGCUAGAUUGCUCCUUUUUUUCAUUAGUGUGGAUAAGUAUAUAAAUGGAUAGAGAUAUAGGAAAGCAAACACAAGAUGUACGUGGUUCACCCAGAUUGGCUACGUCCACGGAAUAGAAGAGUUCUCAUUAAUUGUGAAGGGUUUACACAAGUACAUAGGUUCAAGCUCUCCUUUAGUGAGUACAAGUGAAUGAUUUAGUACAAAUGACAUUAGGAAAUAUUGUGGGAGAAUGAUCUCGUAAUCACGAAACUUCUAAGUAUCGGAGUGUGGUGUCGUCUUGACUUGCCUUAUCUGUCUCAUAGGUAGCAUCUUCUCUGGAAGUACUCUUCCUCCAUCCAGGGGUGGUAUCUUUAAUUGGUGGAGAUGCACAAGGUAAUGUAUCAAUUUCACUUGAAGCUUACUUGUAGUUUCAGGCUUGGUCAAGCGCGAUACAAACCAUGUAGUAGGAGUCCCCCAAGUCGCCGAGCUAGGGGGUCUGCUGAAAGAGGUGACAGACAAGGUAAGCAAUCAGAGCUCCGACUGAUUGUUCACCUUCUCCCCAUCUUGCAGCAGCAUGAAGGAUAAAGAGAAGAAAAAUGAGAAGAGAUGAUAUGAGAUACUUUUGCUUUUGAAGAAGUAACUUUCCACAGGCUUAUUCUUGAACUGAGCUGGAGGGUUUUCUGGUUUCCUCCAGAGUAUAAGGUCGACUGAAGAAUUUGAGGGUCAAAACAAGUCCAUCAAAUCUAGAGUACGUUCCACCCUGCUGAUAUGGGAUACUUUUGCUUUUGACAAAGUAAUGGAUGUAUCGGCAUGUGUGCUGUUACGCUUGUCUCCACAUGCUUCCUUGUAUCCUUCGCACUUGCCCUAUCUGUUCCUCAAGUAGAUGCAGAAUCUUCCCUGGAAACAUAAGAUGUUGAAGAUGAGUACUCGAGAGCAAUGCCAGGUAAGUAAUCAGGUAAGGGGUUUCAGGCAGUCAGUUCCUGGCUGGAAUCUUGAUUCCAAGUGCUGACUGAUUGCUCUCUUUCUCCUUGUCUUGCAGGUAAAAACAAGGCCAAAAGAAAAGACAGGGAAAAAGCAUGAUAUGGGAUACUCUUGCUUUUAACCCUGAUGAUAUGAGAUAUUCUUGCUCUAGUAUAGCUUGUUUGCAGAGGUAUUAUCGGGGGGAAAGAAAGCUGAAUAUUUCGAAAGGCUUCGUUGGGAGUGCCCUCUCAGAUAUGAUGAUGAAGGGUUGAACAUUUUUGCAGGUCUGCCUGUCCGUUGGGAUGGAGGUCGACAUAUAUAUAGGAGUCUCCCUAACAACAAGUAGUAAUGCUAUUCCUUUACCCUGCUUGGUCAUAGCACCGUAGUGGGAGCUGCCAGUUUCACAUGUUUUAACUCUGUCAGAGCACUUUGAAAAAGUGGUCUGUGGUAUAUGGCUCUCGAGAUUCGGAGAACGAUGCUCUCUUCGAUUUUUGAGAAAGCAAUCAUGCUGGGGGUCUGGCUCUCGAGAUUCGGAGAGCAGUGUCUCUUCGAUUUUUGAGGAAGUAAUCAUGUUGGGAGUCUGGCUCUCGAGAUUCGGAGGGCGGUGCCUCUUCGAUUUUGGAGCAAGCAAUCUUGUUGGGAGUGUUGUCUCGAAUGUGAGUAAAGGUUGGGCAUGUUUGCUAGUCUACCUUGCCACGAAGCACAAAGGUUGACACACAGGGACUUUCCAAUUAUCCAGCAAUGGUACUGUUCCUUUACCCUCUCUUCGAUUUUGAGAAAGUAGUCAUGUUGGGAGUCUGGCUCUCGAGAUUCAGAGGACGGUGCCUCUUCGAUAUCCAGCAGUGGUACUGUUCCUUUACCCUUGUGGGUAAUAAUAUGGUAGCUAGACCUUCAAAAAUUUAUGUGUCCAAACUUUGUUAGUGCUGUUUCUUUGCUAUUCUUUUACCUUUCUUGGUCAGAGCGAUGUAGUGGGAGCUGCAAGCUUCACGUGCUCAACUUUGGCAGAGAAACUUUGGCAAAGUCAUCUGUGGUACCCAUGAGCUAUUGUUGCGUGUGGGAAGUGGAUGAUUGAACAGUAAGAUUCAUGUGCUUUCUACUUCACCAGAAGUCUUCGACAGAAUGCCCAUAAUUUCUGCAAAGCUGAGUGUUCGUGUGACAGGUGCUGACAAGGCUAGAAAAGUAGGUGCCUCUUCGAUUUCUGAGAUCGGCCCUCGUGGUCUCUGAGCAGCCCAACUUUUGAGAAAGCGAGCGCCUCUUCGAUUGAUUCGGAGAACAAUGCCUCAUCGAUUUUUGAGAAAGCAAUCAUGCUGUGGGUCUGGCUCUCGAGAUUCGGGGAGCAGUGUCUCUUCGAUUUUUGAUAAAGUAAUCAUGUUGGGAGUCUGGCUCUCGAGAUUCGGAGGGCGGUGCCUCUUCGAUUUUGGAGCAAGCAAUCUUGUUGGGAGUGUUUUCUCGAAUGUGAGUAAAGGUUGGGCAUGUUUGCUAGUCUACCUUGCCACGAAGCACAGAGGUUGCCACACAGGGACUUUCCAAUUAUCCAGCAAUGGUACUGUUCCUUUACCCUCUCUUCGAUUUUUAAGAAAGUAGUCAUGUUGGGAGUCUGGCUCUCGAGAUUCGGAGGACGGUGCCUCUUCGAUUUUGGAGCAAGCAAUCUUAUUGGGAGUGUUUUCUCAAAUGUGAGUAAAGGUUGGGCAUGUUUGCUAGUCUACCUUGCCACGAAGCACAGAGGUUGACACACAGGGACUUUCCAAUUAUCCAGCAGUGGUACUGUUCCUUUACCCUUGUGGGUAAUAAUAUGGUAGCUAGACCUUCAAAAUUUAUGGGUCUAAACUUUGUUAGUGCUGUUUCUUUGCUAUUCUUUUACCCUUCUUGGUCAGAGCGAUGUAGUGGGAGCUGCAAGCUUCACGUGCUCAACUUUGGCAGAGAACUUUGGCAAAGUUAUCUGUGGUACCCAUGAGCUAUUGUUGCGUGUGGGAAGUGGGUGAUUGAACAGUAAGAUUCAUGUGUUUUCUACUUCCCCAGAAGUCUUCGACAGAAUGCCCAUAAUUUCCGCAAAGCUGAGUGUGCGUGUGACAGGUGCUGACAAGGCUAGAAAAGUAGGUGCCUCUUCGAUUUCUGAGAUCGGCCCUCGUGGUCUCUGGGGAGCCCAGCUUUUGAGAAAGCGAGCGCCUCUUCGAUUUCUGAGAUCGGCCUUCGUGGUCUUUGAGCAGCCCAACUUUUGAGAAAGCAAACGCCUCUUCGAUUUCUGAGAUCAACCCUUGUGAUCUCUAAGCAGCCCAGCUUUUGAGAAAGCAAACGCCUCUUCGAUUUCUGAGCAUGCGCCUCUUCGAUUUCUGAAGCUCUGUCGAGUGCAGAUUUUUAUAGGGGCUGGCAUUAAAUUCCAAAGCACACUUGAAUCUCCACCAGUAGAAGCUUCAUUCUUGCACUUCUAAGAUUUUGAUUUGUCCGACCUCUUCUCUCUUCAACACCUUUGAAAAUGUCUGGCCCCUCCGACCGUCGUUUUGACUUGAACCUUGUUGAAGAGGCAGCCCCGCCUUCUCCAGACAACAUAUGGCGCCCAUCCUUCGUCUCCCCUACUGGUCCUCUUACCGUUGGGGAUUCCGUGAUGAAGAAUGAUAUGACCGCUGCGGUGGUGGCCAGGAACCUUCUCACUCCCAAAGAUAACAGACUACUUUCCAAACGGUCUGAUGAGUUAGCUGUUAAGGAUUCGCUGGCUCUCAGUGUUCAGUGUGCAGGUUCUGUGUCUAAUAUGGCCCAACGUCUAUUUGCUCGAACCCGCCAAGUUGAAUCAUUGGCGGCUGAAGUGAUGAGUCUCAAACAGGAGAUUAGAGGGCUCAAGCAUGAGAAUAAACAGUUGCACCGGCUCGCACAUGACUAUGCUACAAACAUGAAGAGAAAGCUUGACCAGAUGAAGGAAACUGAUGGUCAGGUUUUACUUGAUCAUCAGAGAUUUGUGGGUUUGUUCCAAAGGCAUUUAUUGCCUUCGUCUUCUGGGGCUGUACCGCGUAAUGAAGCUCCAAAUGAUCAACCUCUGAUGCCUCCUCCUUCUAGGGUUCUGUCCAGUACUGAGGCUCCAAAUGAUCCCCCUCCGGUGCCUUCUCUUUUCUGGGGCUCUACGGACUGCUGAGACUUCUCCUAAGCAACCUUUGUGAAGGCUCCCUCUUGUGUGUUUAUUUUGACUCAUGUAUAUGUAUAUAUUUGUAGCUUAUCGGGGAUAUCAAUAAAUAAGCUUUCCUUCAUUUCAACGUAUUGUGUUAAAUACACCAAAGCCUUCUUCGCUAAGUUCUUUGAAUUUUCUUUUGUUGAAGCUUGUAUGUUGAAGCUUUCUGAGUGGAGCAUGUAGGUUGGGGUAGUGUUCCCUUAAUUUCCCGAGUGAAGAAAACUUCUCGGUUGGAGACUUGGAAAAUCCAAGUCACUGAGUGGGAUCGGCUAUAUAAAUCUUAGAACGCCAUUGUGCUCGAUCCUGUGUCAUGUCCUUCGUUAGAUCCAAGUACUCUAAGUCUUUUCUUAGAGUCUCUUCCAAAGUUUUCCUAGGUCUUCCUCUACCCCUUCGGCCCUGAACCUCUGUCCCAUAGUCACAUCUUCUAAUCGGAGCGUCAGUAGGCCUUCUUUGCACAUGUCCAAACCACCGUAACCGAUUUUCUCUCAUCUUUCCUUCAAUUUCGGCUACUCCUACUUUACCCCGGAUAUCCUCAUUCCUAAUCUUAUCCUUUCUCGUGUGCCCACACAUCCAACGAAGCAUCCUCAUCUCCGCUACACCCAUUUUGUGUACGUGUUGAUGUUUCACCGCCCAACAUUCUGUGCCAUACAGCAUCGCCGGCCUUAUUGCCGUCCUAUAAAAUUUUCCCAUGAGCUUCAGUGGCAUACGGCGGUCACACAACACACCGGAUGCACUCUUCCACUUCAUCCAUCCAACUUGUAUUCUAUGGUUGAGAUCUCCAUCUAAUUCUCCGUUCUUUUGCAAGAUAGAUCCUAGGUAACGAAAACGGUCGCUCUUUGGUAUUUCUUGAUCUCCGAUCCUCACCCCUAACUCGUUUUGGCCUCUAUUUGCACUGAACUUGCACUCCAUAUAUUCUGUCUUUGAUCGGCUUAGGCAAAGACCUUUAGAUUCCAACACUUCUCUCCAAAGGUUAAGCUUUGCAUUUACCCCUUCCUGAGUUUCAUCUAUCAACACUAUAUCGUCUGCGAAAAGCAUACACCAAGGAAUAUCAUCUUGAAUAUAUCCUGUUAACUCAUCCAUUACCAACGCAAAAAGGUAAGGACUUAAGGAUGAGCCUUGAUGUAAUCCUACAGUUAUGGGAAAGCUUUCGGUUUGUCCUUCAUGAGUUCUUACGGCAGUCUUUGCUCCUUCAUACAUAUCCUUUAUAGCUUAGAUAUAUGCUACUCGUACUCCUUUCUUCUCUAAAAUCCUCCAAAGAAUGUCUCUUGGGACCCUAUCAUACGCUUUUUCCAAAUCUAUAAAGACCAUGUGUAAAUCCUUUUUCCCAUCUCUAUAUCUUUCCAUCAAUCUUCGUAAGAGAUAGAUUGCCUCCAUGUUUGAGCGCCCUGGCAUGAACCCGAAUUGAUUGUCCGAAACCCGUGUCUCUUGCCUCAAUCUAUGCUCAAUGACUCUCUCCCAGAGCUUCAUUGUAUGACUCAUUAGCUUAAUACCCCUAUAGUUCAUGCAAUUUUGUACGUCGCCCUUAUUCUUGUAGAUAGGCACCAAAGUGCUCGUUCGCCACUCAUUUGGCAUCUUCUUCGUUUUCAAAAUCUUAUUGAAAAGGUCAGUGAGCCAUGUUAUACCUGUCUCUCCCAAAAGUUUCCACACUUCGAUUGGUAUAUCGUCUGGGCCUAUUGCUUUUUAUGCUUCAUCUUCUUCAAAGCUACAACCACUUCUUCCUUCCGGAUUCGACGAUAAAAAGAGUAGUUUAUACACUCUUCUGAGUUACUCAACUCCCCUAAAGAAGCACUCAUUUCAUGUCCUUCAUUGAAAAGAUUAUGAAAAUAACCUCUCCAUCUGUCUUUAACCGCGUUCUCUGUAGUAAGAACCUUUCCAUCCUCAUCCUUGAUGCACCUCACUUGGUUUAGGUCCCUUGUCUUCUUUUCCCUUGCUCUAGAUAGUUUAUAGAUAUCCAACUCUCGAAGGGUAAAAUUCAAAUCCAACAUUGAACCAACCCAUUAACUUAAAAGACAUCAAAACCGAAACAGAUUACUAAAUAUCAAAAAGGAGUAUUUCAAGGAUAUGGCGAUAAGGAUCACACCUGAAAUGCUAUAGUAAGAUUGUAGACCCCUCUUUUGAUCAACCCUGCAGAGGUCUUCCUUGAUAGUAGAGCGUGCAGUAGCACAAUAGAUAAUCUUGUUACAGCCCUGUACUGCGGUGUACAGGGUAGCAGGACCAUCCAUAUCCCCAGUCAAUGGCAAGACAUAUGAAAGAAGAUUGAAAAUGAUAACACCCACCAUUUAACCAAGUAAAAGCAGAGUUAACGCAGAGAAAACAACAAAAAAUAUCUUGCAAACCCUCGAUUUAUCGGUAAAGCACAUCAAAACCAAACAGUCAAGAAAAUAGUUUAAAACCAAUUCUAUAUUUCUAAUCAGAAGAUGUGCAAUUUUUUUUUAUUCGUCAAUUUGUGGCACUUCAUUCUCAAUAAAGAGCACUUCACAAAAUUCCAGAUCUGCUACAACAUCAAAGGUCAGACCGAAUAGGAAAACGACAUCAUUCAUUAUCCAAAUUGAAACAACAAUCCCACUAAAAUUGACUACUCAUAAGAAUCUCAUUCCACAAAACAACUGCAGGCAAAAAAAAUCCCCAAGAUACAUACUAUCAUCCAAAUCAUCCACCGCCAUUAACAAAAAGCACAACCCAUAUCUUCCUUCAGCUAAGAUUAAAGAAAAAAUUGAAACCCUAAUCAUUCUCGAACAUGCUUUUGGAAUCAGAAUAGAAAGGAAACUUGAAAUUAGAGGAUCAUGCAGAACUGGGCUGGGGAUUGGACUUGUGCUCUGAAUCGACCUCUUCCUCUUCCUCUUCAGAUUGAUCACCGAAUAGGUUCUACAUCACCUGGUGCCGCUUCUUCCUCCCCCAUCGCUGCUGCUGUGUGUUGUGGUCAGAGCCCUCAAACUACUGACAUUAAAUAGUUCAUUUCAUUAGAUCAUUGGAACUAUCACCAUAGCAUCCUGCAAAUUUCGAGAAGUGUGUGUUGAAAACAAAUCUGAAAAGGAAUGAAAACCCUGUUAACCAAACCCAUCAACAGUAACAUAAGCCUCACCAAUCGUAGCAAACAAAAUCAAUCAGACUCGGCGAAAUUCAGUCAACAAUACAAAAAAUACUCUGAAACCCAUCAGCCAAUAUACAGCACGUAGAAGCAACACAAUUUUUUUCCUUACCAAGCAAUUAAGAUGUAUUUACUUAUACACUAAGUUUUGCUAACAAUAUGUUGGAAAACUGAAUACUUACACCCCGCAUCCAAAUCCCUCUUACAUGCUUUUGGAAUGGUCUAGUCUCUCCAAUCUCUCUCAUUUUGCAAUCCAUCUCUUACUAAUUUGGCGUCAGUCUCUUGAGACUUAGAAAUCUUUCACUCAAACAUAAUCAUAUAUAUAAGGGAAUGUUUGGUAUUAUUUUUGGAUCCAAUUUAUUGUUUUGAAACUAAUGCGUAUUAAUUAAUUUAGCCACAUUUAUCAUUUAUUUAAAAAAGGACAAAAAAUCAGAUGCAAUUAAGAUUCCAAAUAGACCCUAAGUAACCUCAGCUGAGUGGUGUACAAAUCAAUGCCCAUUCUUUUCUAGUGAGCUAUGAUAAAUUCAAUUGGACAAAAAUAAGUACAUCUGUCAGUUGAUGCUCAGACUUUACAGAAGUCAAAUAAAUUAAAAUGUUGAUCAACUUCAACAUGUUUACGUCAAUCAUGUUGAACUGGAGUGUGAGUGGGAGUAUAGAAAGCCUUGUGAAGUUAACCCAAGUUUGCAUCAGUGCCAAGGCGGAACUUGACAUUUCACCAUGGCUAAAAAAACUCCUACAGAAACCUAACCGGUGCAAGAAAUUGAAUAGAAACUUCUUAUUUGCUGCUCAUUUCGGAAGGCCAGUUCGAAAAAACCUCCUAUUUUAGAUUGCAAAUUUUGUGAUGACAAAAGAUAAAGUAGAACAUAAUAAGUUUUCUGCACUCUUCUCUAUUUCCAGAAAUAGAACUUGAUACUACUGUCACGGCCACGAAAAAUUCAUCGGCACCCUACCUGAUGCAAGCAACGGACUAGGAACUUUAAUUGGGUGCUCAUUUCAGAAUGUCAGUUGGAAAACAUCCUAUUUUCUAUUCAAUCUCUUUGCCCACUGCAUUACAACACAUCAGAGUGUUUUCUUCACUGCGUAUAUAAAAAAUCUUCGGUGCUCUUAGUGAUUUCCUAUCAAUACUGGAUUCUAUAUUUGGUCAAUUCUUAAAUCUAUACUUUACUGGACCUGUUUAGUCAUUCAACAACCUCACAACUUCCAAAAAAAUUCACCAUCAUGCCAACAUGCUUGGGUGAUUAACUAGUGAACAUACAGACAGCCCUGAUUCAAAACAUUUCUCAAGAGAAAUUCAUGUUCAAAACAACUUAAAACUCCAAGCAUUAACCAAACAAAAUGAUUAGGAGGAUGAAAGAUAGAAACUUGUAACAGAGAACAAUUGCCCAAAAUAGAAAACACUUUAUUCCUCCCCAAUUUCUGAAAAUCCAGAGAAAGCGGGAUUAACUUCAGAUACAAUCCCACACUUGAAAAAGCUAAUGUGCUUCACUUUCAAUACCAAACCGCUAGUCUUGUAUGCAUGCAUGUAUACACACUACUGAAAAGAGUAAUUCUUAAUCCAGCAUGGGCAGAAUAGUACCGUUACCCUCAAACGGGCAAGGCUAAAGGGCGAGAUGCGGGUUUAGUGCAUUGUGGGUGUGUGGGUUUGUUAACUUAACCAAGUAAAACAACUACUAAUCCAGCCAUUUUUCCUACUCUAUUCCAAACUUAUUCCCAAAGUCUGCUACUAAUAGGACUCAUUACUAGUGAGGAAGAAAGAUUUAGCACUACAUGUUAAGAGCAUGAGGUACACAUCAAACGGAACACACUCAAAUCAAAAACAUAAAUUCCUAAUCAAUGUAUAAUCAUUAUUGGGAUUCGCAUUCUUCAACCAAACUAUGAACAAAAGAGCCAGGCCAAUGAACAGAAAAUAAACUUAAAUUACAACAUAAAGCAGAGUAAGUAUUUAAACAUCAACAACUUCAGACAAAAACUAUGAAGUUCCGAUUCCUCAAAUGCAUAUUCCAAAUUGCAGUACAAACACUAAGCACAAAAACCAUAGAUAAAGUAAAACAACAGACAAUGCACUUUCCCCAAAUAACUCAAUUUACCUCUGACUCUCUCAUACCGCUUUGGCCUCCCGCCUUGGCAUUCCCUCUCUCGACCUUUUUCGCCUCCGCCUUAUCUGGUUUCGCCGCCUCCCCUGAGCAACACCCACCUUCAUGAUGGUGAUGAUGGUGGUGAUGCCCAUGGCCCAUGCCCAUGCCCAUGCCCAUUCCCAUGACCAUGCACAUGCCCAUGACUAUGUCCAUGCACUUUCUUCCCCUUGAGCUCCUUCCUCAUAUCAUACGCAUCUUCCCCAUCGGCAUAUUACUUCGCCUUCACAUCAUGAAUCUUAUAUCCCAAAGUCUCAGUGUACAAAUUGAACGCUGCCCGAUUGCUCUUCCUCACAUGAAGCGACACGUACUCCGCCGCAAACACCUGUUCCCUGGCGUUCUGGGCGGCGUUCAUGAGCUUGGUGGCGAGGCCGAGUUUGCGGUAGGUGCGGAGGACGGCGAGGGAGGUAAUGUGGCCGUGGCACUCGUUACUCUCCUCCUCCAUCUUGGCCAGGACGUAGCCGACGAUGCGACCGUUGUAGUCUUCGGCGACGUAGAGGAGCUGCGGCCAUGAGAGGAUGUGAUAGAGGUAGUACUUCAUCUGGCAACUCUCAGGGAGGCAGAAAAGGUUGCAGGCUUGCAUCGCCAGGAGGUUGUCGAUUGCGGCCUUGCGUAUGCACACCAUUUGUGGUGCUCCUGGAGUUUCUAGGGUUAGGGUUUUGGUGUGGGAAUUUUGUUUUUAGGGAAGAAGAGAGGAGUGAGGUCAAAAGAAAUAUGGGGUCUUGUGGGAUUUUCAAUGGGAUUGGGCUUGGGCUGAGUUAUGGGCUUGAUGAGUUUAAUUAUGGGCUUAAAGUCCAUACCUUUCAAAAAAAUUAAAUACCGAAAAAAAUCAUUUCGUCGAUUUUUCUCUUGAACUUUUAUUUUUCUCCAUUCUUUUACCUUCAUGUACCAUCAUGUUUCUCUGUAAUUCAUCUAANNNNNNNNNNNNNNNNNNNNNNNNNNNNNNNNNNNNNNNNNNNNNNNNNNNNNNNNNNNNNNNNNNNNNNNNNNNNNNNNNNNNNNNNNNNNNNNNNNNNNNNNNNNNNNNNNNNNNNNNNNNNNNNNNNNNNNNNNNNNNNNNNNNNNNNNNNNNNNNNNNNNNNNNNNNNNNNNNNNNNNNNNNNNNNNNNNNNNNNNNNNNNNNNNNNNNNNNNNNNNNNNNNNNNNNNNNNNNNNNNNNNNNNNNNNNNNNNNNNNNNNNNNNNNNNNNNNNNNNNNNNNNNNNNNNNNNNNNNNNNNNNNNNNNNNNNNNNNNNNNNNNNNNNNNNNNNNNNNNNNNNNNNNNNNNNNNNNNNNNNNNNNNNNNNNNNNNNNNNNNNNNNNNNNNNNNNNNNNNNNNNNNNNNNNNNNNNNNNNNNNNNNNNNNNNNNNNNNNNNNNNNNNNNNNNNNNNNNNNNNNNNNNNNNNNNNNNNNNNNNNNNNNNNNNNNNNNNNNNNCACAAAAAUGUAACUAGAUUGAGUGAAUUGAUUAUGAGUGAACUGAGAAUAAGAGAUGAAGUUGUAGUGAGUUUUGGUUGGAUAAUUUGGUAUUUAUAGGAAUGAUGAGAGAACAAUAUGAGAGAGUAACUCAAAUUGAAACUAUUAAUCUUUUAACAGAAGCAAUAUGAAAAGAGAAAAAACAAAAUUGAAAACCAACAUGAGAAAGUAACCUAAAUUGAAACAGUUAUUUAAUUGGAACCGUUGAUCUUUCAAUGGUAAUAAAAUUUAAAAAGCAAGAAAUCAAUCUAGACCUUCUAUUUUAAACGGUUGAAAAAAAAUAAGGUCAUGUGACUGGGAUCCACACUUACUUUUCCACUUAAAUUGUCCUAUUAGGUCCAUCAUUUGAGUCCCUAUAGAGUCUCUAUAUGGGGGUACAUACACCAAGUAUCUGGCAAGUCCCUAUACUUUAGGGACUCACUUUCCGAUCCAUUGGAGAUUCAUUUUGUCUCUAUAUUUGUUUUAUACUCAUUUUAUACGGUGAUUGUCCCCAUAUAGGGACUCCACUGGAGAUCUCCAUAGCCUGUUUUGAAGUGCUUCUUUGAACUUUUAGAAGAAAAAAAAUUGAAAGUGCUUGCUGGAAAAGUAGUUGAAGUGCUACUUUCAAAGUGCUUUUCUUUCUAACCCAUAAGCAUGUUUAAUUGUCAUGAAGCAUUUUUGGUAUCUGAAAGUGUUUUUAGCUAUUCUAAAAGCAUUUGUAAACAGGACCGAAAUUAAUUAGGCAGGAUUCAAUUUGGUUUGUUGAAGUAGUUGCGGUGUUUGCUAGAGCCUAGAAGCAAGGACAUUUGAUUGCAAUCAUGCUGUUAUUCUUUUACAUUUGUGUUUGUGUUUGGGUUCACUAAACUGCAUCUGGAAGGUUUAAUUUCAUUGUUUCGUACUGAAAUGGUUACUUCUGUCGAAAGACACUAUCAAUAGCAACAAGUGAAACUGCUAAAGGAUGUUGCUUUCGAAUUGAAGGAAUAUAUCCCUAGCUAUGAUGUUAUUUGAGGAUUUCUUGGUUAAAUGGCCAUCCUGAAAUGUAUGAUAGUUCAAAAUGAUAGUUCAAUCAAUUGAUCUUUGCAAUGUCUGCAAACUAGGCUCUUGGAUUAUCCUACAUUUCACAUUCUUAACGUACGGUCUUUUAACUUGGUUCUUUCAGUCAAGGGACAUGUAUUUCUUGAAGAAAUUCUUGAAUUUGAAGGGAGAUGACGCUUUUAGAAUGAAUGAAGUGCUUGUGUCCAUUUGGUACAUAAUGGGUUUCUUCCAUCAUCUUGAGUGUUUCUUGUCCCCCCCCCCCAUUUUUUUCUUUUGGUUUGCGAUUCUAUUUAUUUACUCGGAAGGAUUAUAGUGGAUAGUUAUCAGUGAGUCAAAUAACUUUCUCCUUAAAAAGCUUUUGAUGUAACACAACGAAUGAUGCCUCUUGGCUUGAGCUACCUAAGAGUUCACGUCUCUUCUUAAAACCAUUGCAUGAGUGCAAUACUAAUUAGCCAAGUAGAAGGGCCAACCUGAGAGUGAGGCAAAAGCUGGGAACGGGCUUAAACUUACCAUUCGAAGACCAAGUCAGAGUCUGCUGGGAAAGCUUUUUUCGAGUAGCAUAUAUCAAAGCCAUAGAGGAUAUGUAUGAUAGAGCAAGGAUUGUCGUAAGAACCCAUGAGGAACAAACCAAAAGUUUCUCCAUAACUGUAGGGUUACAUCAAGGCUUAUCUUUAAGUCCUUACCUUUUUGCAUUGGUAAUGGAUGAGUUAACGGGACAAAUUCAAGAUGAUAUUCUUUGGUAUAUGCUUUUCGCAGAGACGAUAUAGUGUUGAUAGAUGAAAUUCAGGAAUGAGUAAAUGUGAAGUUUAACCUUUGGAGAGAAAUGUUGGAAUCCAAAGGUCUUCAGCUAAGUCGGUCAAAGACGGAGUAUAUGGAGUGCAUGUUUAGUUCAACCAGAGGCUCAAAUGAGUUAGGGAUGAGGAUUGGAGACCAGGAAGUACCAAAGAGUGACUGCUUUCGCUAUUUAGGAUCUAUCUUGCAAAAGAACGGAGAAUUAGAUGGAGACCUCAACCAUAGAAUACAAGUUGGAUGAAUGAAGUGAAAGCGUGCAUCCAGCGUGUUGUGUGUGACUAUCGUAUGCUACUGAAGCUCAAGGGAAAAUUUUAUAGGUCGGCAAUGCUUUAUGGCACGGAAUGUUAGAUGGUGAAACAUCAACACGUACAUAAAAUGGGUGUAGCGGAGAUGAGAAUGCUUCGUUGGAUGUGUGGGCACACGAGAAAUGAUAAGAUUAUGAAUGAGGAUAUCCGAGGUAAAAUAGGAGUAGCCGAAAUUAAAGGAAAGAUGAGAGAAAAUGGGUUACGGUGAUGUGGACAUGUGAAACGAAGGCCUACUGACGCUCCAGUUAAAAUAUGCGAUUACGGGAUAGAAGUUCAAGGUCGAAGAGGUAAAAGAAGACCUAGGAAGACUUGAGAAUAGACUAUAAGAAAAGACUUAGAGUACUUGGAUAUAACGGAAGAUGUGACAUAGUACCGAGCGCAAUAACGUUCUAGGAUUUAUAUAGCCGAUACCACUUAAUGGGAAAAGACUUUGUUGUUAUUGUUUGUUAUCCUAUAAUGUGCAGCUCAAGAAGCAAAGUUCCUGUCUGGCCUUUCUUGAUACUUUCAUGCUUUGGCGGGCCGUACGCUCUUCUUCCCUAUUUUGUACUGUGGAGACCACCGCCACCUCCUGUCGAUGAAAGUGAGCUCACAAGAAGGCCUCUCAACUUUCUUGGAUCCAAAUUAACUGCUUGGGAAAGAAACUUUUCACUUCCUGUUCACACUCAACUUUCUGGAAGAUACCGUUUAGCAUCAGACGGAAACAUUCAACCGAUCUUACAAUUUGAUAUUUCCUGUGUUUCUCCCUCCUUUUAUGUUGUAAACUUGUAUUUACUCAUCGAUAAAUGACGAUCAUUGAAGUGACAAUCUGAAUAUUUUCGCGUAAAUAGUUGAAACAUAGUCGUAGUAACAUUGAUUUUUCGAUAUGUUUUGUAAAAUGUAACUCCAUUACGCGUCAGAUAUCACUUGCUGCAGGACUAGGUUUAAUCGUCUCUGCGGGUCUAGCAGCUGGGGCUGACUGGAAGGAAUAUUACCAGUACUUCAAUGAGAGUAAAUUUGUAAGUUACUCAAACCAUCAACGCAUAUACUUCACAACCAUUUCUGUAGUCCCUCGCGUUCGAAACAAACGGCUAUGAUACAAUCCCACAGCAUGAAAUCUGUACUGAAGCGUACGACACUGGAACCUUGUAUAUAUAGAUCCACGCGACGAGCCUUGAUUUCACCCUGCUAUCUGCAUUUGCUCCGUUUUGGGUCUACAGCGAUAUGACUGCCCGGAAAUGGUGACUGUUUUGUUGAUGUGUACAUUUCUCUUAAGUUCAAGCUCUGAAUCCCUCUAGGGAGAGUUCAUUUGCUGCAAAAUAUUCAAACGCUUCCAUUUCUUUUCGCAGGUUCGACGAUGGUUCUUGGCUUCUGUUCUUAUCGUUGGUGCCACUCGUAGGCCCUGCUCUGUAUCUCGUCUUACGGCCAUCGCUACCAACCGAAAACGUCACUUAGCCCUACUGAGCCGAAGUAGUUACUGAAACCUCUGCAUGAACAUCAUUCGCAUGGCACCGUGACACAAGACGGGUACAGAUUAUAACUCUGCAGACAAGGAGCAUAUACCGUCAUUCAGAACUUUACUGAAGUUGCUCUUCACUGAUAUCUUCUACGUUACAUUUUAACAAUAUUCAAACUACAUCAAAUCAAUCUAACCUUUCAUCUUACAUCUAUGAGAUGAAGACAUUUAACAAAUAGUCCACUUGGUGCAUGGCAGUGCCUUCGCCAUGAGCGGUAGGUCUCGGGUUCGAGACUUGGGAGCAGCCUCUCCAUAAAUGGGGGUAAGGCUAGCCGACAUUCACCUCUCCCAGACCUGCGUAAAGCGGGAGCCUUGUGCACUAGGUACGACCUUUUUUUAUUAUUAUUUGUUUUUUUCCUCAACCCUCAAUUUUUUGAAACUAGAAAUUAAAGGAAAUCUAAUUUCCUCAGCUGAAAGAAGGUGUCAGAAACGUGCAGUGCUGGGUGUAUAAAUUCGCACUGAAGAUACAAAUAAAAUUAGACUGAUUGCUUUCUAUUUGGAAGUGCUGGGUGUAGAAAGGUAGAGCGGUGGGUGUACAAAUGAUGACCGGUUAUAAUAGCGGGCCCAAGGGGUGUGGAAGAGAGAACAUGUAUUGGAAAUCAAAUGAAAAAACGACACAACACAAGCAGAGCACUAGCUAUUUGUGAAGGACCCGGCUGGCAUUAAAAAUCAACUUUUCAAUUAUUAAGGCCAGCUGUAACAUAUUGACCAUUCUUAGGUCUUUGUUUUUAUUUUAUACAUUGAAUGAUGUGUGAGUGGUUGGAUGAGAGAUGGGCAUGUAAAGACUAGCAGGAGGAGCCAUCUUUCAUUACGCAAAAUCAAUUUCUUAGUUACAACUUUAUAUUUUAAUUUACUUCACUUGGGUUUUUGCUUGUUCUGAAUACAAGAAAUGGCAGAAGGAGUUCUCUUUAAUAUUGUAGAACGGAUCAUUGUAAGGCUUGGCAACCGUGCUUUCCAAGAGAUUGGGUCGAUUUGGGGUGUCCAAGAUGAGCUCAACAAGCUCAAGGAGACAGUUGUCGGAUUCCAAGCUGUUCUUCUAGACGCUGAGCAAAAGCAAGCCAACAACAGUGAAGUCAAACUAUGGCUCGAAAGCGUAGAAGAUGCAGUUUAUGAAGCCGAUGAUGUGCUGGAUGAGUUUAAUACUGAAGUUCAGCGGAGACUAGUGAUGCAUGGCAAUACUAAGCUGUCAAAGAAGGUAUGCCUCUUUUUUCUUUAGCUCAAAUGAAUUUGCUUUCUGACGAAAGAUGAAUCAUUAAAUAAAAUAUAUUAACAAGAUGAUUCGAGAGGUUGCACCUUGUAGAACAUUUUCGUAGUCACGUAAGCUUAUCGAUAUUAACCUAUUAGGAGCACAAUAGGUCUCUCAAUAACUUAUAUUUAACUGCAAUAAAUCUUCUACAUUAUUGUUUUGAAUGUUUCGUAUAACUUACCGUUACAAAACUCUAUUAACUUAUUAACACAGUUCUAUCGAAAAAAUGAUUGUGUCUACUCAAACUCUUACAGGUGCGUCUUUUCUUUUCUAGCUCAAAUCAACUUGUUUUUGGGUUAAAGAUGAGUCAUAAGAUAAAAGAUAUCAACAAGAGGCUUAGUGAGAUUGAAUCCCGUAGACCCAAGGACUUAAACAAUAAUCGUGAAGAUACAAGAUUAAUAUUGAGAGAGAGGGUUACUCACUCAUUUGUCCCUAAGGAAAAUAUUAUAGGGAGAGAUGAAGAUAAAAAGGCACUUAUCCAACUUUUGUUGGAUCCCAUCUCAACUGAGAAUGUUUCAACCGUUUCCAUAGUUGGAAUUGGAGGAUUGGGGAAAAGUGCCCUUGCCCAACUCAUAUUCAAUGAUGAGGUGAUUCAAAAGCAUUUUGAGUUGAAAAUAUGGAUAUGUGUCUCUAAUAUAUUUGAGUUGGAUAUAUUGGCAAAGAAAAUCCUAAAAGCUGACAAGCUUGAUAAAAAGGAGCGUGAUAAGGUGGACCAGCUUGAUAUGGAUCAGCUGCAAAAUGAUCUUAGAAAAAAAGUAAAUGGGAAGAAAUACCUACUUGUGUUGGAUGAUGUGUGGAAUGAGGAUCCACAUAAGUGGCUUAGCUUGAUGGACUUGUUAAGGGGUGGUGGAGAAGGUAGUAGAAUAUUAAUAACCACACGUACUGAAAUCGUUGCGAUGACAUCACACACACAACUAAACAGUACGCCUUAAGGGGUUUGAAUGAAGAGCAAAGCUAGUCUUUAUUUAAGAAAAAUGGCUUUUAAAGAUGGAGAAGAACCAGAGAAUUCAACAAUUAAGGCAGUUGGGAUGGAGGUUGUAAGAAAAUGUCAGGGAGUUCCACUCGCUCUAAGGACGAUAGGUGGGAUGUUGCGCACCAAACAUCAUGAAAUAGAAUGGCUUAAUUUCAAAGAAAGGAAACUUUCAAAAAUAAGUCAAAAAGAAGAUGAUAUUUUACCAACACUUAAACUAAGUUAUGAUGUGCUCCCAUCACAUUUGAAGCAUUGUUUUGCUUAUUGUAGCUUGUUCCCACCUGAUUAUGAUAUCUCUGUACCAAGAUUGAUUAGACUUUGGGUGGCCCAAGGGUUCGUUAAGUCAUCCGACGAAAUCGAGUGUUUGGAGGAUGUUGCGUUUGAAUAUUAUAGGGAAUUGUUGUGCAGAUCGUUUUUUCAAGAAGAAAAAACAAAUGAGUUUGGUAUAAUAGAAAGUUGUAAAAUGCACGAUCUCAUGAAUGAACUUGCAAUCUUAGUGUCGGGUGUCAGGAGCGUCGUAGUUGAUCUGAACCGAAAGAACUUUCAUGAAAAGCUUCGUCACGUAUCUUUCAAUUUUGAUAUUGAUUUGUUGAAAUGGGAAGUGCCAACUUCCUUGGUAAAAGCAUGCAAGAUACGAACUUAUCUUUUUCUUUGCCAAGAGGUUUUGAAAGAUUACGAUGAGUCAUUAUGUGAUUCAUUUUGUACCACAAUUGUUUCAAAUUUUAAGUCAUUACGGAUGUUGAGUCUCAAUACAAUAUAUAUUAUAAGAUUGCCUAAUUGUUUUAAAAAAAUGAAACAUUUGAGAUAUCUUGAUCUUAGUGGGAAUCUCAUGAUGGAGAGACUUCCAGAUUGGAUAGUUGGACUUUCGAAUUUGGAAACACUAGAUCUCAGUCAGUGUCUUAGUCUUGUG